rnacentral:lncRNA from 1 species
GCCGCCAUAGUCCACUGAAAUGCAAUUAGCAAGGAUUUCAUCGAUCACCUUUCCUCGUUCUUGACCCCAACUGGAAGCAGCAAUAUAAAGUGGAGUUUCUCCAUGAACAUUGGCGGAAUAUGAAAACUCAGGGUCCUCUUUAGUCAAUAUUUCCACCACCUGGCUCCGCAUAUUCCGAGCUGCCUCGUGCAACGCUGUAUCUUGCUCUUCAUUGAUCAUCCUUAGCAUCUUUUUUGCUUCUGUUUCUCCGCUCUCCGGAUCUGAAGGUAGACCUUUUGCGAGGUCAAUGAGGACGCUUACCACGUUGGAAUGGCCAUAUCUUGCUGCCAAAUGGAGUGGGGUUUCACCUUUCUUAUUGGCCUGCAAUAACAGUGGUGGACACUUUUCAAGAAUUAUAACAACAAAAUCAGUGGAUUCCGGUUCACUGCUUUGGUUUCCUAAGUAGACAUGAAGAAUGGUGUUCUCGUCUGGAGUCAAUAACUGAUCAAGGCGGGUUUGAUAAUUCUCAAAGGGACCGAUAUCGCCUUCAGCUGCAGCUUUGAACAAGACAGGAUCCAUAUAGGUCGUCAUACUAUGUUGUAGCUUAGAGAAACUAACUAAAUGAAAAGUAAACACAUGAAGGGGAGGCGAAAUUAACCACUGUGGCUCAAAGGCAAGAGGUUCCACUCCUCAACUGAUCACAAGCUGCUGAUUUCUUCGGUAUUUAAAGGAAGAAAAAGCGUUCAGAACCACAAAUUACAUUUAUUUUCCUUUUUGAUAUUUUGUCGCAAUAUCUUUUCUUUUGCCCUGCCGGAAAGUUAUAUCUGUUUUAUCAAGAUAAUAAGAAAAUAAAAAAUAAAUUGUUUGGCUCAUCCAUCAUUAUUAGUGAACUUGGACUCGUCUAUGUCUAUGUGUAUCCACGUCACUUUUGUCACCCAAAUACCUUUCUUUCGGUUCCAUGUUAUGAUGGGCACAUUAUCCACGUCACCUCUCUCUCUCUCUCUCUCACUUCAUUUUUUCUUUUCUUCGCAUAUUUAAUUUCUUUUUUUUUUUGUUGCAAUCUAUCUGUGCAUAUUUAUCUAACCCAUAAUUCUAACUCUUAUAUAAUUCUUUGUUUAUAUCACUCUAACAUUUAUUUUUUCUUUUUUCUCCUCUCUCUGUUAUUUUCUCUAAUUUAUACACCAUUUGCUAUACACAGGAACAAAAAAAUGAAAAGGCAAAAAAGUGUGAUUAAUUGUAUUAAAACACCAUUUCCUAUACACUUAUACUAGAAUAGUUUUUCUCAUGUUCUUUAUAUUUCUUUUUGUACUUAUCUUCAUGUAUAUGAACUUUUCAAAUAAUUAUUCCAAUAAAAAAUUUAUAUUUUUGUUAGGAUACAUUAUAAUUUAUUAAAUAAUCAUUUCAAUUUAAGAAUUCAAGUUAUUGAAAUUCGUAACUCUUGACAACUAAAUUUUAAUAACAUAUAUAAAAAAAAACAACAAUUAAAUUCAAGAGCUCAAUUACGGCAGCUCCCUCUUUUCAAUACGAAUUAGUAUAAAAACGCUUACAAGUCUAGCUAGUACUUGGAUUAAUUAGCCAAAAGUACCUCCUGUCAACGGCCACUGUCAAGAAACAACAGUCAUGCAAGAUGAUUUCCUCUGAUGUUGCAUCAUGCUGCAGUAAAAAAGCAACAGCGCCCAUUCAAGAAUCAUCAAACUUCUCUAAACCAGCUAUUCACUCCACACACAAAAAAAAAAAAAAAAAAAAAAAAAAACAAACAAACAGUUCUUCAUAUUUAAGGCCUUAUUUGAAAACCGGGUCAAUCCAUGUUUUUAAAAAAUUUAAAUUUAUAAUAUUUAAGUUUUUUUUUGCUUAUCAUAAAAGACAAUAGAGAUGAAAUGCUUUCUAUCGUAAUAGGUGACAAAUGCUCAAAUGUGAAUAAAUCACUUGUCCGCCUAAUUAUUUUUUAGGACAAUAAGAAGUUUUCAAAAAGCAUUUAUUGUUAAUUCCCUCAGCAUAACUUCCUAGCAAUGCAAAGGAUUCUGAAACACAGAAUAAAAGGAAAGGAUUACCAUGCUGACACUCUUUUUUUUUUUUAAAAAAAAAAAACCUGAUACUUAGACACUUUUAUAUAUUAAAGCACCUCCCUACAUCGGACGUGAAAUAAAAACACACACAUAUGUGCAAGUGUAUGCACACCUCCGCGCCCACACGUAAACUAAAUCAAUAUAAAUAUUGGAUGUACAUUCAUAAAAACAUUAUUUAGCAAAUGAAACUAAAACAUUUUAUCACAAUUUAAAAAACAAUUGUGAGUAUUUUUUUUUCCUUCUUUUAUAAGUAGAGAAUAUUGAUACUUUAACAAUAGUGUUGAUAUCUAAGUAUUGUAAGUAAAGAAUUUAUAUAUAUAUAUAUAGAGAGAGAGAGAGAGAAUAUUGAUACUUUAACACAUAUAUAUCAAAGUAUCUCUCGUUAUACUAAUAAUUUUCAGACAUGAAAAAGUUAAUCAAACACAUUACCUGUAAUCUAAAACUUGUGAGGAAAGUACUAUGGCAAUAAUACUUUCCCCACAUUUUCCCACAUGUUUUGUGACUCUAAAAAAUACAUCUUUUUUUUGUUUUUAUUUUUUUCAAUCAAUGUUUUUUUUUUUUAAUUUUAUCAUUUUAUAUUAGAUUUUUUAUUGGGUUAUCUCACUCUCAAGACAUGGAUUGCAGGUGUCGCACGUGUGCGGCGGCGCGGCGAUCAUCCACCCUCAAGGAAAAAUCGGAAUAUUUAUUCUUGGAAAAUAGGGAGAGACAAGGAAUUCUUGUCUCUACAAGUGAAAAUAUGGACUGGGAGUCGCCACCUAGUGUUCUAGUUACUAGGAACCUUAACUGGUCUUUAGAGAUCGGGUACGGAGACUGGUUGCGUAAAGGGAAGGUAUUAGCACCCCAACUACGCCCUACCUAAGGUAAGCUGCAUUGUUUUAAUGUCUGAUAAAAUCUAAGGUCGUGUUGUGGUUUUUUAUUGUUCGGAAUACGCAUUACAUGUAAUGUCAUACCCCAGGUUCUAUUGUCCAAAAAAAAAAGAAUUAAAUAUCCGGAAUAUGUAUUACGUGUAAAGUCAUACCCCGGAUACUAAGAGACAAACAAAAUAAAAUUUUUGUUGUUUUUGAAAUAUUGGCCAAUAUUCUCUUGACUUUAAUAAACUGGUUAUUAAAGCCAAAAUGCAUGCUAAAACAUUUUGUUUUGGUGUAUGAAAAAAUACAACAUAAAUUUUUAGCUUUGAGACACUUGGCCGUAUGCACAAAAACAUUUUUUUUUUUAAUUGUUUUGUAUUUUGUGGAAGUUUUUGACGAAAACCGGGUAUUUAAAAAUCAGAUUUUUGUAUUUUUAACAACAUCAAAAAAUACCACCAAAUAUUAAUCAAAAUGACAUAAAAAUUACGCGGAAAAAUUAGAAAAUGCUGAAACAAAUAUUUUUUUGAUUUUUUUCUUUGAAAUGGGCCGGAUCAGGCCCAAAUAUAUGGGUUGGGCCGAACCUGGCCCAAAGAAUGGGCUGGUACUGUGCACAUAGUAACCGGGGUUACUGUGUGUACAGUAACCAGAGAAUUAAUCUGCGGGUUACUGUGCACAUGCACAGUAACCGUGAAUUAAUUAGCGAGUUACUUUGCACAGCACAAUAACUCGCUAAUUAAUCUACAUGCGGAACAAAAAAAACGACGGGAAAGGCUACCUGCGGUGGUGAUGUUGGACUCUCUUCUCUGCUUCUUCUUCUUCUGCUUUCUUCUCUCUGUCUCUCCCUUCUCUUCUCUUCUCCUCUCUUUUCUUCCUCCUUUCUUCAGUGAUUGUCACCGGCUAUUUAUAGCCAGUGAACAGUAACGUAAGAGUUGAUUUCUGCCUAAAUUGUUGCCUAAUUGUAAGAAAAAACAUCCCUGCCUAACAUUGCCUAACAUGCCUAAUAUGACAAAAAAAUUUGUUUUAUUAUAUAUAAUAAUAAAUAUUUAUAUAGGUAAAAUUAAAAACUCAAAUCAGUAUUAGAAAAAGCCCGACUCAAACGCUAAAAAUCAAUUUUAAUUACCGAAAAUUAUGUCGAAACAUAAAAAACUUUCAGUGGGUAUCAACCCGGUGAACCGGGUUUUGACCACAAAAUAACAGUUUUGACCCAAAAUGACCUGAAACUCAUUUUUCAUCCCGGUCGACAUGGUUAGACCCGUAUCGACCCGGUGAACUCGGUUUUGAUGGAAAGAUGCGGUUGACUCGAGAAAAAAAUAUUCUUUUGAAUUUUAAACUUUUUUUAUUUUUUGGAUUUUUAUAAAUAAUAAUAGAAAUAAAAUAACAUUCAAGAAAAACUUGGUGAAUCCAAAAUUGGGUUACAACAAUGGGGACCCAAAAAUGGGUUACAAUAGUUGCCCCCCUCUUUACAAUGCUUACGGAGCAAAGAUUUGUGCAUAGUAAGUGUUGUAAAGAAAAAAUAACAUUGGUCUUCCGAAACUGGUCAUCUCAAAAUUUGAUUGACCUAAAACUUCAACCGGACCCAAAGUCCUGUGUAUGGUUGGGCUAAACUGAGAUUCCUUUCGCCAAUCCCCUUUAACCCGAAAAAAAGGAAAGAAUGUGAAGUGUAGUCUCAUUGUAAUGGGUGACCUACCCAGAUAUAAAACAUGGAGAAUUGGUCGCAUUGUAAUGGGUGACCUACCUAGAAAAAUGUUGGUGAGGGCUCAAAGGCGCACUUAAAAGGAGGUAGGGUUACAAAACGCUCUACCUGAAUGGUGGUGGCUCAAAGGCACACUUGGAAUGAGUUGAGGGCUCAAAGGCACACUUAAAAGGAGGUAGGGUUAGAAAACGCACUACCUAAGGGAUGAGGGCUCAAAGGCGCACUCAAUAAUGAAGGUGAGGGCUCAAAGGCGCACUCAAAAUGGAGGUAAGGGCUCAAAGGCGCACUCAAAAGGAGGUAGGGUUAGAAAACGCACUACCAAAGGGAUGAGGGCUCAAAGGCGCACUCAAAAUGGAGGUGAGGGCUCAAAGGCGCACUCAAAAGGAGGUAGGGUUAAAAAACGCACUACCCAAGGGAUGAGGGCUUAAAGGCGCACUCAAAAUAGAGGUGAGGGCUCAAAGGCGCGCUCAAAAGGAGUUGAGGGCUCAAAGGCGCACUCAAAAGGAGGUAGGGUUAGAAAACGCACUACCAAAGGGAUGAGGGCUCAAAGGCGCACUCAAAAUGGAGGUGAGGGCUCAAAGGCGCACUCAAACGGAGGUAGGGUUAUAAAACGCACUACCUAAAAGUGAUGUUGAAACAAUGAUUGUCAAUGUUGAAAAGCAAAUGCAUUAUGAUUGAUAUGCAUGUAUACUUACCUGAGAAAUAUAGGCCCCCAUUUCUUCAUGGUGUCUUUCUUUUCUCUCAAAAGUUGUAGUAUUGGUAGUAAACUUCGAUGGCUUUUCCACUUUUGCUUACUCGGGUUACAUCUUGUGAUCUUGACCUCUGGGAAGGGUUUGAUGUCAUCAUACAUCUUUGUCCUUCACCCAUUAUCUCAAGAGUUACCAAUUUUGCCCGACAUUUUCCUUAGAACAGGAAUCAUGGAGCCAGCCCUACCAUGUGUUUUUGAUUGCCCCCCAGCUUGAUCAUGCCCCCCAAGUGUUCAACUUGGGUUUAGUUUGGGGUGAGGAUAUGUGAAAGUGGGUUUUUUGGUACAAUGAAAUGUUUUCAUGCAAAAUUUUUGGAACGUCCAAGUUAUUCCAAUCACAAAAAUGAUUUUGACAUUGGUUCAAAAUAAACUUGUUCUAAAAAAUUCAAGUGAUUCCUAUGGACAGGUUUCUUGAAGUGAUGAAAGCUUUUUGCUUUUGGUUUAAAGAUGAAGUGACAUCUGGUUGGUCACAAAAGGUUUAAAUUUCAAUUUGAGGGUUAUUGAGAACCGAAUUGAUUCAAAGCAUUUAUUUUAUUUGCAUGAAUAAUGAUUUGACCCGCACGAGAAAGCACUGCCUACCUAUCCAGAUUGCUUGCCUUUGAUCAGAAAGGGCUUUAUCAGGUAUAUAAUGUAGGCUUUGGCUAUUGGUUACGAAGAAAAUGGAUAUGUUGCAGGCUCAAAAAGUGUUUAAGGGAUUUCAAAAACUAGGGAUCACUUGUGCUUGUUUCCUGACCUUUGUCUUUUGGAUUUGUUUUUUUUUUUUUUUUUCAAAAUGAUUUGUCCUGCCCCCCAGUGUCGGGUUUGGGCUUUUCUCUUUGUUUUCUUCGUUUUUGUUUCGUUGAGAACAAUCAUAUCAGUUGUUUUUAUGAGAAGCUCAAAUCUUUUAACCAAUCGCAGUAUUUAUCUUCACUGUUUCAUUUGGAUGAUAAUGAAAGAAGAAACAUUACAUGAUCAAUUCCAACACCCAUCUUCACUGCUUUGUCUGGAUGGUAAAAACAACAAACUCUCUUAUUUUGCCCCCCAGUGUGGGGUGUGAUCCUAGUCAAGGUUAUUUCCAAAAAACGCUACUAGGCUCAACAUGGGACUGCAAAGGAUAUAUUUCAGUCUUGUGAAAGGAUUAUCAAAGAUGGCCUUUCCUCAUCUCAAAUGCACUGCAGUGAGGAUCGAUAGGUCUUGCUUUCAUGCGCGUAUGCAAAGUGAUUUAUUCAGUCAAAUAAAACUCAGCUUUUGAGUCACCUCAUAGUGUUGUUUGUCUUUAUUGUCUUUUUUUCUUUCAAGUUUUCUAGGUAUAUGUGUACCUAUUUAAGGAAUCACUUGAAUUUUCAAAAUGCAUUUGUUUUGGACAAAUAUCAACACGAUUUGCUCAAAAUGUUAUUUACAUGUAAUAACAACAAAGAAGAGUGUGAUGUGAACACAAGAAAACACAUGAUCUUAUUUCACAAGAGAAGCUCAUUAACAGAGAGUCUUAUUCAAAAGCAUUAACAAAAUGAAAUAACAAGGCAGGCUUCAUUCCUCUAUUUUGGCGAAUCUGUUCAUAGGCUAAACUUUUCUCAAAAGGUCUGCGUAGAGGACUCAAAGACAAUGCGGAACAACACCACGGUCAAAAAUUCAAGCUAUCAUGCUGGACCAUUGAUGCUUUCCAAUUCCCCAAACAUUCCAUCCUAAUAUGCUUCAAGCAUGAUUAGGCAGCGGGUUCGUAUUCACAUUGGGGGUGUCUUCCAACUCUAUCCAACCAGCCUUGAUUAAUUGCAGAAGCUUUCUCUUGAAGGCGUUGCAGGUAUAGAUGCUAUGCCCAGUAAUACCGGUAUGGUAUUCACAUUUGAGUUCUGGUUUGUACCAAUUAGGAUAAGGUGGCUGCAGAGGUGUUAGAGGUUCUGGAGCUAUUUGCCCAAUGCUCAAUAGCUUUUGAUACAUCUCAUUCAGGGGUAACGGUAGUGGAGGCAGUUGUUCUUGAACCCUUUGGAAAUUUCCAAUUUGGCUUUUGGCUUGAAAGUUUUGGGGUUUAGGUUUUUGGAUGUUGGCAAUUUGGGAUGGAGUAUGGUAAUUUUGGGAUGUAUUAUUUUUACCCAUGUAGCCAUCUUCAACAUGGUGAACCUCUUUUCUUUCGAAGCCUCUUUUCUCGGUUGGUGCAUAAAUUCUACCACUCUUGACAUCUUGCUCUAUGCGUUCACACACUAUCACGGCAUCAGUGAAUUGUUGGGCUGAACUACCCAUCAUAUGUUCGUAAUAUGGUGCUUUGAGUGUGUUGGCAAAUAAAGAGACCAUCUCUUUGUCCAGAAGUGGGGGAUGUACUUGAGCAGCUAAUUCUCGCCAUCUUUGAGCAUAUUCCCUUAUGCUUUCUUUAUCCUUUUUCUCUAUAUUGGACAAACUGGUUCUGUCGGGCGCAAUGUCCAUGUUGUAUUUGUAUUGCUUGACGAAAGCAUCCACAAGAUUUUUCCAGUUGCGAAUUUUUGUGUUAUCCAAUCUCAUGUACCAACUCAAAGUUGCCCCACUUAAACUGUCUUGGAAAAAGUGCAUUAGUAGUUUUUCAUCAUGUACUACCUCAGCCAUUUUAUUGCAGUAGGACCUGAGAUGAGUCAUGGGGCAUUGUGUUCCAUUGUAUUUGAUGAAUUCAGGAACACAAAAUUUCUUUGGGAUAACCACGUUUGGGACCAAACACAUCUCUGCUGCCCGUACCGGGUCAUAUAAGUCUACCCCUUCAAUGGCUUUGAGUCUGGCUUCCAGCGCCUCUAUCUUAGCUUGAUCAAUGCUAUCAGAUGACUUAGCCUUGUGGGACUCAUUAGCAGAUGCCUUCACAACUGUUGGGGAUGGUGCAGGUGUCGUUGACUGCACAAAUGUUGGAUUUUGCUGAGGUUCUUGACCAUGUUCGCUCAUUCUUUCCUCAGGCUGAACUGAAGUAGGAGCCGGAUCAAAGGUGAUCGGUUGAUUAGAAGGACCUUCAUCAGAGGUAUUUCUUAGUGUUUGCUUGAGUAAGCUAGUGAGGUGAGCCACACUUAUUUUCAGAGACUCCAACUCGUCGUGCAAAUAGGCCUCACGUUGAGCACGUUCUUCAUCUUCCAUGUUUCUUGCUCGAAGUCGGGUGUUGUAGACUUUUUGGGGACCUAUAUUUCAAUCUGACAUGUAUGCAUGUUAAAUGUAUGAACAUGUAAUCUAUAUGACGAACUCGCCCUUCGAGGGGUGACAUAUGGUCGCAACUCUUGUAUGAUGAAACAAGAAUCUUGAUUCUUGCACAAACUCUACAAUGAAAAUUUUCUGAGCGACGGUCAUUGUGUCACCCAUAAGUCUGGAGUUCAAGAUGCUUCAAGAAGGGCUUGCUCGGAUGCAAAACAAUGUAUACGGAGCAUACAUCCUAAAAGCAGGUUCUAAUCUUUUUAAGUGAGACAAAAGGUAGGUUUACUAUUUGGUCUCUAAAAAAGGACUCUCGUUGUCCCAGUGAUCGCCCUCGUGGAGGCAAUAUGGGGGCUUGUAGGCAGUGAGAUGGCACGUGUCCAACUAUUACCAGUCUAAGCACUCAACGAAGAGUUGGGGUUUACACAAACUUAAACCUUGACUAAAAGUCAUAAGGUAAGCUGCUAGUUCCCCCCUAACCUGAAGCUUGUGUGUGCUUUAAAAAAAUUAACUAUGUGAUGCAUGAGAUAAAUAUGUACAAAAAUUAAAGCGCACAACUAAAUAUGAACAAAUAUAUAAAGAAAAUGCAUAUUUAAAAAUAAAAAUGCAAACCACAACAAUAAAACACAAUCAACAGACAAAACAAAGCUUAGUCCACAAAGUCCCCAGUGGAGUCGCCAUUCUGUCGCACGUGUGCGGCGGCGCGGCGAUCAUCUUCCCUCAAGGAAAAAUCGGAAUAUUUAUUCUUGGAAAAUAGGGAGAGACAAGGAAUUCUUGUCUCUACAAGUGAAAAUAUAGACUGGGAGUCGCCACCUAGUGUUCUAGUUACUAGGAACCUUAACUGGUCUUUAGAGAUCGGGUACGGAGACUGGUUGCGUAAAGGGAAGGUAUUAGCACCUCAACUACGCCCUACCUAAGGUAGCUGCAUUGUUUUAAUGUCUGAUAAAAUCUAAGGUCGUGUUGUGUUUUUUAUUGUUCGGAAUACGCAUUACAUGUAAUGUCAUACCCCAGGUUCUAUUGUCCAAAAAAAAAGAAUUAAAUAUCCGGAAUAUGCAUUACGUGUAAAGUCAUACCCCGGAUACUAAGAGACAAACAAAAUAAAAUUUUUGUUGUUUUUGAAAUAUUGGCCAAUAUUCUCUUGACUUUAAUAAACUGGUUAUUAAAGCCAAAAUGCAUGCUAAAACAUUUUUUUUGGUGUAUGAAAAAAUACAAUAAAUUUUUAGCUUUGAGACACUUGGCCGUAUGCACAAAAACAUUUUUUUUUUUAAUUUUUUUUGUAUUUUGUGGAAGUUUUUGACGAAAACCGGGUAUUUAAAAAUCAGAUUUUUGUAUUUUUAACAACAUAAAAAAAUACCACCAAAUAUUAAUCAAAAUGACAUAAAAAUUACGCGGAAAAAUUAUAAAAUGCUGAAACAAAUAUUUUUGAUUUUUUUCUUUGAAAUGGGCCGGAUCAGGCCCAAAUAUAUGGGCUGGGCCGAACCUGGCCCAAAGAAUGGGCUGGUUACUGUGCACAUAGUAACCGGGUUACUGUGUGUACAGUAACCAGAGAAUUAAUCUGCGGGUUACUGUGCACAUGCACAGUAACCGUGAAUUAAUUAGCGAGUUACUUGCACAGCACAUAACUCGCUAAUUAAUCUUACAUGCGGAACAAAAAAAACGACAGGAAAGGCUACCUGCAGUGGUGAUGUUGGACUCUCUUCUCUGCUUCUUCUUCUUCUGCUUUCUUCUCUCUGUCUCUCCCUUCUCUUCUCUUCUCCUCUCUUUUCUUCCCCCUUUCUUCAGUGAUUGUCUAAAAAUCAAUUUUAAUUACCGAAAAUUAUGUCGAAACAUAAAAAACUUUCAGUGGGUAUCAACCCGCUGAACCGGGUUUUGACCACAAAAUAACAGUUUUGACCCAAAAUGACCUGAAACUCAUUUUUCAUCCCGGUCGACAUGGUUAGACCCGUAUCGACCCGGUGAACUCGGUUUUGAUGGAAAGAUGCGGUUGACUCGAGAAAAAAAUAUUCUUUUGAAUUUUAAACUUUUUUUAUUUUUGGGAUUUUUAUAAAUAAUAAUAGAAAUAAAAUAACAUUCAAGAAAAACUUGGUGAAUCCAAAAUUGGGUUACAACAAUGGGAAUCCAAAAAUGGGUUACAACAGCGGGUACGGCGAAUUAAACUAGUUGGCUGGGGUUUUAUUCUAUUUUAUUUUAUUUUCAAUUUUAUCAUUCAAUAUUGGUUUUAAUAAAGAAUUAGGUUUCAUGAUUUAUUUUAUUUGCUUUCUAUUAGGUUAAUCUGGUUUCAUGACCCGAAAAUAGUUUUUAAUAGAUUAAUCUCAAGUUAACUCAGGUUAUUUUUUAUGUUUUUUGUUUAAUUGAAUUUCUUUUCAAUUUUAUCAUUGAAUAUUAGGUCGGUUGGAAAUUGAGCUUUCAUAAUUUAUUCUGAUUUCUUUUCUACUAGGAUAUUUUGGUAUCAUGAUCAGUGUUGUGGGUUUUGGUAUUUUAACCUCGGUUAAAUCAUGUUGUUAUUUUUUUAUUUUCUUUCAAGAGGUUAUCUUGAUCUCAUGUCCUUCAACAUUAUAUUUGUUUUUUUAUUGGGUUGUCCAUGUUUUAUGAUCUAAGUUGCGUGUUUGACAAAUUAAUCCAGUUGACUCAGUUUUUUAUAACUAAUUUUUUUCUCAAUUUUAUCAUUUAAUAUUGUGUUUGAUUGAGAAUUAAACUUCAUUAUUUAUUUUGAUUUGAUUUUAUGGGAUUAUUUCAGCUUAAUGACUCGGGAAUAAUACUUAACGGGUUAACAUAUAUUAACUUAGCUCUUUUUUUAAUUAAAAUUUUUACAAAUUUCAUCAUUUAACCCUAGGUCCGAUAGAAUCGAUUAAAAAUUAAGCUUCAUAAUUUUUUUUUCAUUUACUUUUUAUUGGGUUAUAUCAACCUCAUGACUAGAUUUAUAAAUUUGAUAGGUUAAUCUAAUAACUUAAAUCAAGUUUUUUUUUUUUAAGGUCAUCUUAAUUUUUUUAUUUUAGUCAUGAGUUUUACUUGUAUCAUUGUUAUUUUUCCCCUCCCGUGCAGUUCAAUGGCAAGCUGGGGUUGUGUUUUUUGGGCAUGGGAUUUGCUUACAUUUUGAUCCUCCAUGCAGACGGCAGGAUGUCACUGUCAUAAAAAACUAAAUUUGCUUCUUCUUUUUUUUUUAGCUUAUCAUAAAAGACAAUAAAGAUGAAAUGCUUUCUAUCAUAAUAGGUUAUUACCUGCCUUUUUUUAAUGUUGUCUAUGCUCUUGAACUUGAUAAAUGCUCAAAUGUGAAAUCAAUUGUUUUUUGGGACAAUAAUAGAUGACAUGCUUUCUAUCCUAAUUGUUUUUUGGGACAAUAAGAAGUUUUCAAAAAAUAUAUAUUGUUAAUUCCCUUAGCAUAACUUCCUAGCAGGGCAAAGGAUUUUGAAAAAGAAAAAGGAAAUGAAGACCAUGCUGCCACUUUUUUUUAUAUCUUUUUUUUUUUUGAAUAUUUAGACACUUAUAUAUAUCAAAGUAUCUCUUUACAUCAAUAUUUAUCAGACUUAAAAAGUGAAUUAAAAACACUCAUAUAUGUGCAAGUAUAUAAACACAUCUAAACACAUAAACUAAAUCAACAUUUUACUUAUUAGGAAUUAAAUUUUAUAAUUUAUUUUAAUUUUUUUGGUGAGGUUAUCUCAGUCUUAUAAUCUAAAUUGCAAGUUUGACAGAUUAACUUGGGUUGUUUUUUUAAGUCUUUUUUUAAUUGAUUUUGUUUUUAAUUUCAUUCUUUAACUUUGAGUUGAUUGAAAAUUAAGCUUUAUAAUUUGUUUUCCAUGGAGUUAUCAUAGUCUCAUAACCCAAGUCACAGAUUUGACAUAUUAACUUAAGUUGAUCGAAGUCAGUCUAAUAUAUUGUUAUCUUAAUAUUUUUUUUUAAAAAAAAUCAUCUUGAAUUAUUUUUAAUCAAAUUAUGUUUUUAUUGGUCAUUUGAAUUACUUUUAGACCUUCAAAGUCAAUCAUGUCAUAUUGAGUCAAUACCCACACAAUUUAAAUUUCUUUUCCACUAAAAUAUACAUUAGCAACAUCUAAAUAUUUUUUUAUGUUCAAGAAAAAUUUGAUCCAACCCACGUAGCUAGUGCGGGUCAAUAAUCUAGCACACGCAAUAAACUAAAACAAUAUCUCACUAUACAUGUACAUGCAUUCAUAAAACACUAUUAAGAGAAUCAAACUAAAAAAUUCUAUCACAAAUUGUUUUAAAAUUCUUUAUUUUCUAUUUGUAACAAACAAUUUAUUCCAAAUAAUGAAUUUUUUUUAAAAAAAAUACAACUGAAUUUUAUUUGAUAGCAAAUCAAGGACUGAUUAUUUUAGUUGUAAAUCAAGUUCAUAAAUUUUAGCUUAAAUUUUAAUUUUUUUGUUUAAUUAUUGAAAAAUUAUUGUUAUUGUUAUUGUUAUUGUUAUUGUUAUUGUUAUUGUCAUAUGAAAAUAUACUUACUAUGAUAUUAAAUAUUAAUAACUAUCUAAUUAGGAAAAAUUAAUUAUUCAUAGUAAAUACAAAUUUAAUAUCAUUAUAUAUAUAUAUAAACAAAUUCCAAAUUUUCAUUACUGUGAAAAAAAUCAGAUUUUUGUGAACAUUUGUUUGUAGUAUAUGCUGGAUUAAUCAAUAUUUUAUUGAUUAAUUUAUUAAUCAAAUUCAUUAAUAUGGAAUCCUAUCACUCUAAGAUUAUAUAAAUUAUAUAAAUGCAAUUAUUGAUUAAUUUAUAAUUUAUAAUUUUUAUUUUAAUUUUUUUAAUUUUUUUCUUUGUUUUCUUAUCAUAAAAAACACUGGAGAUGAAAAGUUUACAAAAACAUUUUAUUGUUAAUUCCCUCUUCUAAAACAUAACUUGCUAGCAAGGCAAAGGAUUUUGGAAUACAAAAGUGAAAAGGAAAGGAUGACUAUGCUAGCACUUCUUCCUUUUUUUAAUGUUUUUUCUAAUACUUAGACACUCGUAUGCAUCAAAGUAUCUCGCUACAUUAAUUAAUAGUUAUUAAACUUAAAAAGUGAAUAAAAAAAACACAUAUAUGAAAUUUUAUUUGAUAACAAAUCUGGGAUUGAUUGUUUUAGUUUGAAAUUUUUUUCAAACAAAUUCCAAAUUUGCAUUAUUUUGAAAAAAAAUCAGAUUUUUGUAAACAUUUGUUUGUAGUAUAUGCUGGAUUAAUCAAUAUUUUAUUGAUUAAUUUAUUAAUCAAAUUCAUGAAUAUGGAAUAAUAUCAAUCUAAGAUUAUAUAAAUUAUAUAAAUGCAAUUAUUGAUUAAUUUAUAAUUUUUAUGUUUUUUUUUAAGUUUUUUCUUUGUUUUCUUAUCAUAAAAAACACUAGAGAUGAAAAGUUUACAAAAACAUUUUAUUGUUAAUUCCCUCUUCUAAAACAUAACUUGCUAGCAAGGCAAAGGAUUUUGGAACACAAAGGUUAAAGGAAAGGAUGACUAUGCUAGCACUUCUUCCUUUUUUAAUGUUUUUUUUUCUAAUACUUAGACACUACAUUAAUAGUUAUUGAACUUAAAAAGUGAAUAAAAAACACAAAUAUAUGAAAUUUCAUUUGAUAGCAAAUCUUGGAUUGAUUGUUUUAGUUUGAAAUCUUUUUCACAAAUUUUAGCUAAAAUUUAAAAUUUUUGUCUUAUUAUUAUUAUAACCCAAUUUUUUAAUUUAAAAAAAAUGAAUGGAUAAAAAAAUAAUUUGAGAUUUAGGUUAGGACAACACAAAUUGAAAGUUUGAGGAUUAAUAAUGAUGAAAUUAUAAAUUUGGCAGUCAAUGUGUAAAAAAAUAGAAGAAUUAAUAUGUUUGGGGACUUAAAUAAACUUUUAUUUAAUUAAUUAAUGCAAUCAAGGGCUUAAUUGAAGAAAUAUCAAAGUUUGAGGCUGAUUUGAGUCACAAUUACUAGCAAUUAAAGUUCUAGAAUCAAAGUGAAUAGCCAGUGAUACUAUGGGGGUGUUAAUUGAUUUUUUCAGGGGUAAUUUUGAUUGAAUUAAAAGUUAAAGAGUCAAUUGAAGAGUGAAUUGAUUAAAUUAGAAAUCAAGUACUGUUUUGUAAAUGGCUUUGAAACUUAGGAGUUGAAUUGCAAUUUGAUCCAAGGGUAACAUUAAGAAAAGAAAAAAGAGAUUUUUCUUGAUUAAAGACCCAAUUGUUAAGUGUCAGAAAUUUAAGGGUUAAAUUGAAAAUAAUCAUUUUGAGUGAAAUGAUGUCGUUUUCUACCUUGUUCAUUAUCUGUUCUUCCUCUUGAAGACCUGAUCAACAAGAAACACAACUAAAAAAAAUCACGGACCACGAUGCCAAUAUCCCCACCCACACGAUGAAUUAUGUCUAUCGCAACUGGCUUGUAACUCGUAAGAAUGUGAGCCUUGGGCUUGGUUGAGGCGGAUAUGUGGCAAUUACAUAUUCCCGGUUCAACUCUGAGAACCAUUGUAACGCAAACAUAAGAAAUCAAUUAGCUAAUGUGUUCAUAAAAAACAAAUAUAAAACUUUGGUACAAGGACCACAUGCAAUCGACUUUUAUAAUCGGUUAAUAAGCGUUAUUCUCCUUAAAAUAAUGAUAAAAUAUAAUUUCUAAAUCUUUAUUAAAAAGCUUAAUUUCUCAAAUAUUGAGAGAAUCAUAUAUAUAGUUACUACAUAUCGAGAAUUUAAAAAUUUCUAUGUAAAUAUAUACUAUAUAUAUAUAAAAAACUAAAGUAUUAAUAAAUUAAUUUUAUAUUUUUUUAGUUUUAAGCACUCGAAUUCUCUAUAAAUAAAAAUAGAUAAUUGAAAGCUUGUUAUUUAAUGGUAUAAAAUAAAAGAAUAAAAAAAAAACUUGAUUUCACAUCAUUCAUCCAAAUCUGACUAAUGCUUUAAGACCUAGCCAAUAUCUUAGAUUGCCCGGUUACGGGUUAAAAGGUCUCUCAUAAGAUUAUUAGAUUUUUAUGGCCUCAAAAGGCCAGAGUAAUUAGAUUAUCUUGAAAGGGCAGGCAUGAAUUUGACUUCACAAAUGAUUUCUUUUUUCUAGAGAAAUUAACAAUAAUUUAAUGAAGGACAACUUACCUGACUUUACAUCAUCUUCUCUAUAGUCUCAUGGCCAGAAAGUUGUCCUCCUCAUCCAAUAUUAAUAAUCUUAAAAUAAAAUUUAUGAAUUAAAUAUGCCAUUUUUAUUUUAAGAUUAAGAAUUCUUUAAGAAUUUGGACUCAUUUUCAAGCAAGUUAAGAAUUCUUUAAUUAAUAAUUCCUAAUUAUAAAGGGAUCUGCAUUGAUUUUUUGGAGUCAUUUUUACUCUCUUAAACUGUAGUAAGGUUUCUUAAUUAGGUGGCGAGAAAUCUGUCUGAAUUCGUUAUUUAUUCUAAUAAAAUAGCAUGCAAUUUAGUCUUUCUUAACCAAGUUGCAAAUUGGCUCUGAAUUUUCUAAACUUUUUGGCGUUGUCCAUCCUUCUUCGUAUUAUAAACUAGUUAUUUGACUCAGAGACUAUCACGUUCAUAAUCACUCUAUUUCCUAUUUAACUCUUUAAAAGGCCAGAAAAAAGCUCAGUUGUUGGGCCCACUGCCCAACAUGCCUGGCCAUUAUAAAAAAAGCUUAAGCAUGUGGGUGGGCCUUCAAGCCCAGCCCCGCAUGCUUGGGCUUUGUUUUAUUUUUUUUAUAUAUAAAAAAAAAAACAUAAACAUACAUUUUGUCUACAAAUCUGGAUUCCGGACACUAAAAUAGUAACUGGAAAAUCACGUCUUUUUUGGUAAAAAAAACUACACCUUAUCAACAUCAGGGCAACACCUUUUUUGGUUUUUUUUUUUUAAAAAAAAUACCUCUAUUUUAAGAUAUCAUAGCCCCAAAACACCUUACAAACAUCUUUAUAGCACCCGAAAAUUAUUCCAUCAACUUCAAAUACCCAAAAAAAUAGCCCAAAAAUCUAAAGUCAAAUCGGUUUAGUUUUAGUUUUCUUGGUUUAGAUCUGGAAUUUUACGCACCAUUAAAGCUCUAAACAACCAUCAUGAAACUCCUCUCAUAUCUGAGAACCCGUGGACACCAAUAAAAUCCAUUUUGGUGGUCGAAAAUGGAGUGAACAAUGACUUUAUCUCUUAUAAUUAGAAUCUGGCAACGCUUAUCUCUCUCUUCUCUGUAACCUUAGACUGAAAAAUAAUACAAAUAAACUUGUGUACCAAAACUAAUUUCAAGAGACCUGAAUUCUAUGAAUGAUUUUAUUUUUAAAGAUCAAAUACCUAAGUAUAUUUUGCUUGAAGUCUCUGGUACAUCAUUCAUGUUUGAUGUCUUUUUUAUUUUAAUCCUUAUUUUUUAAUUUCACUCUUGAUUAAAAAAUUAUAAGUAAUUCGCUUUCAAUUACGAUCAAAUUAUAUAAAAUAAAUUUUGAGACUCAAAAUAAAUUAUUAUAUAAAAAAAUUCAUAAUGUUUUGUGAAUGUAUGAACAAUAUUCAAAUAUAAUAAUAAAAAAAACAAACCACACGGUUUUAGAGUUUGUUAUAAAUCCAUCAUUUAGACUCGAAUCAAAACCUCACAGGAGGACAGAUUCAUUACGGCAUGCACACCAAAAUGGAAUUUCAACGAGAGAGAUAUAUACAGAUGGUUUUUUCUUAUUGGGCAAGUGCAGUGGAAUUACACAUCAUUUAUACGAGUAAUGUGUCGCUGCGAAAAUUUGACAGCAUUCAGGAUAUCACUAGCUAUUUAUUUAAUGUGUUUCUUAUAUUUUAUUAAAAUCUUCAAAGUAAAAAAAUUUAAAAUAUAUAUAUGAUUAUGAUUUAAAAAAACUACCCCAAGGUGGUAGUCUAUAGCCGUAUAUCAACUAGGGGCUUGGGGUUUGCUUCUUCAGAACUCUGGUACUAGAAAAGUUAUCCUUCAUGAACAACAGUGAUUUCAGAAGCUGCUGAUUUCUUCGGUUUUUAAAGGAAGAAAAAGCGUUAAUAACCACAAAUUACAUUUAUUUUCCUUUUUGAUAUUUUGUUGCAAUAUCUUUUCUUUUGCCCUGCUGGAAAGUUAUAUCUGUUUUUAUCAGAACAAUAAAAAAAUAAAAAAUAAAUUGUUUGGCCCAUCCAUCCUUAUAAUUGAGCUUGGACUCGUCCAUAUGUAUCCACGUCACUUUUGUCACUGGAGUCAACCAAUUGCCUCCUUGGUUCCCUCGAAUAUACCGUAUGCAGGUGCUGUUUAUAACAAGCAAAUUCUAUCCUCCCGUACAGUUCAACGGCAAGCUGGGGUUGUGUUUUUGGGCAUGGGAUUUGCUUACAUUUUGAUCCUCCAUGCAGACUGCAAGAUGUCCCUUGGUGAAGCUGCUAAUAUUCAUACUUCGUUAAAAAAACUACAAAUUACAUUACAAACAACACUGUAGUAAUCAAUAUUUAGAAAUAGUGCUUUCUGAAUUUCCAGAUCUCAAUUUUAUUAUAUUCCAUAUUACCUGUAGAAUAAAAGAAAAUACAACUCAUUCUUGAAAUGGUGAUGUUGCUUUUUUACUGCAGAUACAGCAUAGAGAAUAUAUCUGAAUUAGAGGUUUUCAUAGCCAUGCCACAAACUCUUCUGCUUUACAGGUUCCUUGUUUAGCAAGAACAUCUGCACGGUGACUAAUCUCCCUUGGUGUACGUACGAGUGAAGGAUACAGGACCCAAGCAAGAUGAAAAUCUACCUGCUAGGAUGAAAAGAUCAUUAAAGCGCCACGACCUGAUAAGGGGUUUAGUCAUCCAUUGUUUUUGGGGACAAUAAAAAGUUUUUUUAAAAAAACUUUAUUGUUAAUUCCCUCGUCAUAACUUCCUAGGUAAAGGAUUUUGAAACACAAAAGAAAAGGAAAGGAUGACCAUGCUGCCACUUCUUUUUUUUAAAAAAUUAUUUUUAUUUGAUACUUAGACACUUAUAUAUAUUAAAAUAUCUUGCUAUAUCAAUAUUUAUCAUACUUAAAAAGUGAAUUAAACACACACAUACAUGCAAGUGUAUGCACACAUGCUCACACAAAUAUAAACUAAAUCAGCACUUCACUCUAAAUAUUGGAUAUACAUCUAUAAAAUAUUAUUUAUAGCAAAUGAAACUAAAACAUUUUAUCACAAUUUUGAAAGAAAAUAUCUGAGAGUAUUUUUUUCCCUUCUUUUUAUAAGCAGGGAAUAUUGAAACUUUAACACUCAAAUAUAUCAAACUAUCUCACUACAUCAAUAGUUUUCGGACUUUAAAAAAGUUAAUCAAACACAUUGUUAUAAUCUAAAACAUGCAGGUAAAGUAUUAUAGCAAUAGUAAUUUCUCCAAAUGUUUUAGUAUGGCUCUAAAAAAUUCAUUUGCUUUUGAUUUUUUUAUAUAUUUUUUUCAAUCAAUAUUUUAUUUUUUAAUUUUAUCAUUUUAAUAUUAAAUUAUUUUAUUGGAUUAUCUCAUUCUUAAAACAAAUCGCAGGUUUGACGGGUUUUUAAUUUAUUCCAAAUAAUGAAUAUUUUUUGAAAAAUUACAACUGAACUUUAUUUGAUAGCAAAUCUACAACUAAUUAUUUUAGUUGUAAAUCAUGUUCAUAAAUUUUAGCUUAAAUUUUAAUAUUUUUUUAUUAUUGAAAAAUUAUAUUAUUAUUAUUAUUAUUAUAUGAAAAUUCAUUAUUUUUAAAAAAUGGUGAUACUUACUAUGAUAUUAAUUAUUAAUAACUAUCUAAUUACGAAAAUUAACUAUUUCAUACUAAAUAGAAAUUUAUCAUAUAUAUAUAUAUAUAUAUAUAUUGUUAAUUCCCUUGUCUGUCUAAUUAUUUUUUAGGACAAUAAAAAGUUUUCAAAUUUUUUUUAUUGUUAAUUCCCUUGUAUAAAGCAUAACUUGCUAGCAAGGCAUAGGAUUUUGGAAUACAAAAGUGAAAAGGAAAGCAUGACUAUGCUAGCACCUCUUCUUCUUUUCUUUUUUUUUAAUUGUUUCUAAUACUUAGACACUCAUAUACAUCAAAGUAUCUCACUAUAUUAAUAAUUGUUGAACUUAAAAAGUGAAUAAAAAGCAUACAUAUUUUAUUUGAUAACGGGAUUGAUUGUUUUAGUUUGAAAUCUUGUCACAAAUUUUAGCUAUUUAAAAUUGUUGUCUCAUUAUUGAAAAACAUUAUUAUUAUUAUUAUUAUUUUCAUAACCCAAUUUUUGAAUUUUCUAAAAAAAAUUAAUAAAAUAUAAAAGAAAUAACAAGAUAACAAAAUAAAUAAAUGAAUAAAACAAUAAUUUAAAAUUGGGUUAAGACAACACAAAUUGAAAGUUUGAGGAUUAAUAAUGAUGAAAUUAUAAAUUUGAGAGUUAAUUUGAUUAAAAAGUGGACGAAUUAAUAAAUUUAGAGACUUAAUUAAACUUUGAUUUAAUUAAUUAAUGCAAUCAAGGGCUUAAUUGAAGAAAUAUCAUUUUUGGGGUUAAUUUGGGUCGCAAUUGCAAGAAAUUAAAGUACAAGGACUAAAGUUAAUAUGCAGUGAUACUAUAGGGGUUCAAAUAAUUUGUUCAGGGGUAAUUUUGAAAGAAUUAAAAGUUGAAGAGUCAAUUAUGUACUGAAUUGAUUACAUUGAAAAGCAAGUACUGUUUUGUAAAUGACGUUGAAGUUUAGGGGUUCAAUUGCAAUUUGAUCCAGGAGCAAAAUUAAAAAAAGAAGAAGAGAUUUUCCAAGAUUAGGGACCCAAUCGUUAAAUUUCAGAAGUUCAAAGGCUAAAUCGUAAACAGUCAUUUCAGAACACACACUAUUCAUCAUCUCUUCAUCCUGAAGACCGGAUCAACAGGAAACACAACCAAAAAUAUCAUGGACCACGCCGCCAAUAUCCCCACCCACACGAUGAAUCUCAAAGUGAACGUGGGUCGUAGAAUUUUCUGUUCCCAUCGUGCAGGUCGCCCAUGAUAAUGGGGGGGGGGGGGCAGGAGACCAUGGACACUGGAACAAUACAGGGGAAGCACGGGCAGGGAGGACGAACUGAGAGGGGGGAACAACACAGGGGGAGCAUACAACAGGGACGAACAGAGGAAACCAGGGGAGAAGGAAGACCGAGGGAGCGAUGGUAAUACAGACAGACCAGAUGAGAAAGUCACAAGGAACGAACAGACAGAGAGACGAAGAAGAAAAGGCACAGAACAGAAGGCGAGAGAACAGGACGAACAACACAAGAAUACCAGGAGACAAAUACAGAGAAAGAACAGGCGACCCAAGAAAGUGAAAGACGAAAAGAAGCAGAGGAGAGAGUUUCUUUUCGUCAAGCAACCUCACGCCUUCAUCGCCAUCAUCCUCGACUUGCAGCGACCAGGUAAGUUCUUCAUUUCCCUCUCCUUUACAAUUAUAAUUGCAUAGGUACUCUUCUUAUGCAGUUUUAAUUCAAUCUUGCGACUUCAGCAAUUAUAAUCCAGUGGCUGGGUGUGCACCCGUGCCUUAUCCUUUUAUUUUCACCCUCAAUGUUUUUAAAACUCUUUUUUUACUCUAAAUGAAAAAAAAUAAUAUAAACUCUAAAUGAAAAAUAUAAUAUAAACUUGAAUUGUAAAAUUAUAAAAGUGCAAUUAAUUUUUUUUAAAUAAUUAUAUAUUGAAAAUUCUAAUCAUGAAAUUAAAUUAUAUAAAAAUUUGAUAAAUUAAGUCAACAAUAUUAUAAUCAAUGAAUGAUCUAAAUAAAAUGAGAGAGACAAAUAGUAUGAAUCAAUAAAUUAAUGAUAUUUUAAAAUAAAAAGUUUCAAAAUAAAACUUUUCAAUACAUGAAUGAUAGGAAGUAUACAUGAAUCUGGUGAUAACUUGGUUGUUCUCAUCUCAAUAAGUCCUAAUAGACCUCUUUUGGAUUGCAAGCUAAUGAACUUAAAGUAGUUAUUAGCUAAUAAACAAUGUCUAAUGCACUAGAAAAAAAUUCAAAUUCAAAAUAAUUAUUCAAAAUUAAAUAAAUAAAUAAAUAAUAAAAAAAAUCUUCACGUUAAAAUUCCUCAAUGUAUUUGCGAAUAUCCAAUUUUUGCAUAUAUCUUGGCAGAUUUGAGUUUUGAUUUCAAACAUGUCGUUCUUUCUCGUGUUGAUGAAUUACUGAGCAUACGAUAUAUGGUUAUAAAGCUUUAGAUGUCUAGUUUCCAACCCAACUUUAAUCGUAGCAAAAUUUCACUAGUAGCUUUAGAUAUAUCUCAAACAAUAUAUAAAGGUCUAGCUUGACAUAUUUGAUAAGAUUCAUCUACUAACUAUGACCCUCUAAAAUAUUAUGUUCUCAAACUCUAUUUGACUUGAAAAUUUACCAUAAUAUAUUUUCAUGUGUCUAAUAUUUUCCUGUAAAAUUUUAGCUCUAUCAAAUAUAUAGUGUGAAAAGAUAUGUUCAAUCUCUCAAAUCUGGUUAGUAGACAUUUUAAAACCAAAUUUAGAUUUGACUUGGUUCAUAUCAUAAAUUUAGUAAGCUCGUAAAAUCAAAUUGAGUUUACCGAGUUUACUAAUUUUACUGUUUUUGCACAAGUUAAGUUUGACUUUGCAAGUUAGAUACAUGUUGACUCAUAAAAUUGUAAGUUACCGGAUUUUAACAACAAUGUUCACCUUUCUUUAUUUUAAUAUCUAGUCAAACAGGUCUUUUCUGAUAUCAUAAAAUUCCAAAAAAAAUUGUGGAUCUUUUUGAAUUUAUUUAUAGGUCCCUUGUAUUUUUUUAGGUAUUUCACUAUAUUAUUAAUAUGUGAAUUUUUACUAUAAAAUAUAAAUCUGUUAUAUGAUAUAUUUAAAAAAUAUAUAUAUUUUUAGAAUUUUUAAAGUUCAUCACGUUGUGGGUGUGAUAAUUAUUAUUAUUAUUGAAAAAGAUGAUGAUUCUAUGAUAUUAAUUACUAAUUAAUAACUAUCCAAUUAGGUAAAUUGAUUAUUCCAUACUAAAUAAAAUUUUAUCUUUGAUUUUCUCAACAAAUAUGUGACCUAUAUAAACCUACGACAAAUAAUAUCAAUUGAUGGUAAGCUUCCACAUCUAAUUAUAUAAUAUAUAGGUUUUGAAGAGAUAGGGUGAAGGCUACAGUAAAUGUUACCGUUAUCAGCGCUGAUAACUAUACGGGACUCUGUUGCUUUACUCAAAGCAUCCUCUUCCCCUUUGUUUCUCCCAUCACUUCCUCUUUUGUGAGAUGCCAAGGAAGUAGGAACAAUGCAUAUACCCUUUCUGCUUAUAAUUAUUAACUAGUCCAAGUUUGAUACUUUUCCAUAAAUAUCAUCAGAAAAAAAAUAAAAAACAAAGAAAAACCAAAAAAAUAUAUUUUUGAUAUAUUUACAUUGUUUUAAUAUUUUCAAAAUCAUCUCAAAAAAAUUUAAAUUUUAAAAGUAUUUUGAAUAAGUUUAACUUUUAACACGUAAAUUUUAUGAUCACUGAUUUUUAUUGUUGAGUCGACGUUGAUAUUACUUAUUUUUUAAAAUAUAAAAAUUAAAAAAAAUUAAAAUUAAAAGGAAAAUAGAAAAAAAAAAAAUUAAGAAACUAAUUUGAAAAUAUAACAAUAUUUUACCUUUAAAUACUAGCCUACAGUAAAGUUAUAUAAAAAAAAAAAAUUCAGGCAAAAACCUAACCUAAAAUUUAUCUACAGGCAAGCCGCCGUCCGACGCCCUUUCAGCUUUUAGUUUUUUUGGUCCCAGAACCAGCAAAAAGCUUGGCUCGCCAUCUUCCCUGAAACCGGAGAGAAACCCCACUCAAAUACACUCCCUGGUCUCUGCCAUUUUCGGCACCUUCCCCUUUCCCAUUCCAGCCUUCCCAAAUCAACCAUCCUCUUCACCUGCUCUCGGUGAUCAGCUUCCCUUUAGCCCUCGGUCAAAGCAAGCCACAGUCGGCCUUCCCUCAACUUUUGCCCUUUGGUUUCUUUUUCUUCCAGCAGCGAUGGCCCCCUCCCCGUGCAGCGGCGCCGUGUUCCUCUAGCAGCAGCCCACACACGACAGCGCCCGGGCAACGCUCUCUUCUCCAUGUUCUGCAAUCGGCCUCCAGCAACAGCCAAGCCCGGCAGAACCCACCUUGGUCUAGCACAGCAACCUCCACCCUCACCUCGGAGCCGUCAGCCGUCAUGAAGAGGAAGAACUAAACUCAGAUCUGGAAAAGAAAGGAGACUGAGAACAGAUGAAAGAAAAAGAAAAGAACAGACCCGAAAGAAACAGACCUGAAGAAGGAGAAGAAAAAAACAGAUCCGUGAAGAAGUAAAGAAAAUUAAAAACAACUGCUUGUGUUUUGCUUUCUGCAGGUGACGGUGGGUGUCACCGCCGACAGGAGAAGGAAAAAGGGACGAAGCUGGUACAGACCCCCUGUUACCCGGGUUGUCUUCGCGGCGGCGCCGCCAGUGGCAUGGCGCGUGGGGGGACGCCCCAGAAACCUUCCAGCCAUUGCAGAAGGCCUUCGAUGCAAUUCUUGUAGAUUUUUGGGUUUUAUUUUGUAAUUUGUGAAUUGUAUUUGAUUUAUUAUGAGUUUUGUUUUUUUUUUACAUGUAAAAAAUAAUGUAUAAGAAAAUCAUAAUAAAAAAGAGAGAUCCUUUGUAUUUUUAUUUAUGUUAUUGAAUUAUAUAAAAAAUAAUUGUUUAAUUUGAAUAUGGUUAAAUAUUUUAAGGAUAAAUAAAAUCAUUUUAUAUUUUUUAUAAAAAUAUAAGAAUAUGUUUCUACAUGUAUUCUAGAUGAUUUAAUUAUUGAUUUAUUAAAACUUUAGAAUUUGAUUAAUAUUUUAGAUUUUUAAAUCAUAUCAAAUCACAAAACAGCUUAUUUCUGGUAAGAUGUGUUAGGGGUAUUAAUAUCUUUCCUAACUACAACUAGUCUCAUACCCGUGAAUUUUUGACAAUGAUCAUUGCAUUUAGAUUUUUUAUUAACCUUUAAUCAAAUACUAGGUGGAGACUUCUAAGACUCUAAAUCAAACAAAGGAAUGAAAAAUCACUAAUUUAUCGCCGCCAGUGACGUGCAAGAAUAACUAAUUUUAUUUUAUUAAUAUCUUCAAAGUAAGAAAUUCUAAAAUAUACAUAAUUAUUUUGAUAAAUUUUAACUUAAAAAAAACAAUAAUUCUUAAAAAAACAUGUUUUUGUAACAAAAAAGAAAAGAAAGAAACACAUUCAUUUUUUAAAAAGAAACACGUUAUGUUCACUUUUUAUUUCAAAUCAAUACAAUUUUUUUAAUUUCUAUGUUUGUUUUCUUUAUUUUUUAUCCAAUAAACUUUAUAGCUAUUAGAAAAAAAAUAUUCUUUUUAAAUUAAAAAAAAAUAUGAAAAAAGAAUUUUAACUAAAAAUAUAUUUUUUUCCAAGAAUUCAAAUAACUAUUAUGAAAAAAUAGUUUUAGUUACCCUUAAUGUAACUUUAUAGCUUACGGUAUAAGCUAGUGCUUGGGAUUAUAAUGCAAACAAGAAACUAAACUGUAAUGUACUAAAAGAGAAUUCAUUUUUAUCUUCAUACAAGUAAAUAAAAAAUAAAAAAACAACCAUGUUAUAGGUUAAAUAUUUACACUUGCAUUUAUUUUUUUGUUUUCUACAAAAAAACCCAACUGUUUCAGCCUUUAAUUAGCAUGAACAAAUAUUAUUUAUGUGAUUUAUUAAUUUAAAUAUUUUUAAUUCAUUUUUUUAAAAAUAAAAAUAUCAUCUUUUCAGUUUCUAAAUUAAAAAUUUCAUGCUAUCAAAACACAUGUCCACAUAUUCAUAGCUUCUUGUUUUUUUUAUUAUUAUUAUUAUUAUUUAUUACAUUACAAUUUAGUUUGUAAUGUUACCCGUAAUUAACUAGAUGGUAUCUAAUGUCUCGUCUCUUUGUAUCUCAAGGGCAGUCUAGUUUGUCAGGUCUGACUUGUUAUCCAAUGGAGAUUAUCCAAAGAAAAUAAAUAAAUCAUAAUGUCAGAGUUUUUGACUACGCACUUGUGAUGCACAUCGAUUACAAAAUAAAAUAUAAAAAAAUGACAAUUUGAGAAUCAAACACAAUUUUUUUGAUAUAAUACAUAGGAGUUUUAUUUGAUAUAAAAUUUACAUUGAUUGUUUCAGUAGCAUAUCUAAUCUUUUAUAUUCUUGCGAAUGAACUUAGGCCCCGUUUGUUUGCAGGAAAGUGAAUUCCUUUUGGAAAAUGAAUUCCGGGGAAAGUGAAUUUCUGGAAAGUAAAUUCCGGGAAAGUAUUUUAUGAUGUUUGGUAGUGUUAUGGAAAAUGAAUUGGAAAAUAAUUUAUUAAUAAAUUAAUUUUUUUUUUCAAAUUUAUCUAAUAUAUAUAAAAUAUUUAAUAUAAAAUAUUUAAUCACUUACAAUAAAAAAAAAUAAAAUCUAAAAUGUAUAAUGAUGAAUUUUUUUUAUUAUAUUCUAUAUUCAUACAUAGCUUAUUUUAUAAAAUAUAACUAUAUAUAUCAUAUCAUAUUAUAAAGAAAUAAGCUUGUGAAAUAUUUUUUAUUAUUCUAUGAAACCAUUUAUAAUUUCAUUACGUACGAAAUACAUCCGACAAAAACUAUAGUUUUAAUAAUAUUUUUAGCAUGUAAUAAAAUUGGAUAAAAUAUUAAGGUAUAAAAUUCACUCUAAACUAUUUUUUUUAAAAUGUUAAAAAAAUAGCACACUUAAAAAUAAAAAUAAAAAGUCCCCGCAGGCAAGUGAACAGUGCACUAAAACUGCGCUGUUCACUAUUUUUUUAGUGAACAGUGUAUGCGAUACACUGUUCAUGUUAAUUGCACUGUUCAUUGAACAGUGCAAUUAACAUGAACAGUUACAGAAAAAACAUGACAACGCAGUAUUGGCCCACAUUAGGAAAGUGUUUUUCGAGAAUUAAAAGCGGAAAACACUUUCCUUAUGUUAAAAUUAACAUUUUCCUUUGACUGGAAUUACAUUUCCUUUGAUUCACUUUCCAUGUAUUGACAAACAUGGGAAAGUGAGUAAAAUGGUUUCUAGGAAAGUGAAUUCCUGGAAACAAACGGGGCCUAAGUAUUUUAGAUUUUGCAUGACAAUUAAACCGAAGGCUCUUGGGUUUGUCAUGACCACUAAAACCAAGAUCCUAUAAAAGUAUUUAAAAAAAUAAUAAUUAAGAUUUAAGUUUAAAAUAUUUUAAUGAUAAUUUAAAUAAAAGAAAGAGGGCUCUCUUCCACCUUUCCUUUCUUUCACAUCUUGAUUCGGAUUUUAUAGUGGUCCAUGGUCGGCCAUUUCCCCUUGACCUCGCUGUCCAUGGCAACUUCUUCUAUCGUACCAUUUCUUUUUAGCGGUCUUAUGUCAUGGUCAUGCACAGGAUAUAUCAGUCAAGUUUUGUCCUUGAUAUGCGACUCCCUCGAGUAUAUAUUUAUCUGCCUUCUUUUUCUAUAUCGUAAAAAGGAAACCUUUCACUAAAAGAGCUUUAAGUUAUGAUAGUUUGGUUUUUUAUUGAACAAAAACUAGCAAAACUUGUUUUGUUUUUUUCGAGUUUUUAUGGGAUUUUACUGACUUUUCCUAGGUUUUUUUAAAUUUUUUUUUUUUAAGUUUUAUGGAUUUUUAAAAAACUUUUUAUAUAUCUAGUUAUUUUGAGGCCAAGUUAAUUAACAAUGCAUGCAAGGAGAAAAGUUAAUCCACUAAAGUUAUCAAAAGCAACGUAAUCUAAUUCAACUACCAGUCAAUAUAUCAUAUGGAUUCAACAAUUAUUUAUUGAACUAUCCUGGAUUGGGUUUAAUUUUUUGGUGAAUCAUCACAUACAUAAUAUAUAUAAGCUUUUCCUGUUGCCAUUGAUUAACUUUUAACGUCCAAUACAUGGACAAAAGAUCUGAAAUUCUUUGAACAGAAAAGCUGGAAUUUAUGCAGUGACAGUGAUACAAAAUCAAGCUAUUAUACUUUACAAGUACAAACUUGAUUAAUAAACAAACCAUCCAAGCAAAUUGUACUUGGAAAAUAAAUGUAUCUGUCCCAACUAGUAGUUGUGUCUAUAUCCUUGUAAAUGAGCCUAAGACUAAAUACAGAAGGAAGAAGAAGAUCAAACCAAUGAGACAACUAAUGUUGAAAACAAGCCCUACUGAAGGUACUAGAACUGCGUAUUUGCGAAUGCGAUAAUCAUUGUCCCCAUGCCAAUUAUGGUUAACAACAUUGCAACCGCAAAUAAUCUUAGAGUGGUUUUCAAAUUCAUUUCUUCAUCCUUAUUCAUGUCCAAAUCUUGAAUCAACACCGUCAAAAAAUGAAUAAUUAGAUACAACAGAAAUAGAGAGCAUCAUUAACAUUGCAUCUAAUAUGACAAAUACUAUAAAAAUAACUUUUUUUAGCUAGAAUUGCAAUGCCUCUGUCACUCUUGUAACUGCCAGGUAGGAUAAAUGGUGCUACAAAUGUUAAUGUUGCUAUCAAUGCUGUAACUACUAGAUGAGACUCUCUUGCUUUACUUAAAGCAUCCUCUUCCUCUUUGUUUUCCUCCUUCUCUCUUCUCAAAACAAAGCGCCCGACCAAAUGGUCCCCUGCCAACAUCAAAGGAUUCUAGGAUCGUUUUCUGCAAAAUAUUUAGGGUAAAAUAUCAUAGAUAUCCAUUAUCUUUUUCUAUUUAAUUCUCAGAUUAUUUAAAUUUUAAUUAAUUGUUUUUUUUCAUUCAAUUGUUCUGCUUUUUGUUUUUUUAUUGAAUAAUAUGUUUUUAUAAAGCAGUUACAUGCGAUUGAUAUGCAUAAUCUGUUAUCGUAGAUGAAAAACUUAACAAAAUCAAUAAAAUAACUUGAUUUCAAAUAAAAAAGAUUAUUAAGUUAUUUAGAUGAAUUCAUUUUUAUGUUUGGUAUUGCAAUACGAAUGGUUUUUAAAAGGAAAACCUUUCUUGAAAAUUAAGUUAUAUUUUUUUUUACUGGAAAGUAUUUUUCAUUGAUUAACUUUUUAAAUAGCAAACAAACACAAUAAAGUUUGAAAAGUAAUUUUUAAAAAAAUAAUUAAAAUAAUAUAUCAGCAUGUUAAAAUGAUUUAAAAAUAUUAAAUAUAAUUUAAUUUCAAACUUUAAAAAAAUUUGAAAUUUAAAAAAACAUGCUUCACACAUCUAAGACUUGAAGAUAAGAAGAUUAUGGUCCAGCUCUAACCAUAAGAAAAACGAGUGAAGACAGAAAAGAUGCAAGUGGAGCAGAGAUAUUUAAAUUGUUUGUGAAACUUCUAGAAUCAUUUUUAUUCUAAUCUCUCACAGAACUCAGACAGCUUCCUCUGCUUUAUUUAUUUAUUUAUUCAUAUUGAUGAAUUGGUAUAAAUAGGCUUACAAGCCUAGCUAGUAAAUGGAAAUAGCCAAAAUAGUUACUUCUAUCAACAACCAUUGUCAACAAACAAACAGUCAUACAAGAUGAAUUCCUCUGAUCAACAAAUGAAUAGCAUCUCUUACAUGGAACCAAAAUUGUACAAAGCUGCAGAAGCAGGCAACAUCAACCCAUUGAAGGAUCGUCCUCCAACUUCUCUCAUUGAGCUAUUGACUCCACAAAAAAACACAAUUCUUCAUGUUUACUUCGAAAACCAACGUAGAGGAUGGAGAUCCACUGAUUUUGUUGGCCAAAUUAUUGAUAUGUGUCCACAACUGCUAUUGCAAGCCAAUACUAAAGGCGUUCCAAUGCAGUGGAAGUCCUCAUUGACCGCGCAGAAGCAAAAAAGAUGUUGAGGAUGACCAAUGAAGAGCAAGAUACAGCGUUGCAUGUGGCAGCUCGAAAUAUCCAAGCCCAAGUGGUGGAAAUAUUGACAAAAGAGGACCCUGAGUUUUCAUAUUCCGCCAAUGUUCAUGGAGAAUCUCCACUUUAUAUUGCUGCCAAUAUGAGGUUUGUGAACAUUUUUUUAGUCUCAAACAGAGUUUGAUACCGAUUCGAUACUAUAUGUGACCAACAUCUUUUUUUUUUCUUUUAAUAUAUACUAGAUUAAUCAAUUUUUUACUAAUCUAUUUAUCAAUCUAGAAUACUAUCGUUUUAAGAUUAUAUAAAUGUAAUUGUUGCAUGAUUAAUUUUAAUUUGUUCAGCUUUAUAAUGUUUAAGUAAAUCUGUUUUUAAAAUUAUCAUAAGAGAUAUUAGAAAAGCAAUGCUUCUAUAAUAAUAGGAUUUUACCUGGUUAUUUUUUUAUGCUAUGUAUGUUCUUGAACUCGAGACAUAUUAAUUCAAUAUGAAUAAGUUCACUUAUCUCCCUAAUUGCUUUUUAAGAACAAUAAAAAAUAGCAAAAUUUAAUGGUUUUUAAUUCUGUUUUAUUGGACUUAAAAUCUUGCUACAUAAGUAUUUAUUGGACUUAAAAUGUUAAUAAAAAUCACAUAUAUCUAAUUAUGAUAUAUUGCUGCCAAUGUAAGGUUUAAUUGGAUGUUUAAAAGACAUGAAGAAAAUAGAAAAAAAGUGAUCGACGAAAUUGAGUAAUUGCAAGUCAGUGGAAUAUUGUGGUUCUCAUGGCAGAACCGCACUACACGCGGCAGCCAUGCAUGGUGAUCAUGGUAAGAUUUUAUUCUGAACUGUAAAUCCUUGAAUUCAUAAAUUAUUAUCGGAAACCAUAACUGUGAGAAGUGUGUUCUUAUCUUAAAUUAUUUCUUAUCUGUUUGCCAUUUUAUUGUACUCAUUUAUUUUAUGUUUCUUAAAAAAAAUCUUAUUUUAACCUUUAGGAUAUUGUUCUUUUCAUUUAUUGUUCAUUUGUCAAAUUCUUCGUUUACUCUAUCACAUUUAAUAUUUGAUAUAUAUAGAAGUUAAUAAAGGGGUAAAAAAACAAAAAUAUUCAUUUUAUGUUUGUUAAAUUAAAGGUUAAAUUGUAUUUAUUACUUACAUAAUUCUUUGGAAGAUAUAUACAAGGUAAAGAAAAUACAUAUUAAGAAGACAAUGAAUUUCCUAGUCUAUUUAAUUAAGGACUUAUUUGCAUGAUUAUAUAUAAGAUUUUAGGACCAAAAUGUUCUUAUAUACGUUUGUAUGUAAGGAAUCUAUAUGACAUGUAUGUGUGGGCGAAUCAUUUCCAUAUUAUUAUUGAACAUAAAAAAAAAAAGAACACAAAUGAAUUAUUAGAUUAGUAAGACUACUGGAUUCUACGUUAAAAUGAUAAUUUAAAGGCUCAUAAUAAUAUUGAACUUUAUUCUUGUUGUUUAUAGUUUUCUUAAAAACUUUGGUCAUCUAGUUUAAAUGAGGUUGGAGUUGUUGACAUUUCCAUAUUAUUAUUUUAAAUAUGACCAAAUAAUAAUAACCAAUAAAAAAAAAUGAUGCAUAAACAAUAUUGAAUAGCGACUAUAAGAACCCAAGAACGUAGAAAGCAAGAAAGGGCAUUUAUAAUACAAUUAAAGAGAGAAAAAUGCCAAAUUAAAUAUUAACUUAUCACUAAAUUAGUAGCGUAGAUUACGCAUUAACCAUAAUAUUAUUCAUAUAUUACCUAAUAUGUACCAUAUUUUUUUUAUGGUUUAUUGCAGAGACAGCAAGAAAGAUAUUAAAAAGCGACGCGAGUUUGACGAGAAGAACCGACGAUGACGGGUGGUCACCACUUCACUACGCUGCCUUUUUCCCUACUUUAUUGCCAGGUUCUCUAACAGUAAAAGUAUUACUAGAACAUGAUGUGUCCGCAGCCUACAUUGUUGAUUCAGAGAAGAGAACAGCCCUUCACUUGGCCGUCGUUCGAGGCAAUGUGGCAGCAGUGGGAGCGAUUAUGAACACUUGUCCAGCUUGUUGUGAACUAGUGGAUAGCGGAGGUCGGAAUGUCCUUCACUAUGCUGCCUUAACUCUAAAAGGAGCACUUACAUCUAUGUCUUUCCCUCGAUUGAUUCCUAAAUUUGACAAACUUAUAUACGAGAAGGAUAACAAUGGAAACACACCAUUGCAUCUAUUUGCUGCUUUCGGCAGUUAUCCCCAGAAGUUUCUGAGUAGUGAUUGUAGACAUGUGUACAAGAAGAUGUGUGGCCUUAACAAGCAAAACCUCAGCAUUGAUGACAUCUUGGAACGAAAUUUUCCUGAAGAAAAGGUAAUUCCCUCUAUUUGAUUUUUUAACGAGUCGCACUCGUACACGCGAAAAAGUCUUUGCAUUUGAAAAAGCUCGCUAACUUACCAAAAAAAAUUAAAUUUAAAUUGUCAGAGGAAUGAUGUAAGAUUAUUUUCAUAACUAUCAAAGGACGCAUCAAGAGAAUUUAUAAUAUUCAUUCAAUCUUGUUAAAGAAAAAAAAACUUCAACUCUAACAAUAAAUACGUAUGCACCUUUAAUAAAUCACAUCAAUCAAACAUAAAUUCACUUCGUUAUUCUCUUUUUUUUUUUAAAAAUAAAAUAAAAAUAGAAUAGAAAUCCUUUUGUCAAUAUAACAAAAUUAUACCUUCAACAUCAACACUUAUAAUUGAUUAACACUAUUUGCUUUGUCCCUAGACUGAUGUUGGUUUCUUUAUUUGUUUGUUUUAAGAUGUGUUUGAUAUUAUGGUAUAAAAUAUUUUUAAAAAUUAUUUUUGUUUUGAAAAUAUAUUAAAAAUAAUUUUUUAAUUUUUAACAUUAAAAAAUACUAAAAAGUUUCAUUUGAUUUUUUUUUCCAGCGAGACACUUUUAAAUCAUACCUAAAAACAGUUUAAAAUUAAAAAACAAACAGCCCUCUCGUAGCAACAAAAGCAUUAUAUAUUGUUGCUAGCUAAAAGAAACAAAAUUACUUGAUUUCAAACUCGCUGGUUAUGAUAUCAAACAAAGGUUGAGAGUCUACAGGUGAUAAAGGAAAAGAAAGAUUCGUUUAAUUUCAUUGCCGAAACUUGUUGCAGAAAGAGAUUUUGGAAUCAUUGAAAGAUGUACGGAGUGGACUGCUUCAACGGCCCAUAGCUAUGCUGACACUAGACGACUUCUUUAUUACCGACAGUGGAAUGGACGCUCUUAUAGUUGUAGCGGCACUCGUAGCAACAGUAACAUUUGCAGCUGCUUUCACCAUGCCUGGCGGUUACAAGAACGAAAAAGGCACUCCAGUUCUUCUUAAAAAUACUGCUUUUGCAGUCUUUGUUAUAUCAGAUGCAGUAGCAAUGGUUCUCUCAACUUCUGCUCUCUUCAUGCACUUUUCUAGGGCACUGCUUGGAAAAAGAGGUCAAGUGGAAGACGAUAUAAAAGAAACCUUCUCUUAUAGGACAUCUACUUUAACCAUAUGUGCCAUCCCAGCAAUGGUCAUCGCAUUCAUCACAGGAAGUUAUGCAGUGCUAGCUCCAUCAUUAUGGCUUGCAAUCACGACUUGUUUCAUUGGUGUAGCCUUCUUCUUCUUUGCGUGCCAGGCAUUCAUAGUUCAAUUCCGCACCCUCAUAAAAUACUGAAAAUAAACACUUCACAGCAGACUUUAAAAGAGUCUGAUAUUGAAGAAGAUUAUUGAUUCUCAUUUAGCUCGUGUUAUAAACUAUUAUAGCAUGUAAUUAUAUAGGAAAUAUUGUAGUCAUAUUCUUAUGUGGUAAUCUCCACCUUUACUAUUGUAUAUUGCCCUACUCAUAUAUAUAGAAAGGGUUGGCUAACCUAUUAGGUUAAGCCUCCUAAUCAUUCUCAACUUGGUAUCAGAGCCUCCUAAUAUUUUCUCUCUUUGCAGCCGGCCCUAAUUUUCUUCCCCAUGGACUCUCCUCCUGCUGCCGUUGAUCCAAUCUCCCCCUCCACCGGUGAUGCAUCAUCACCGGCCAGCCCUCUUCCUGCUGCUGGCUCUGCCGUUCCUCUGCCUCUUAUGGGAACACAAUCUACAAUGGUUCCUCUAUCAAACACCCACCAUGUUGUGUCGUUGAAACUUACGAACACAAAUUAUCUUUAUUGGAGAAUGCAGAUGAAGCCAUAUCUCCUUGGUCAAGGUGUUUUUCAGUUUGUUGACGGCUCCUUGCCGUGUCCUCCAUCUCAUAUGAUUGAUGCUUCGGCUGAUUCUUCUUCUGCCAUCAGCCCCUCUUUUCUUCGUUGGAAGCAACAAGAUCAACUUAUUUUGAGUGCUCUACUCUCCUCUCUUUCCGUGGAUGUGCUGCAUCUUGUAGUCGAUUGUUCUACUUCACAUUGUGUUUGGCGCACGCUUGAGAAGGCACUUGCCUCUCCAUCUAAUUCGGAUCAUGCAACUACAUGGCUCCUUUCAAGACCUUCGGCAAGGUGAUGCAUCGGUUAGUAUGUAUAUGCAGCAAGCCAAAUCGUUAUUUGACGAAUUGGCUGCUGCUGGUCGCCCAAUGUCCCUUGAAGAUUUCAAUCUCUAUGUGUUUCGUGGACUUCGCGGUGAGUUCAAAGACUUGGUAACUAGUCUCAUAACCAAGGCUGAACCGCUAUCGUAUGCUGAUCUUCAUAGCCAUCUCCUUACCCAUGAGUUUUUGCACAAAAACUCCUUUCACUCCAUGGCUGUCGGUUCAUCCUCUUCAUCACUGCUGUCUUCUUCUUCUCUGCCGCAGCAGCCACCAUUGCUGCCAACACCUCCGAAUUCUGCUUAUUAUGCCAUGACUAAUCACAGCCGAAACAGGGGACGUUCUAGAGGUAAUUGGCGCUCAAACACCAACCGAUUUCAGGCCCCAAACAGAGGUCACUCCGCUGCAGAUUGGAGGCAAAAUCAGUGGCAGAACAGGCGCACCUCUGCUGCAGAUUUUCGGCCAAAUCAGGGGCAGUGGUCUGGACAUGUGCGCUGCCAAUUAUGUUCCACUCCUGGCCAUUCAGCUCUUCAAUGCUAUCAGUUUCGCAGCAGCACACAGCAGCCCUCUGCUCACCUUGCUGUUGCGAAUGAUUCUGCUGCAACGACUUGGUUUCCCGACACCGGCGCGAAUCAACAUGUGACGCCUGAUCUUGCAACUCUAACUGAUUCUGCUCCUUAUCUUGGUAAUGAUUUCUUGCAUGUUGGUGAUGGUAAGGCCCUUGACAUAUCCCAUGUUGGACAUACUACUUUAUAUUCCCCCAAACGCUUGUUUACAUUAACUAAUGUUCUUCGUGUGCCUCACAUUACCAAACCGUUGUUAUCUGUUCAGAAAUUCUGUCGUGAUAAUCAUGUUUAUUUUGAAUUUCACGAUUCUGUGUUUUAUGUGAAGGAUCUCGUCACCAAGGAAGUUCUUCUUUCCGGUCGGAGUCAUGAUGGUCUUUAUGUUCUCUCCGAGUCCUCGGCUACGUCAGUUCCUCAAGCUUUUUGGUCUCCUUGCAUUUCCGCGACUGCCGACUUGUGGCAUCGUCGUUUAGGUCAUCCAACUCCUCGCAUUCUAAAUUUGUUAGUUUCUGAUAAUAAAAUUAUUUGUACGUCUAAACGAUCUUUUACUCAAUGUCAAGCAUGUCCAUUAGGCAAGUCAUCCCGUUUGUCAUUACGACCGACGGGUCACAAAACUUCUACCCCACUUGAAUUAAUUUUUAGUGAUGUUUGGGGCCCUGCUCCAAUGUUUUCUUCUGAUGGUUUUCGUUAUUUUGUUAUCUUUGUUGAUGCGCACACUAAAUAUAUCUGGUAUUAUCCGCUUGUUGCGAAAUCUGAUGUAUUUUCCACGUUUCAACGUUUUCAGACACUUGUUGAGCGUCAGUUUUCUCUUAAAAUUAAAUCUGUUCAAACUGAUUGGGGUGGUGAAUAUCGUAAAUUAAAUACAUUUUUUCAAACAAUUGGUAUUCAUCAUCGAUUAAUUUGUCCUCAUACUCAUGAACAAAAUGGCACAGUUGAACGUCGUCAUAGACAUAUUGUCGAAACUGGCCUAACCCUCUUAGGCCAGUGUAAUGCCCCAUUGCGUUUUUGGAACUAUGCUAUGGAAUCAUCGGUCUAUCUUAUUAAUCGCAUGCCUACUCCUGUUCUUCAAAAUAAAUCUCCUUUUGCGUGUCUGUUUCAUCGCACUCCUGAUUAUAAUUUCUACGCACUUUUGGGUGUCUUUGUUUUCCAUUUUUACGUCCAUAUCAUGCUCAUAAAUUAGAUUUUCGGUCUUCUCCUUGUGUGUUUUUAGGCUAUAGCUCGUCUCAUCUUGGUUAUCGGUGUCUUGAUUUAGAGUCUGGUCGUGUCUAUGUCUCCCGUCAUGUUCGUUUUCAUGAAUGUGUCUUUCCUUUUAAAAAGUCUGAACAGGUAACAACACCCCCGGUUCCCCCCACUCCACCUACCUAUCUUCCAUCACUGCAACCCCCUUCCUGUUUUCAGCCUCUUCCUUCCCAACUCGGCAAAACACACCCUUUGCCCCUUGCCGCAACCCCCCAGCUUGCUCCCCUGCCCGUUGAUUUAGCCGACCCUGCCUCACCACCCCACACAGCCAUACUAUCACCACGUGCUUGUCUUUCCAAUGAUUAUUGUGCAGGAACAGGUUCUGACUUGCAGGAUUCAGUAGCGGCACAACCCAGCACCUCCCCGGCUUCACCUCCUGGUCUGCAACUUUGUGUUGAUCUCUCCUCUUAUCCUCUUCAGCACAUUCCAGGUACAGGUGCUGCUACUCCAUGUCCAGCUGCUCCUAAACACCCCAUGGUUCUUCGUCCGAGACAGCCCAAGACAGCGCUGAUCACCACCACGGCAGCCACCUCUGCUGCUUCCUUCAGUCGGGUAACUUCUCCUCCCUCGCAUGAGCCACUUAUUUUUCCUGAUGCUAACAGAUAUGAGGCGUGGCAUAAUGCUAUGCGAGAGGAAAUUCAGGCCUUACGCGCAAACAGAACAUGGACUUUAGUGCCAUUUCAUCCGUCCAUGAAUGUUGUUGGUAGCCGAUGGGUCUACAAAAUUAAACGCAGAUCUGAUGGUAGCAUUGAGAGGUAUAAGGCGCGCCUGGUUGCUAGGGGCUUCACUCAGCAAGAAGGUAUUGAUUACUCAGAAACUUUUAGUCCUGUUAUCAAACAGGCAACAGUCCGCUUAGUGUUCUCCAUUGCAGUUUCGAGUGGUUGGAAAAUUCAUCAGCUUGACAUUCAUAAUGCAUUUCUAAAUGGAGUCCUUGAUGAAGAGGUUUACAUGAAACAACCUCCAGGUUUUGUUGAUUCUGCACUCCCAGGUCAUGUAUGUCGAUUGCAUAAAUCUCUAUAUGGGUUAAAACAGGCUCCGCGGGCUUGGUACACUCGUCUGAAUGAUUUUCUAUUAUCCAUUGGUUUCCGUGCUUCUAAAGUGGAUACCUCAUUGUUUAUCUUCUCGGUUGGUAGUGAUAUUUGUUAUCUUUUGGUUUAUGUUGAUGAUAUUCUGCUUACGGGUAAUAAUGGAACUCUGCUACAACGACUCAUUCAGCUACUGAGCUCAGAAUUUAAACUUCGGGAUUUGGGUGAUGUUCAUUAUUUCUUGGGUAUUGAAGUGCAGUGUACUGGUCUGGGACUUAUGCUUUGUCAACAUAAAUAUACACUUGAUAUCCUCACACGAGCUGGUAUGUUAUCCUGUAAACCAGUUGAUACUCCUAUUUCGGCAUCCAAAGCCACCAUUAUGCCAUCCAUUGUUUUCUGAUGCUACUCGUUUUCGGCAACUUGUUGGUGCUCUCCAAUAUCUCACUUUCACACGCCCGGAUAUUUGCUUUGCUGUUAACCGGGUCUGUCAAUUUAUGCAUGCUCCUACAGAAUCCCAUUGGGCUGCCGUGAAACGCAUCUUGCGUUAUCUCCGUGGUACGGCAUCACAUGGUUUACAUAUUACUCGCAGCUCUUCCUUUGCUUUACACGGUUUUACAGAUGCAGAUUCGGCAGGUAGUAUUGAGGAUAGAAAGUCUACAGGUGGUUAUCUUGUGUUCUUUGGUCAGACGCCAAUUUCUGGAAAUCGAGUAAGCAACGCACUGUUGCUCGUUCUUCGACGGAAGCUGAGUACCGAUGGCACGGCUGAAGUUAUCUGGCUUCAGUACUUGUUAACGGAUCUUCAGAUUCCGGCUCCUUCUGCUCCUAUUAUCUGGUGUGACAACCUUGGUGCCACGUAUUUGUCCGCAAACCCUAUAUUUCAUGCUCGCACAAAACAUAUUGAGAUUGAUUAUCAUUUUGUCCGAGAUAGAGUUGCGAAGAAGGAGAUUCAGAUUCGUUUUAUUUCCUCUCAGGAUCAACUUGCCGAUGUCUUCACUAAGCCACUUCCUGCUGCUUCAUUUACUGCUUUUAGAUUCAAGCUUCGGGUUGAUCCUCCACCCUCAGCUUGAGGGGGCGUAUUAUAGCAUGUAAUUAUAUAGGAAAUAUUGUAGUCAUAUUCUUAUGUGGUAAUCUCCACCUUUACUAUUGUAUAUUGCCCUACUCAUAUAUAUAGAAAGGGUUGGCUAACCUAUUAGGUUAAGCCUCCUAAUCAUUCUCAACUUAAACUAUCUUCUCGUCAUCUUCUUGAUGGCAUCAGCUGUAACGUUGGCUUUAUUUAUCAAUAUAUUUUACCUUGCUUUUCACGAGUACAAUGAUCGAAAAAUUCAAUUUUGGCACUUGGAAAAUGCUAACACCUUCAAUAUAGAGACCAUAGAAUGAAGGCUAACAAGUUCACCAUUGAUUCUAGAUGAAUGGAAUUAGCCAUAAUUUUCGAAGGACUUGAAUUUCUAAUAUAUAUAUAUUGAUUAGAAUUUCCAUUAAUUGCUGAAUGGUAAUUCAGACUUCAAUUUCUACACAUUGCAACUUCAUUCACCUUCCCAACUUUUUGUUUAACAGAAAUCAUUCUCAUGAAAUGCAAAACAUUCUUUUACGAGAACAAAAAUAAAUAAAUAAAGUAACAAAGGAAAAUUUUACGACAGGCACAAGAAAACCAUAAUAAAAAAAGGAGGAAAAUGGGUAUAUAAAACAGCAGAACAUAAACAUUUUGAGAAAUUAAUGAAUUAAUGAUGUAGUGCUAUGAUUUAACUCCGAUCUAGUGGGUUAUGAAGGACAUGAAGCUGAUGACAACACCCAAUGUCUGAGUUUUUCAGACCCUAAUUCCACUGACAAGGUGUAAAGAGUAGUUAAAACUCAAUUUGAACAACGGAGACAAAAAAAUAAAAAUCAAUUUAUGUUUAUAUUUAGUGUGUUUUAAGACUAAAUAAUUUGUUUUAUUUUGCAUUUGGUUAACAUUAGUCAAGACACAAGUAAAAAAUAAUUAGUGGAAGAAUUAAUCUAAUUUGAACCCGAUCAAAAAUUCAAGUUGACCUACUAUAAAGUUUACCUGAGAUAAAACACAAAUAAAAAAUUUUAAUUUGUUUUUUAUUAAGAUAAAACAAGUAAUCAAAAUCUUGUCUUAUUUAUAUUGAGUUUUAAACAAUUAAAAUAAUUAUAUUUAUUUUUAUAUUCACUCAGAUUAACAAUGAACAUAAUGUAUGAAUCAAACCUUAUAUCGAAAUCGACUAUUAUUUAAAUUUUUAAAUUAUAAUAAUUAUUAUUUUUAUUUUUAUAUUAAUAUAGAUCAACCCGGUAAAUUCUUAUGCAAAAAAUUUAACAAUCUAGCUUAUUCUACUCCUUUUAAUAAACAAAUAUUUCUUCACUGGAAUGGCCUUGAUAGAACAAAAAAUAAAUACUCCAAAAAACUUCACAAAAAGAUUAUACCGUCCAAUCCAUUUUUACAGCAUAUCAAAAACACUACAUAAAUUUCAAAAUCAAAUUACCUCAGUUAAAUCCAUUAAUAUCAUCGUAAUGUAGCUUCCACCAAGUAGGUUCUCCUUGAUCAUGGUUAUUAUCAUCAUCCUGUGCAUUCCUCCAUCUUUAACCACCAGACAGGAGCAGUUUUCAGUGAUGAAAACCCUCAUGGUUGUUCUAUAAUGUGAACAACGUAGUAUAAUUAUUCUUACUAUAUAUGUACUUAUACUGCUUUGUUUUUCGUGUACUAAUUUCCUUUUCACUUUAUGUUUUGUUAAACCUUGUUCACAUGAAGCUAUAAAAUAUAGACAAGAAAUGCCUUUUUUUCCUUAUCAUUUUGCAACUUAUAAAUUGUUUUAUUCUGAUUUGUGCCCUAGGCAUGGUAUUGUCUGCUGAGAAAACCAAGCUCCAUUGAUCUUUUCUUUUUACUAAAUUAAAUCGCCACCGAUUGCAAUUAAAAUUCUGAUCUACAUUAAUAUCAUUCGGAUAGGAUUAGGAUGUACUCCACCACAAACUCUAAUAAAUCUUUUCCAAAGAAGAGAUGCCUUGGAAUGUUUUAGAAAGGGGAUAAUAUUCUCAUAUGCACCCCUAACUUAUUCGUUAUUACCCUUUCUGAGUUGUGUCCCUAAACUACAUAAUUAAGCAAUUAGGUCCAGAAUGUAUCUAGGAAUUAUCAAUUUAAUCUUUGUAAAGGGAUUGUGAUAGGUAUUUAUGGGCUAGGUUUUGGUAUUAUCUAUAUUUGAAUUCAAACCCAAAAUAUUAUAAGUCAAAAUUUGACGGGUGUAAAUUUUGAAUACCAAAAUCUAAUUCAUUAAGGUUUUAGUUAUCGAUUUAGAUAAUUAUUAUCUAAUUGAUACAGUAAGGUUUGUGAAAACUUGAAGUUUUGAUAUGUAUAUAAGAAUCUAUCACAAGCACACUAUUUGGAUAACUUAACAUAUAUUUUUAUAAAUUGGUACUGAGAUAGCACUAGGUUUAAGAAGAUGCAUGGCCAUGCUAUACUACAGUACGUAGUGGCUUUAAACCGAAAUAAUAAGAGAUAAUUUGAUGGUUGGUUGAGAUUAAUUUUUUUUUAAAAGAUUCUACAAGUUUUUUUUUUGUGGAAAGCCAUUAUGUCAUUCAUUGGACUAUUAGAUCUUCAAAAAUUAGUCCUAAAAGUUGCUACUUAGACUAAUUUUGUUGUUUUUUUCUAGAUUGUUUUGGAUUUAUUAUUUUAUUUAAGAUUUUAUGUUAGUUUUCUUUAUGAUUUUGAAUUCUAAAUUCUUUUUAUAGAGAUAGGGUUUUCUAGUUUAUUUAAACAUCUUGUAAACAUUUUAAAAAAAACUUAAUAUAUACUUAAUUUUUAGAGAAUAUAACCGUAUUUCAAAUUCAAAUCUACAAUUUAUUUUCUUAUAAAAAUUCUAUUAUCAAAAUCUUGAAGUGGUGGGGGUAAUGACUGCCUCAUAGUAUACAUCAUAAGUGGAUCAGAAAGGGACUCAGACAAGUGUUUUUUUUUUAAUCAAAAUUGAUGUCUUUUUCGGUUUCACUUGCAAACGGAACACCUAUCUCCAAAACCCAUGUUUGCAAAAAUGUAUGCUAUGCGUCAAAAGAUGAAAUCUAUGUGCGAUAGGAUUAGCAAUUUACCUGAUGCACUCCUCCUUCACACACACUCUUUUCUGAGAUGCCAAGGAGUUUUGAUUGGAUACAUUGUUCACUCUUUAUUUCAAAUCAAUUCAAUUUUUCUAAUUUCUAUUUUAGUUUUCUUUAUUUUUAUCCAAUAAACUUUAUUUCUAUUAGAAAAUAUUUGUUUUUCAAAUUAAAAAAAUUAACAUUAAAAGAAAAUUUUAACUAAAAAUAUAUUUUUUUCCCGAGAAUUCAAAUAACUAUCUUUAUUAAUGAAUAUUCAUUUUUAUUUUUAUAUAAUUAAAUAAAAAACAAAAAGCAACCAUGUUAUUAGAUUAAAUAUUUGCAUUUGCAUUUUUUUUAUUUUUUACAAAAAAAAAAAACCCAACUAUUUUAGCCUUUAAUUAGAUUAACCAUUUGAUUUAUUAAUUCAAAUAUUUUUAAUUCGUUUUUUUUUUUUGAAAAUACAAACACCAUCAUUUCAAUUUUGAAUUUAAAAAUUUUAUGCUAUCAAAACACAACUCCACAGAUUCAUGGCUUCUAGUUUUUUUUGUUUUACAUUACAACUUAGUUUGGAAUGUUACCCGUAACUAGUUGGUAUCUAAUGUCUUUAACUGUUUCCCCAUGAAUUUGUAUCUCAAGAGCAGUCUGGUUUGUCAUGUACAUGCACUUCAUGGAAAAUGCUAGCUAGCUGGCACAGGAGCCGAAGAAGAACGAAACUUGGCAUAUUCAUCUUUCAAAAAAAAAAAAAACUUGGCAUAUUAAUUCCACUUUUCAGAAUAAGCUGUGCUUAAGAUUUGUUCUUUAAAAUAUCUUUUAUUUAAAAAUAUAUUAAAAUAAUUUAUUUUUUAUUUUUAAAAUUUUAUUUUUAAUAUAUGAUUUAAAAUCAUAAAAAAUAUUAGAAAAAUUCAAUAAUACUUUUAAAUAUAAAAACAAACACUUUAGAAGUACAAUUUUGAUUAAUAAACAAACCAUCAAAGCAAAUUGUACUUGGAAAAUAAAUUUAUCUGUCCCUAAAUUUUAGUCAUGAAUAGGAAAAUGAAAAUAAAUAAAUAAUGUCAGAGUUUUUAACCACUUCACUUGUGAUGCACAAUUGCACAUUCAUUACAAUAAUAAAUAAAAAAUUGACAAUUGAUUUGGCAACCAACCACAUGAUUUUUAAACAUAUGACGUCACCAAUUUUUUUCAAAAUCAAUAAGAAUGUUUUAAAAAAUACAUCUGAAUUUGAUUUGAUAGAAAAUUUAGAAUUUAUUGUUUCACUAUGACAUCACGUCUUUUACAUUCUUUAAAAUGAACCUGAACACUAAAUACACAAGGAAGAAGAAGCUCAGACCAAUUAGACAAGUGCUCAUGACAAGCCUUAAUGAAGAUUCUAGAACUGCAUAUGUGCCUCUAACGAAUGCAAUAAUCAUUGUACCCAUGCCAAUCAUGGUCGACAACGUGGCAAACAAAAAUAAUUUCCUAGUGGUAUACUUAUUUAUCACUUUAUACUUAUCCACUUCAAGACCAUGAAUCAGCGAAAUCAAAAAGUGGAUAAAGACAACAAAAAUGGAGAGCAUCAUUGACAUUGCAUCUGAGAUGACAAAUACUAUAAAAACAGUUUUUUUAGCUAGAAUAGCAGUGCCUCGGUCACUCUUGUAACCGCCAGGUAGGGUGAAUGCUGCUGCAAAUGUUACGGUUGCUAUCAGCGCCGCAACAACUAGAUGAGACUCUCUUGCUUUACUCAAAGCUUCCUCUUGCUCUUUGUUUUUCUCUUCCUCUUUCUCUUCCAAAACAAAGGGACAGUAAUCAAUCAGUCCACUGCAAACAUCUUUAAGGGAUUCUAGGAUCUCUUUCUGUAAAAAUAUAUAUUUUGAGUAAAAUAUGUUAAGAUAUUAAAAGAGGUUUUAAAAGUAAUUCUUUAUUACUUUCUAGAUUAUUUUUUUAAGUGAAUUUUUGUAAAAAAAAAAAUUCAUAUUAUCUUGCAUUUAAAUUUUAUUAAUUACAAUAGAAAUAGUGAGAUUUGAAUUUAUAAUUGUUUGAUCAAUAAGAUUGUAAUACUAUUUUAAAAAAACUAUCUCAAUCUAAGAAUAUAAACAAAUAAUCCAUCAUUUUUAGCUAUUUAACAUAUAUCAUAUAUCAACUUCCGAGCCUUUGUUUUUGUUUCCACAACUAGUUUGUUUGCAAUCAAAUCCUUUGUGUUACAAAAACUAAUUUGGUUGAAAUUAAACCGCAUGCUUUCCAUUAGUCCAAUUAUCCCCAAAAAGAAAACUAAGAUGUGUGUGUUUGGGGAUGCAUUAAUUAUCACAACAGUUAAUUCAUAGAGGAUUGAUUACUCGUAUCUCUGCAAAAUUUCCGAAAUAUAUGUCGUCGACCCUUAGCUUUCGCUUAUUGAGACCAAUUAGAUGGAAGGGCGUGUUUCCUUUGUCAUCCUUCUUCGUUCCAAGUCUUGCAAGUAAUGGAAUAUUCUCCAGACAUUCCUCGAAUACUGCUAUAUCUUUACUUCCAGAGCAUAGUGAAGGGCAUUCCAGCCUCUGUUAUCAACUAGCUCACAACAAGCUGGACAUCCAGAAACAAUCUCUUCCAUUACGUUUACGUGUCCUCGAAUGGCUGCAAUGUGAAGAGCUGUUCUCUUCUUCUCUGUUUCAGCAAUGUAGGCCGCGGACGCAUCAUAUUCUAGUAAUACUUCCACUAUACGAUUAGGCAAUAUUAAAUAAUAGGCAGCGUAGUGAAGUGGUGACCAGCCGUUCUCAUCGGUUGUUUUCGUCAACGUUUUUUCUUUUUCUAACAAUUUUCUUGCUGUCCCUGAAACCAACAAAACAAGCAAUAAAAGUUAUCCUUCAUGAACAACAGUGAUUUCACUUAUGCCCCGUUUUAUAAUUUCUUUUAGAAAAGUGGUUUCUUGCAAAAUAUUUUUCUAAAAAAUAAAUUAUUUUUCAAUGUUUUGUAGCAUCAUGAAAAAUAAAUUAAAAAAUAUUUUUCAGUAUUUGGCUAUAUCAUUAAAAAUACGCUAGAAAAAAAAUGGUUAAUAUUUUUUUUUCAAGUUUAAUAAAAUAAUGAGAAGCAAAUUUUAUAAAUUAAAAAGUUGAAUGAGAAUAAAAUUUAAAAAUAUAUAUAAUUUCAUAAAUAAUCUCAAAUAAAAUAAAUAACAAUCAAGAUAAUAAAGAUCAAAUCUAAAUAAUAAAAAAAUAGAAAAAUAAUAAAAUUUAAAAAAAUUAUAAUUUCAUAAAUUAUUUCAAAUAAAAUAAAUAACAAUAAAAAAAUAUGGACAAAAUCUUAUAGAUACAAAAAAAUCCAAUUAAUGAUAAGAGAAAAACAAAUAACAAUGAUAAAAAUAAGGAUCAAAGUUGAUAUAAAAAUCAAAUUAAAUCAAAUUUUAAGAGAUGAAAUUUGAAAAAAAAAAUUCAAAAUAAAAUAUAUACCAAUCAAAAGUUUGAGGAUCAAAUUUGAUAUAAUCAGUAAAUAACAUAAUAUUUCUAAAUUUUCAAAAUAAUAUUUCUAAAAUAAUAUUUCUAAAGGACCAAGUUUGAGGACCAAUUCAAAAUAAUAUUUUUAAAGUUUGAGGAACAAAUAUAUAUAAUCUAUGUGAAUUACUAUAUAUCCAAUUCUUAAACUCACAAAGUUUCUUUUUAAAAAAAAAAAAGCUAAUUAUGAAGCAAACACGGAUAUAUAAAAUCAAAUAUAUGUGGAUUUUAAAUUAUAGUUUACACUAUUAUAUAUAAAUUAUUUAAUUUUCCAGACUUGAGCACAAAAUCCUACCACCAGCUCCCUCCCUGAUUGCCUCGUGUAGAGCAGUUCUACCAUUAGGGCCGCCAUAGUCCACUGAAAUGCAAUUAGUUAGGAUUUCACCGAUCACCAAAGUACCCCUGGAAGCAGCAAUAUAAAGUGGAGUUUCUCCAUGAACAUUGGCGGGAUAUGAAAACUAAGGGUCCUCUUUAGUCAAUAUUUCCACCACAUGGCUCCGCCUAUUUCGAGCUGCCUCGUGCAACGCUGUAUCUCCCUCUUCAUUGGUCAUCCUCAACAUCUUUUUUGCUUCUGUUACUCCGCUCUUCGGAUCUGAAGGUAGAGCUUUUGCGAGGUCAAUGAGGACUCUUACCACGUUGGAAUGACCAUAUCUUGCUGCAAAAUGGAGUGGGAUUUCACCUUUCUUAUUGGCUUGGAAUAACAGUGGUGGACACUUUUCAAGAAUUAUUUCAACAAAAUAAGUGGAUUCCGAUUCACUGCUUUGGUUUCCCAAGUAGACAUGAAGAAUGGUGUUCUCGUCUGGAGUCGAUAACUGAUCAAGGCAGGUUUGAUAUUUCUCAAUGGGAUCGAUAUUGCCUGCUUCUGCAGCUUUGAACAAGACAGGAUCCAUACUAUUUUGAGUUUGGCUCUGCGGCUGGCGUUUUAUUGAAAACGCAGCGCGCAGCCAUUUGGUUAAAGAAAAAAGCAUUUUACUGUUUACUAGGCUCCACUUAAAUUCUGCGUUUCCAACGCAGGGAACGGAAAGCAGCUAUUUCAUGCUUUUUUGUUACUGUUCAUGUUAAUUGCACUGUUAAUGAACAGUGGAACUAACAUGAACAUUAUAUAGUGUACUGUUCAUGGAACAGUGCAGGAGAGCUGCACUGUACACUUAACCCCAGUGAACAGUGCAAUUCUCUUGCACUGUUCACUUGCCUGCGUGCCUUUUUUUUUUCUUCUUUUUAACAUUUUAAAAAAAAUAAAUUAGUUUAUAGUGAAAUUUAUACCUGAUAAUAUUUUAAAAGCAUUUUGAAGUUUUAACCAAACACAUUAAACUAUUUUUUCUUUAACUUCAAUUUCAACCAUAGUUUUAACCAAACACCUAUUUUUUCAAACCAAACUCAACUAAAAGUACUUUUAAUAAAACAACUUUUUUUAAAUCACAACCACAACAACUAUCACAAUACCAAACACACUCUUUGUAGCAUAGAGAAACUCACUAAAUGAAAUUUAAGCUAAUGAAGGGAGGAAAAACCACUAUGGCACAAAGGUUAGAGGUUCCACUCCUCAACUGAUCACAAGCUGCUGAUUUCUGUUUGUUGCAUCCCUGGAUAAAGGAGUAUUUAAAUAGCGUGUUAGAUGUUGUUUUUUAAUGUUUUUUAUUUGAAAAUAUAUUAAAUAAUAUAUAUUUUUUAAAAAAAAUUAGUUUUCAUAUCAUGACAAUAAAAUUAUUUAAAAAACUUAAUUUAAAAUAAAAAAACGUUUUUACCCUUUGAGCAGAAACACAGAUUAUAGUGUUUGGUUUGAAAAAAAAAAAAACCUUAAUUUUUAAUAGUGGGUACACCAAAAGCAUCUUUUACAAUUUUUUUUUUCCCCUGUGAUUCACUUGACUGAUUGAGCUGUAUCCUUCUCGCUUUUUAUUGUUGAUAACUUAAACAGACGAAAAUGACCUCCUUCUUCCUUCUCCUCAAUUGAGAGACAAAUCAAGCUAUCAUCAAGAAAACUAGAAUAUCGAUCAUUCUUGAAGGGAUCGAUAUUGCCUUCUUCCGCAGCUUUGAUAUAUCAAAUUAAAAUUAUCUAAAAAUACAAAACAAAUUAAUUUAUAUCCAAAAAAAAUUCAAUUUUUUUUCACAUUUUGAGAAAAAACACAGAUUAUACCACAAUUGUCUAUUUGUUCUAUUUGGCUUUUUUUUUUUUUAAUUGGAACCAUAUAUUUUAAUUUUGAAGUGUUUUAAAAUGUCAUUUCGGGGGUUGUACAACUACAAAUUACUAUCAAGUUGGUGGCUGCAUUAACUAGCUACUAGACAAAUGGUAGGAGAUUUAGUGUUUACUAGUUGGAUGUCUACUGGCGGACUCACUUUUUAUUUUUAUAAAAAAUAAAAAAUUUAUAAUAUAAAAAAUAAUAUUUUUUAAUAUUUUUAAAAAUAUAUUAAUUAUUUUAUUAAUAAUAUUAAUUAUAAUAAAAAUAAUAUUUUUUUAUAACACAAAUAAUAAUAUUUUUAAUAUUCAUACUAUUAAUCAUAAUAAAAAUAAUUAUAUUUAUAACAUAAAUAAUUAUAUUAAGAAUUUCAAGGAUGAUUAUAACACAAAUAAUAAUAUUUUUUACAUCAAUAUUUUGAGUUAUAAUAAAAAAAUAAUAUUUUUAACACAAAUAAUAACAUUAAAAAAACUAACGUGGGGUUGGAUGUGGACGUGGUGACAUCCAGCUUAACAUGAGGUUGGGCAUUGACGCAUUCAGAGUCAACAUGGGGUGGGUCGGGGACGCGUCCUAAUCCAACUUGUGGUCGGGCACGAAUAUUUCUAGGCCCAACCUGGAGUUGGUAAGAUUGUGUCCCCGCACGAGGGCGUGUGCCUUGCUCAUGCCAGGACAAGGUCAAAGGCAAGCCAGCCCCAACACCACGUGGCGUGUGGCCUGCCCUAACACAUGGACAGGUCAACCCAAACGCCUGGUGUCCUCACUUGGGGGCGUGGGUCUGGCUGACAUCUUGAGCAGCCUCACCAAAACUUCAAAUGACAAUUUUCUCCUUAACUAACACUUCAAUGUCAAAUACAUCUCAUAAAAAAUAUAUCCCCACCCCUCACUCGCUGCCCUUGCAACUCUUUAUGGCAAGGUUGAGCUGUUAUUAUAGUACUCCAAUCCAUAGUGCUCUAAGUCUAGGUAAACAGUAAGAGGAGCACUGAACCCUUUUAGUAUAUAGUGUAAUUUGAUAUUAUAAUUAAUUGUAUUUUUUAAAAAAUAUUUUUUGUUUGAAAAUAUAUUAAGAUAAUAGUUUUUAGAUUUUUUUAUUUUUAAAAUCAAUACAUUAAAAUUAUUAAUGAAACAUACUAAUAAAAACAUAAAUUUGAUUUGUUUUAAAAAAACUCUUUUAAAAAUAACAGUGGUGGACACCUUUCAAGAAUUUUAUCAACAAAAUCAAUGAAUUCCGGUUCACUGCUUUGGUUUUUCAAGUAAACAUGAAGAAUGGUGUUCUCGUCUGGUGUCAAUAACUGAUCAAGGCAGGUUUGACAAUUCUCGAAGGUUCCACCCCUCAACUGAUCACAAGCUGCUGAUUUAUGUGGUUUGUUGCCUCCCUGGAUGAAGGGGUAUUUGAGAGAGUGUCAAAUAUUGUUUUUUUUUUUUUAAUAUUUUUAAUUUUAAAAAAAUAUUUUUUAUUUUAAAAAAAUAUUAUUUUUAAUAUCAUCACAAUAAAAUUAUUUAAAAAUAUCUAAAUUUUUUCUUUAUGUUUAUGUUUUGAGCACAAACACGGAUUACAGUGUCUGGAUAAAACAAAAAACUUAGUUUUUAUAAGUGGUCUUUUACGAAGCUUUUUUAUUUCCUGUGGUUCACGUGACUGACUGUGCUGUAUCGUUCUUGCUUUUAACAGUUAAUAACAUAAACAGAAGAAAAUGAGCUCCUUCUCCGUUCUCCACAAUUGAGAGACGAAAAAAAUUAUAGCAUUCUUAGUGCGCCCAAUAAAACCUUCAGCAUCCAUAAAAUCAGAUCUUAAUUGCAUGACUCUGAGCAGUGGCGGAGCCAGGAUUUUUUAAAUGAGGGGGCAAAUUACUAACAAAUAUUUGAUAUUAUAUAUUAUAUAUUAUACAUACAUGUGUUAUAUAUAGAAAUUAAUUUGAAAUAUAUAUACCAACUCAAGUUAAGCAAAAUUAAUUUAAGAAUACUUUUAAAAUAAAAAAACUUACAUUAUAAUUGUUCUUUUCGAGAUUUAAUAUUUUAAAACUGUUUCAUAAUGAUUUUAUUUUUAAUCUCAUUAAAAAUAUCUUUCUCAAUAUAUAUAACAAAUUUUAUUUAUUUAUUUCUAAAUUUUUCAAGGAUUGAGAAAGUUUUUGGCAGUAAUUUUAUGCUGACAUAUAGUACAUAAUAUCUAAAAUCAUAGCUUAAAAGGAUUGUCAUAAAUUAAUGUUGUUCUUGCUAGCUUGUUGUUUUGUACAAGUGAAUUAAACAUACAUAUUAAAUAUAUAUUUUUUAAUUUAUUUAUUAUGUCCUUAAUUUUUUUAGUUCCUGUAUUUCAUUUUUAAUCAUUAAUAAAUUUAUUAUUAUCAUUUUUCAUAUGAAAUUCAUAAUAAAUACUACCAGUUCAUCAAAACUCAUUUCAUUUCAUAUCUAUUAGCAUAUAAUAUUAUCCAUACACAUAUUAAUUCAACAAACCCAUAAAUUAUUAUAAACCCUAACAUUUUCAAAUAAAACUAAAAUUAUAUAAUAAAAUAAAUAAAAAAGUAAUUUGGAUAUUGAUUUAUCUACUAUUAAUUUAUAUAAAUCAUUUAAAAAAAGUAACAAUUUUAUACCAUGAAAUAAUUAAAGUGGAAUCAAUAGUAGCAUUGAUGAAUCGGACUAUCAAAGAGAGGACCAAAGACAUUCAUCUUUGUGCUUUUUCCUCGCCAUCAAAUGCUUCUCUUGCUGUGGAGGGUUUCUAAUUAAUUGGGAGGGGGAGGGGGCAAUUGCCCCCUCUUGCCCCUACGUGGCUCCGCCACUGACUCUGAGCCAGAGGAUACAAAUUCAAAGCCAAAGGUGAUACAAGAAACGCAAUCAAAUUUUCCCCAACGCCAAGAGAAAGGAAAUUAAGUGGUCCAGCUCUAACCAUAAGAAAAACGAGUGAAGACAAAAAAGAUGCAAUUAAGUAGGGAAGAGAAAUUGACGUCGAGGAAGACAAGCUAGGACAAUCAUUAUGAGUGUCUUUAUGUUCAAGAGCAGCUGCAACACACGAAGAAGGCCAAGCUACUUCAAAAAUUGAACUUUCCACGAAGGUUGUCAGUCAAAUUUAAAUUUUAGACUUUGGAUCCUAGGCAAGGAUUAAAGGAACGGUUGGUAUGCAUCACUGUCAUAGGGUUAACAUUAAUCGUUUCUUAGUUAUUUGGAGAUUUUUAUUUAUUUGAUGCUCAUAAUAGUUCCUUUUUAAUUGUUGAUAUUAUAAUUGUUUUUUUAAUUAAAACUCUCGGAAUUUGUUUAACAUUUGAAGAUAGGUUAUUAUAAAACUAAUUAUCAUAUCACACUUAAUAAGUCACUUUAAUAUUAUGCAUCUAGUAGUCACAAUUUUUUCUUUAAUUUAUAUCUAUCAUAAAUUUUUAUUGCCAAUUUUAAGAAAUUCAAUAUAGGUUAAAAUUUUCUAGCAGGCAUCUCGAGUUUCUCAAGUUGGCUUACUUGGCGCAGGCGAGGCAAGGCAUCCUUGGAUCCGAGUUUGAGGCCUAUCGCCCCCUCCUGUAAACAAAUUGUUGGCAACUUCCCUGAGACGCAAAUAUUGGUUGAUUGCUCCACUUGUGAAUCUCGGUUGCAAAUGAACCCCUUUUUUUUUCAAUGGUGAGUUGAUUUGCCAAGUUACUGAGUUGAUUUGCAAACCCGUCCAGCUACUGAGUUGAUUUGCCAAGUUUAAUAACUAUACUAUAAACAGCUUCUGCACGUUCAAUGAGGAGUUUUACCACAUUGGAAUGGCCAUAUCUUGCUGCCAAAUGGAGGGGGGUUUCUCCUUUUUUAUUGGCUUGGAAUAACAGUGGUGGACACCUUUCAAGAAUUUUAUAAACAAAAUCAGUGGAUUCCGGUUCCGUCGUUUGGUUUCUUAAGUAGACAAGAAGAAUGGUGUUCUCGUCUGGAGUCAAUAACUGAUCAAGGCAAGUUUGACAAUUCUCAAAGGGAUCGAUAUUGCCUUCUUCCGCAGCUUUGUACAAGACAUGAUCCAUAUAGAUGAUGCUAUUCAUUUUCUCAGAAGAAUCCAUAAAAUCAAAUUCACUCAUAACCAAAAAAAAUCAAAAACUUUUGUACGUUUUGAGCAGAAACACAGAUUAUACCACGAUUGUCUAUAUUUUAUUAUAGUUGGAGUUUUAUUUUUUCAAUUGGAACCAGAUAUUUUAAUUUUGAAGCAUUUUAAAAUAUCAGGUUGUACUACUACAAGUUACUAUCAAGUAGGUGGCUGCAUUAACUAGCUAUAGUAGAUAAAAUUGCAUGAGAAUUAAGUUUAUUAUAAUUUUAAAAAAUAUUUUUUAUUUAAAAAUAUAUUAAGAUAUUAUUUUUUAUAACUUGUUUUUUAAAUCAAUACAUCCAAACUAUUAAAAAAUAAUAAUAAAAACGUAAAUUUAAUUUGUUUUUAAAAAAUAUAUAAAAACAAAAGCAAUCUCUUUGUUAUGGUUAGAAUUAUCAAGGACAAUGUAGUUAAUUUUAAAGAUCUGUUUAAAAGUAUGAUAAAUAUUAUUUUUUAAAGUAUUUUUUAUUUAAAAAUAUAUUAAAAUAAUAUUGUUUUAUUAAUUUUUAAAAUUUAAUUUUAUAUCAUUUAAAAACAUAAAAUAUAAUUUAAUUUCAAACUAAAAAAAUUAAAAAUUUUAGAAAAAUAUUUCACACAUCUAAGACUUGAAGAUAAGGAGACUGUGGUCCAGCUCUAACCAUAAGAAAAACGAGUGAAGACAGAAAAGAUACAAGUGGGGCAGAGAAAUUGACGUUGAGGAAGACAAGCUAGGACAAUCAUUAUGAGUAUGUUUAUGUUCAAGAGACAAGAAGGUCAAGCUACUUUAAAAAUUGAACUUUCCACGAAGGUUGUCAGUCAAAUUUAAAUUUUAGACUUGGGUCCAAGGCAAGAAUUAAAGGAACGGUUGGUAUGCAUCACUGUCAUGAUAAAUAGGGUUUACAUUAUUAGUUUCUUAGUUAUUUGGAGAUUUUUAUUUAUUUGAUGCACAUAAUAGUUUCUUUUUAAUUGUUGAUAUUAUAAUUAUUUUUUUAAUUAAAACUCUUGAAAUUUGUUUAACAUUUGAACAUAGGUUAUCAUAUCACACAUGAUAUGUCACUUUAAUAUUAUGCAUCUAGUUGUCACAUUUUUUUCUCUAAUUUAUAUCUAUCAUAAAUUUUUAUUGCCAAUUUUAAGAAUUUCAAUACAGGUUAAAAUUUUCUACCAGGCAUCUCGAAUUUUCCCCGUCGGCUUACUUGGCGCAGGCUAGGCAUCCUUGGAUCCGAGUUUGAGGCCUAUCGCCCCCUCCCGUAAGCAAAUUGUUGGCAACUUCCCUGAGACUCUUUUAACCAUGUGACGUGAAACUUGUAAGAGUAAUUUGUAUAUUGAUGGAGUGUAGGUACUGAUGAGAAAAAUGCUCAGUAAUUACUGCAUUUCUUGUUCCGCAUACUGGAAAUGUUGAUGAAAUUGUUGUUUUGUUCAUUAUAAUUGUAAUAUCAUGAAAUUGCAGUGCUGUCUGGGGAUCAUGUUAUAUUAUAUGGUAUCUUUUCAGCAUGUCACUCAAAACCAAUUGGACUACCCUAAAAAUUAUAUUAUAUACAUAUGAUUUAAUGAACCCAAUUGUUAAUAAACGUUUCUUGACAGUAAUAACAUGAAUUCAGGUUGUAUAUACGAAACUUGAAUAAAAGAAAAAAGUUCAAUAUUGGAGAGGAUCUUGCCAAUUUUCCAACUUAACACCCAGUCCUUGGACUCAGAUGAGAUCACGUAAUGAUCUUAUACACUGAUGGCAAGCCCGAUAAAGAUUCUAGAAUUGCAUAUGUGACUGUGAUGAAUGCACUUUACCACAACCAAAAAACAAACAAAUAAAUAAAAUUAUAGCAUUCUUAAUUAGUACGCCCAAUAAAACCUUCAGCAUCCAUAAAAUCAUAUCUUAAUCGCAUAACUCUGAGCCAGAGGAUACAAAUUCAAAGCCAAAGGUGAUACAAGAAACACAAUCAAAUUUGCCCCAACGCCAAGAUAAAGGAAAUUUCAAUCACCCCUUCUUGCUAGUCUACACUGUCAUCACCUCGUACCAAUUUUGUUUUAGUUGGCGUUUAAUUUUUAGUUGGUAUUUUAAUUUUGAAGUGUUUUCGAAUUUCGAGGUUGUAGUAUUUUAAAGUUACUAUCAGGUAAGUGGCUGCAUUAAUUAGCUACUAGACAAAAUUGCAUGAGAUUUGGAGAGUGUUUCGGAGUGCUUUUCAAAAGCAUUUAUAAAAAAAUUUGAAAAUUUUUUAUUUUUUAUUUUGAAUUAAUAUGUUUUUGAUGUUUUCAAAUCAUUUUGAUAUGCUGAUCUCAAAAAUAAUUUUUAAAAAAUAAAAUAAUAUUAUUGACAUGCUUUUUUGAGUGAAAAACACUUUGAAAAGCAACAACAACCACACUCUCAAACACGUUUUUGAUGAAUAUUUGAACUAUUUUUUAAAUGUUUUUUUAUAUAUUAAAAUAAUAUUUUUUGAAAUUUUUUAUUUUAAAAUUAAUAUAUCAAAACCAUUAAAAAACACUGAAAUACAUAUAAAUUUAAUUUUUUUAAAAAAAAAAACUUUUAAAAAAUAUAUACAACCAAAAGGAAUCUCUUUUCUAUUGUUAGAGAAUAUAAUUUAGGGUGCUUGUUUGUUCGGAAUUCCAAACUUUCAUGUGUUUUUUUGCUAUUAAAAAAGUUGGUCAACGAAAAACACUUUUCAGUAAAAAACAGUUGGCUUGAUUUUCAAGAAAAUAUUUUCCUUUUAUUUUGGACGAAAAACACUUUCCAAAAGUUGUGAAAAAUUUUAAAAUAUCAUAUUAUUUGCUGAUUAUAUAAAAUUUGGUCCUCAAACUUUUGAUUGAUAUAUAUUUUGUAUGAAUCUUUUUUUUUUCAAUUUUAUCCCUAAAAAUUUGAUUUAAUUUGAUUUUUAUAUUAACUUUGAUCAUCAUUUUUAUGAUUGUUAUUUGUUUUUCUCUUAUUAUUUUUUUAAUUGAAAUUUUUCAUCUAUUAAAUUUGGUCCUUAUUGUCUUUAUUGUUACUUAUUUUAUUUGAAAUUAUUUAUGAAAAUAAAAUUAUUAUUAUUUUAAUUUCAUCAUCUUUUAAAUUUUUUAUUUGUUAAAUUUGAUCUCUAUUAUUUUGAUUAUUAUUUAUUUUAUUUGAGAUAAUUUAUGAAAUUAGAUUUUUUUUUAAUUUUAUUUUUAUUCAACUUUUUAAUUUAUAAGAUUUAUUCCUCAUUAUUUUAAUAAACUUGAAAAAAAAAACAUUAAUAAGUUAUUAUUCAGUUCAUUUUUCAUAACAUAACCAAACACUGAAAAAAAAUAUUUUUCUAUUUAUUUUUCAUUACACUACCAAAUUUCAUUAAAUAAUUUAUUUUUCAACAAUUUAAUAUUUUUUUUAAAAAACCACUUUAUAAAAGAAAAUUCAGCGCUUUAAUUUCAAACUAAAAAAAAUAAAAAUUUUAAAAAACAUGUUUAACGCAUCUGACUUUUAGAUAAGGAGAUUGUGGUCCAGCUCUAACCAUAAGAAAAACGAGUGGACAGAAAUGAUGCAAGUGUAGCAGAGAAAUUGACGUCGAGGAAGAAAAGCUAGGACAAUCAUACUGAGUAUGUUCAUGUUCAAGAACUUCUGCAAUACACGAAGGUUGCCAGCCAAAUUUAAAUUUUAGCCUUGGAUCCAAUGCAAGAACUAAAGGAACGGUUGGUAUGCAUCGUUGUCAUAAAUAAUGAGUACCACUUUUUGGUGCAGCUUUUUCUGCCACUUUGAAUUUAAGAAUAUAGUUGGCUGAAUUGCCUCUGAAUUUAUUGUAAUAGAUCAUCAACUUUAUCUUGUCUCGUAGCCUUUGUCACAUGUUCACACGGUGGAAAGUAUGAAUGCACUUGGACAAAAAUAACAGCAAAGACAAAGAACACAAGUCUAUUAUUUCCUAAGCAUGUAAUUUAACUUCUUAAGAAAUCAUCUCUAGUCAAGAAGUUACAUUUGUUUUUACUACUCUUAUUUAAUAAAAAUAUUAAACAACUAUUUCAACUUAAAAAUUUAAAUUUAUUUUUAUACUUUGUUUUACAUUUUUUGAACAUAUAAAAAUUUAAAUUGUUUGUGAAACUUCUAGAAUCAUUUUUAUUCUAUUCUCUCACAGAACUCAGACAGCUUCCUCUUCUUUAUUUAUUUUUCCAUAUUGAUGAAUUAGUAUAAAUAGGCUUACAAGCCUAGCUAGUAAAUGGAACUAGCCAAAAUAGUUACUUCUAUCAACAACCAUUUUCAAUAAACAACAGUCAUACAAGAUGAAUUCCUCUGAUCAACAAAUGAAUAGCAUCACUUACAUGGAACCAAAAUUGUACAAAGCUGCAGCAAAAGGCAACAUCAACCCAUUUAAUGAUCGUCUUACAACUUCUCUCAAUGAGCUAUUGACUCCAAAAAAGAACACAAUUCUUCAUGUGUACUUAGAAAACCAACGUAGAGGAUCGAAAUCCACUGAUUUUGUUGGCCAAAUUAUUGAUAUGUGUCCACAACUGCUAUUGCAAGCCAAUACUAAAGGCGAAACUCCACUACAUUUUGCGGCAAGAUAUGGGCAUUCCAAUGCAGUGAAAGUCCUGAUUGACCGCGCAAAAAAGCUAGCUAUAGAUCCUGAGAACGGGCCAGCAGAAGAAAAGAAUAUGUUGAGGAUGACGAAUGAAGAGCAAGAUACAGCGUUGCAUGUGGCAGCUCGACAUAUCCAAGCCCAAGUGGUGGAAAUAUUGACAAAAGAGGACCCUGAGUUUUCAUAUUCCGCCAAUGUUCAUGGAGAAACUCCACUUUAUAUUGCUGCCAAUAUGAGGUUUGUGAACUUUUUUUUUUGUCUCAAACAGAGUUUGAUACCGAUUCGAUACUAUAAGUGACCAACAUCUUUUUUUUUCUUUUAAUAUUUACUAGAUUAAUCAAUUUUUUACUAAUCUAUUUAUCAAUCUAGAAUACUAUCAUUUUAAGAUUAUAUAAAUGUAAUUGUUAAUUAAUUUUAAUUUGUACAGCUUUAUAAUGUUAAAGUAAAUCUGUUUUUUAAAUUAUCAUAAAAGAUAUUAGGAUUUUACCUGCUUAUUUUUUUUUAUGCUAUAUAUGUUAUUGAACUCGAGACAUAUUAAUUCAAUAAAAAACAGCAAAAUUUAAUGGUUUUUAAUUCUCUUUUAUAAAGCAAACUUCCCAGAAAGGCAAGAGAGUUUUGAAGGGGAAAAAAAAAUAAAAAGGAAAAGAAUUUUGAUAAUAUUAAUUAGCAUUUUUUUUUAUCUCUUAUAAAAGAGAAUAUUGAUACUUUAACACUCGUGUACAUCAAAAAAAUCUUGCUACAUCAGUAUUUAUUGGACUUAAAAUGUUAAUAAAAAUCACAUAUAUCUAAUUAUGAUUAUAUUGCUGCCAAUGUAAGGUUUAAUAGGAAGUUAAAAAGACAUGAAGAACAUAGAAAAAAAGUGAUCGAAAUCUUGAGUAGUUGCAAGUCAGUGGAAUAUUGUGGUUCUCAUGGCAGAACCGCACUACACGCGGCAGCCAUGCAUGGUGAUCAUGGUAAGAUUUUUUUCUGAACUGUAAAUCUUUGAAUUCAUAAAUUAUUAUCGGAAACCAUAACUGUGAGAAGUGUGUUCUUAUCUUAAAUUAUUUCUUAUCUGUUUGCCAUUUUAUUGUACUCAUUUAUUUUAUGUUUCUUAAAAAAAAUCUUAUUUUAACCUUUAGGAUAUUGUUGUUUUCAUUUAUUGUUCAUUUGUCAAAUUCUUCGUUUACUCUAUCACAUUUAUUUGAUAUAUAUAGAAGUUAAUAAAGGUGAAAAAAAAAACAAAAAUAUUCAUUUUAUGUUUGUUAAAUUAAAGGUUAGAUUGUAUUUAUUACUUGUAUAAUUCAUUGGAAGAUACAAGGUAAAGAAAAUACAUAUUAAGAAGACAAUGAAUUUCCUAGUCUAUUUAAUUAAGGACUUAUUUGCAUGAUUAUAUAUAAGAUUUUAGGACCAAAAUGUUCUUAUAUACGUUUGAAUGUAAGGAAUGUAUAUGACAAGUAUGUGUGGGAGAAUCAUUUCCCUUACAUAAAUAAAUAAAUAAAUAAAUAACACUAAUGAAUUAUUAGAUUAGUAAGACUAUUGGAUUCUACUUUAAAAUGAUAAUUAAAGGCUCAUAAUAAUAUUGAAUUUUAUUCUUGUUGUUUAUAGUUUUUCUUAAGAACUUUGGUCAUCUAGUUCAAAUGAAGUUGGAGUUGGUGACAUUUCCAUAUUAUUAUUUUAAAUAUGACCAAAUAAUAAGAACCAAUAAAAAUAUGAUGCAUAAACAAUAUUGAAUAGCGACUAUAAGAACCAAAUAACUUAAUUAGAAAGCAAGAAAGGGCAUUUAUAAUACAAUUGAAGAGAGAAAAAUGCCAAAUUAAAUAUUAACUUAUCACUAAAUUAGUAGCGUAGAUAACGCAUUAACUAUAAUAUUAUUCAUAUAUUACUUAAUAUGUACCAUAUUUUUUCUUAUGGUUUAUUGCAGAGACAGCAAUAAAUAUAUUACAAAGCAACGCGAGUUUGACGAGAAGAACCGACGAUGACGGGUGGUCACCACUUCACUACGCUGCCUUUUUCCCUUUUUCAUAUACUGGUUUUGUAACAGUAAUAGAACUACUAAAACAUGAUGUGUCCGCAGCCUACAUUGUUGAUUCAGAGAAGAGAACAGCCCUUCACUUGGCUGCCGUUCGAGGCAAUAUGGCAGUAAUGGAAGAGAUUAUGAAGACUUGUCCAGCUUGUUGUGAACUAGUGGAUAGCAGAGGUCGGAAUGCCCUUCACUAUGCUGCCAUAACUCUAAGAGGAGCACUUACAGCUAUGUCUUUCCCUCGAUCGAUUCCUAAAUUUGAGAAACUUAUAUACGAGAAGGAUAACGAUGGAAACACACCAUUGCAUCUAUUUGCUGCUUUCGGCAGUUUUACCCAGAAGAGUAGUGAUUGGAUACAUGCGUGCAAGAAGAUGUGUGGCCUUAACAAGCAAAAGCUCAGCGUUGAUGACAUCUUGGUAGGAAAUUUUCCUGAAGAAAAGGUAAUUCCCUCGAUUUGACUUUUUAACGAGUCGCACUCGUACACGCGAAAGAGUCUUUGCAUUUGAAAAAGCUUGCUAACUUACCAAGACAAAUUAAAUUUAAUAUGUCAUAGGAAUGAUGUAAGAUUAUUUUCAUAAAUAUCAAAGGAUGCAUCAAGAGAAUUUAUAAUAUUCAUUCAAUCUUGUUAAAAAAAAAAAACUUCAACUCUAACAAUAAACACGCGUGCACCUUUAAUAAAUCACAUCAAUCAAACAUAAAUUCACUUGGAUUGUCUCCCUUUUUUAAAAAAAUAAAAUAAAAAUAGAAUAGAAAUCCUUUUGGCAAUAUAACAAAAUUAUACCUUCAACUUCAACACGUAUUUUUAAUUGACUAACACUAUUUGCUUUGAGCCUGUUUGGCUCUACGGUUCAACCUGUGUUUUCAUAAAUUUUAAAUUUUAUUUUUUUGCUAAAAUUAAAUGCGGUUUGUAUCUUUUGAAUCAUUUUGAUGUGCUGAUAUCAAAAAUAAUUUUUAAAAAAUAAAAAAACAUCAUUGGCAUGCAUUUUGUCCCCUAGACUGAUGUUGGUUUCUUUUAUUUGUUUGUUUUAUGGUGUGUUUGAUAUUUUAAUUGAUUAAAAUAAUUUUUUUAUUUUUAAUAUAAACAUAUUAAAAAUAUUAAAACACGCUAAAAAAAUUAAUUUGAUUUGUUUCCAAACCAGACCCUUUUAAAUCAUACUUAAAAAUAAUUUAAAAUUAAAAAACAAACAGCCCUCGUAGCAACAAAAGCAAUAUAUAUUGUUGGUAGCUAAAAGAAACAAAAUUACUUGAUUUCAAACUCGCUGGUUAUGAUAGCAAACAAAGGUUGAGAGUCUACAGAUGAUAAAGGAAAAGAAAGAUUCGUUUAAUUUCACAGCCGAAACUUGUUGCAGAAAAAGAUUUUGGAAUCAUUGAAAGAUGUACGGAGUGGACCGCUUCAACGGCCCAUACCUAUGAUGAAAGAAGUGAACCUCUCUAGUACUGAGAUUGGAAUGGAGACUCGUGUACUUGUAGCGGCACUCGUAGCAACAGUAACAUUUGCAGCUGCUUUCACGAUGCCUGGCGGUUACAAGAACGAACAAGGCACUCCAGUUCUUCUUAAAAAUGCUGCUUUUGCAGUCUUUGUUAUAUCAGAUACAACAGCAAUGGUUCUCUCAAUUUCUGCCCUCUACAUAUACUUUUAUUGGGCAGUGAUUGGAAAAAGAGGUCAAGUGGAACAGAAUAUAAAAGAAAACUUCUCUGACUGGACAUCUGCUUUAACCGCAUAUGCCAUCCUAGCUAUGCUCAUCGCAUUCAUCACAGGAAGUUAUGCAGUGCUAGCUCCAUCAUCAUGGCUUGCAAUCACGACUUGUUUCAUUGGUGUAGUCUACGUCUUCUUUGCGUCCACGGCAUACAUAGUUGACGUACGCACCAUUAUAAAAUAUUGGAAAUAUUGAAGAAGAUUGAUUAUCAUUUAGCUCGUGUUAUAAACUAUCUUCUCGUCAUCUUCUUUAUGGCAUCAGCUGUAACGUUGGUUUUAUUUAUCAAGUUAAUUUACCUUGCUUUUCACAAGUACAAUGAUCGAAAAAUUCAAUUUUGGCACUUGGGAAGUGGUACUGAGCCAUAGAAUGACGGCUAACAAGUUCACCAUUGAUUCUAGAUGAAUGGCACUGAGCCAUAAUUUUCAAAGGACUUGAAUUUCUAAUAUAUAUAUAUAUAUAUAUAUAUAUAUUGAUUAGAAUUUCCAUUAAUUGCUGAACGGUAAUUCGGACUUCAAUUUCUACACAUUGCAACUUCAUUCACCUUCCCAACUUUUUGUUUAACCGAAAUCAUUCUCAUGAAAUGCAAAACAUUCUUUUACGAGAACAAAAAUAAAUAAAAAAAGUAACAAAGGAAAAUUUUACGACAGGCACAAGAAAAACCAUAAUAAAAAAAAGGAGGAAAAUGGGUAUAUAAAACAGCAGAACAUAAACAUUUUGAGAAAUUAAUGAAUUAAUGAUGUAGUGCUAUGAUUUAACUCCGAUCUAGUGGGUUAUGAAGGAAAUGAAGCUGAUGACAACACCCAAUGUCUGAGAUUUUCAGACCCUAAUUCCACUGACAAGGUGUAAAGAGUGUAGUUAAAACACAAUUUGAACAACGGAGACAAAAAAAAUAAAAAUCAAUUUAUGUUUAUGUUUAGUGUGUUUUAAGACUAAAUAAUUUGUUUUAUUUUGUGUUUGGUUAGCAUUAGUCAAGACACAAGUAAAAAAUAAUUAGUGGAAGAAUUAAUCUAACUUGAACCCGAUCAAAAAUUCAAGUUGACCUACUAUAAAGUUUACUCGAAAUAAAACACUAAUAAAAACUUUUAAUUUUUUUUAUCAAAAUAAAAUUAUUUUAAUUUAUUUUUAAUUUAUAUCAACUUAAAUUGACUUUCCUAUUGACCUUCCUCCUAACUCAUGAUUAGGCCUUAUCUCACAUUAACUCUUAGGUUAGAUUUUAAAACAACUAUAACAAAUAUUUUGAUUUAUAUAUUAAUUUUAUUCAAUUAGGUAACCUUCCUAACACGUAAUCAAAAUCUUGCAUUGAAUUAUUAUUUAUAUUGAGUUUUAUAUUCACUCAGAUUAACGAUGAACAUGAUGUGUGAAUCAAAUGUUAUAUUAUUUAAAUUUUAAAAUUAUAAUAAUUAUUAUUUUUAUUUUUAUAUUAAUACAGAUCAAUCCGGUUAAUUCUUAUGCAAAACAUUUAACAAUCUAGCUUAUUCUACUCCUUUUAAUAAACAAAAAUUUCUCCACUGGCCUUGUUUAGAACAAAAAGUAAAUACUCCAAAAAAACUUCACAAAAAGAUUAUACCAUCCAAUCCAUUUUUUACAGCAUAUCGAACACUACAUGAAUUUCAAAAUAAAAAAUUACCUCAGUUAAAUCCAUUAAUAUCAUAGUAAUGUAGCUUCCACCAAGUAGGUUCUCCCUGAUAAACAGGGACAUGGCUCCACUACACCUUCAACAAAUUGGAUUAUAUCAUCAUAGGCAAUCUUACAUUACAAUUUUGCUCAAACCAAAAAUUAGCAUAGCCAAGUCUCAAAAACCUUAAACCUCCUAAAUAUUACUUAACAUUAAAAAUAGAUAUACAAGGAAUUCAUGAAUGGAUGCAAUGUAAUAAGCUAUUCAAACUAUUUUGUAUCUAUAAAUUAAAUGGCUCAAAGUUAUAACAGCUCUAACAAUCAAGAAUUUUCAGUAGCAGAACUGGCAUUAAAGUUGUAUAUUAAUCAUCACUGCCAAAAAUUUCUGGAAAAAAGCAUAACUUUAAUCACAGAGCAAACAGAACCCAAGAUCGAUCAAUAAAACGAAAACUUGAUGAAUCCAAUCAAAACUUGAUUUAUCUCUUUGCUUCAUUGAUUUCUCUCAGAAGAGCGAUAAAUGCAAUCUAAUAAUCGCCAACAAAUUUAAUAACAUAAAACAAUCAAAACUUGAUGAAUUUGGAGGGAUGUUUUAGAGGCAAAACCAUUGACACAAAGGGCAUAAGCCCCACGUGAACACCACCAAACAAAACUCAAUCCUUGCCUCAGUGACUAGCUUAAUGUCCACCAUAGUUCUCAAAAAAACAAGCUAGGGGUACAGAGAGUCAGCAAAAAAACACAUACCCAGAUAAAAAAAAAUGAAAAAUUUUAAAAAAAAUAAGAGAUGUAGUCGUUGAUUUGACACAGAUAACCCAGGGAAAAAGGUACGAGAGGCUAAACUCAAUGGAGUCCAUAACUCGGAUUGCAGGUUUAGUAGGUUAGGCUACAAAGCUCAAGAUAUUAUCGUCUCAAUAUUAAAAAAAAAAUAUCGUAUUGAAAUUUUAAAUUAAAUAUUAAAGAUAGAAGCACCGAAAUAUUAUGAAGAGAAGAGAACAGCCCUUCACUUGGCCGUCGUUCGAGGCAAUAUGACAGCAAUGGAAGCGAUUAUGAAGACUUGUCCAGCUUGUUGUGAACUAGUGGAUAGCAGAGGUCGGAAUGCCCUUCACUAUGCUGCCAUAACUCUAAAAGGAGUACUUACAGCUAUGUCUUUCCCUCGAUCGAUUCCUAAAUUUGAGAAACUUAUAUACGAGAAGGAUAACGAUGGAAACACACCAUUGCAUCUAUUUGCUGCUUUCGGCAGUUUUCCCCAGAGGUAUUUGAGGAGUGAUUGGAGACAUGCGUCCAAGAAGAUGUGUGGCCUUAACAAGCAAAACCUCAGCGUUGAUGACAUCUUGGAAGGACAUUUUCCUGAAGAAAAGGUAAUUCCCUCGAUUUGACUUUUUAACCGAGUCGCACUCGUACACGCGAAAGACUCUUUGCAUUUGAAAAAGCUCGCUAACUUACCAAAACAAAUUAAAUUUAAAAAUUAUCAUAGGAAUGAUGUAAGAUUAUUUUCAUAAAUAUCAAAGGACGCAUCAAGAGAAUUUAUAAUAUUCAUUCAAUCUUGUUAAAAAAAAAAAAAAAAACUUCAACUAUAACAAUAAAUACGUAUGCACCUUUAAUAAAUCACAUCAAUCAAACAUAAAUUCACUUGGAUUGUCUCCCUAUUUUAAAAAAAUAAAAUAAAAAUAGAAUAGAAAUCCUUUUGGCAAUAUAACAAAAUUAUACCUUCAACUUCAACACGUAUUUUUAAUUGAUUAACACUAUUUGCUUUGUCCCCUAGACUGAUGUUGGUUUUUUUAUUUGUUUGUUUUAUGGUGUGUUUGAUAUUUUAAUUGAUUAAAAUAUUUUUAUUUUAUUUUUAAUAUAAACACAUUAAAAAUAUUAAAACACUAUAAAAAAUUUAAUUUAAUUUUUUUCUCAGAAAGACACUUUUAAAUCAUAUCUAAAAACAAUUUAAAACUAAAAAAACAAACAGCCCUCGUAGCAACAAAAGCAAUAUAUAUAUAUUGGUGCUAGCUAAAAGAAACAAAAUUACUUGAUUUCAAACUCGCUGGUUAUGAUAGCAAACAAAGGUUGAGAGUCUACAUAUGAUAAUGGAAAAGAAAGAUUCGUUUAAUUUCAUAGCCGAAACUUGUUGCAGAAAGAGUUUUUGGAAUCAUUGAAAGAUGUACGGAGUGGACCGCUUCAACGGCCCAUAGCUAUGAUCAUAGGCGGAGGCAUGCCAAAGGCUAGGGUGGGCUUUAGCCUAGGUCAAGAUUUUAUCAAUAUUUUUUUAACUAGUUUUAUACAAAAACAAUUUAUAAUUCUCAAUUAAAUUAUCAAAAAAUUCUGAAAAUUUACGUGGAGCCUUCUAAUAUGAUGUUUUAGCUUGGGUUAAAAUUUCAGAAUUUUUAAAAAAAUUUAGAAAUUUGAUGAAAAAUCAUAAUUUGAUCGGUUUUACGUUAUUAGAUGUAAUUUUCAAUACGACCAUCAGAUCGAGUUGAAAUUUUACGAGGGAUCUUAAAAUAUAUUGAAUAAAAUCUAGUUAAGAGUUUAGGAUGAACGGAGCUUAGUAGUGCUAACAAAAAAAAAGAUCGUCAAAUAAAAACAAAAUGACUCAUUAAAAGUAAAAUGGUUAUUUGCCAUUAAAAAAUAAAACAAAUCAGCUACUCCUUCCUUUUAUAUGUUGCCGACUAAGCAGAAGCAGAAUAGAAGAAGAAAGAAAAGAAAAGGCAAGAAAGAAAUAGAAAAAAGUAAGGGAAAAACAUUAAAAAAUUCCAAGGAAAAAUAUAAGAAGUGAGAAAAUAACCUUGUAAACUAACGAAGUCCAACUUAUAAAAUACUAAUCUAGAGAAGAAUCAAGUGAAUGAAGAAGGAAUUAAAAGAGGAAAAAAAUUUAAUUACUUUGUUUUUCAGUUGACAUGAGAUUGUUAUUUUAUCCCUGUUGAGGGGUUGUUACAAUAUCGAUUCAGAUUCAAUUAUAGAUGAAUUAUAUUCCACAAAACAUCGAAGAAUGUAACUUUAAUAAUGAGUUUAUUUUUACUUUUGCUUUAAUUUUAUGUACUUUCAAAUUUAUUUUUUAAUAUUUUAGAUAAUGUAUUUGAAUUAAAACUUUAUUAUUAAUUUUAAAAAUUUAUGUACAUAAAUUAAUAAUCGAUCUUAAAAAAUAUUUUUAUAUUUAUUUAUAGCCCAGGAUAAAAAAAAUUCUUGGCUCCGCCCUUGGCUAUGAUGAAAGUAGACCUCUCUACUACUGAGAUAGCAAUGGAGACUCGUAUACUUGUAGCUGCACUCGUAGCAACAGUAACAUUUGCAGCUGCUUUCACCAUGCCUGGCGGUUACAAGAACGAACAAGGCACUCCAGUUCUUCUUAAAAAUGCUGCUUUUGUAGUCUUUGCUAUAUCAGAUGCAAUAGCAAUGGUUCUCUCAACUUCUGCUCUCUUCAUUCACUUUUUUUGGGCACUGCUUGGAAAAGGAGGUCAAGUGGAUGAGGAUAUAAAAGAAAACUUCUCUGAUUGGACACCUGCUUUAACCACAUGUGCCAUCCCAGCAAUGAUCAUCGCAUUCAUCACAGGAAGUUAUGCAGUGCUAGCUCCAUCAUUAUGGCUUGCAAUCACGAUUUGUUUCAUUGGUGUAUCCUUCUUCUUCUUUGCGUACAAGGCAUUCAUAGUUCCAUUCCGCAUCAUUUAAAAAUAUUGAAAAUAAACACUUCUCAGCAGACUUUAAAAGAGUCUGAUAUUGAAGAAGAUUGAUUCUCAUUUAGCUCGUGUUAUAAACUAUCUUCUCGUCAUCUUCUUGAUGGCAUCAGCAGUAACGUUGGCAUCAGCUGUAAUGAUUGAAAAAUUCAAUUUUGGCACUUGGGAAAUGCUAACACCUUCAAUAUAGAGAUCAUAGAAUGACGGCUCACAAGUUCACCAUUAAUUCUAGAUGAAUGGCACUGAGCCAUAAUUUUCGAAAGACUUGAAUUUCUACACAUUGCAACUUCAUUCACCUUCCCAACUUUUUGUUUAACCGAAAUCAUUCUAAUGAAAUGCAAAACAUUCUUUUACGAGAACAAAAAUAAAAAAAUAAAAAAGUAACAAAGGAAAAUUUUACGACAGGCACAAGAAAAACCAUAAUAAAAAAAAAGAGGAGGAAAAUGGGUAUAUAAAACAGCAGAAUAUAAACAUUUUGAGAAAUUAAUGAAUUAAUGAUGUAGUGCUAUGAUUUAACUCCGAUCUAGUGGGUUAUGAAGGAAAUGAAGCUGAUGACAACACCCAAUGUCUGAGUUUUUCAGACCCUAAUUCCACUGACAAGGUGUAAAGAGUGUAGUUAAAACUCAAUUUGAACAACAGAGAUAAAAAAAAAAAAAAUCAGUUUAUUUUUAUGUUUAGUGUGUUUUAAGACUAAAUAAUUUGUUUUAUUUUGUAUUUGGUUAACAUUAACCAAGACAAGAGUAAAAACAAUUAGUGGAAGAAUUGAUAUAACUUGACCUUGUUAAAAAUUCAAGUUAACCUAUAAUUAAGUUUACCCAGAAAAAACACAAAUAAAUUACUUAUGAUUUUUUUUUUAUCAAAAUAAAAUUGUUUUAAUUUAUUUUUAAUUUAGAUCAACUUAGAUUGACCCUCCUCCUAACUUAUGAUUAGGUCUUGUCUCAUAUCAACUCUUGGUUAAGAUUUUAAAACAAUUAUAACAACUAUAUUUAUUUAUAUAUUGACUUGGAUCAAUCUUCCUAACAUGUAAUUAAAAUCUUGUCUUGGAUUAUCAUUUUUAAUUAGUUUUAAAUUAUAAAAAUAAUUAUUUUUAUUUUUAUAUUCACCCAAAUUAACAAUCAAUAUUAUGUAUGACUCAAACCUUGCAUCGAGUCAAUUAUUAUUUAAAUUUUAAAAUUAUAAUAAUAAUUAUUUUUAUUUUUAUAUUAAUACAGAUCAGUCCAGUUAAUUCUUAUGCAAAAAAAAUUAACAAUCUUAUUCUACUCCUUUUAAUAAACAAAAAUUUCUCCACUGGCCUUGUAUAGAACAAAAAAUAAAUACUCCAACAAAACUUCACAAAAAAAUUAUACUGUCCAAUCCAUUUUUUACAGCAUAUCGAACACUACAUAAAUUUCAAAAUCAAAUUACCUCAGUUAAAUCCAUUAAUAUCAUCGUAUUGUAGCUUCCACCAAGUAGGUUCUCCCUGAUAAACAGGGACAUGGCUCCACUACACCUUAAACAAAUUGGAUUAUAUCAUCAUAGGCAAUCUUACAUUACAAUUUUGCUCAAACCAAAAAUUAUCAUAGCCAAUUCUCAAAAACCUUAAACCUCCUACAUAUUUCUUAACAUUAAAAAUAGAUAUACAAGGAAUUCAUGAAUGGAUGCAAUGUAAUAAGCUAUUCAAACUAUUUUGUAUCUAUAAAUUAAAUGGCUCAGAGUUCUAGCAGCUCUAUCAGUCAAGAAUUUUCGGUAGCAGAACUGGCAUUAAAGCUGUAUAUUAAUCAUCACUGCCAAAAAUUUCUGGAAAAAAGCAUAACUUUAAUCACAGAACAAACAGAACCCAAGAUCAAUCAAUAAAAAGAAAACUUGAUGAAUCUAAUCAAAACUUGAUGAAUCUAAUCAAAACUUGAUUUAUCUCUUUGCUUCAUUGAUUUCUCUCAGGAGAGCGAUGAAUCCAAUAUAAUAAUCGCCAACAAAUUCAAUAACAUAAAACAAUCAAAACAUGAUGAAUUCCGAAGGAUUUUUUAGAGGCAAAACCACUGACACAAAGGGCAUGAGCCCCCACGUGAACACCACCAAAAAGACUCAAUUUUUGCCUUAGUGACUAGCUUUAUUUCCACCAUAGUUCUCAAAAAACAAGCUAGAGGUAUAGAGAGGCAACAAAAAAACACAUACCCAGAUGAAAAAAAGAGAUAUUUUAAAAAAUAAGAGAUGUUGUCGUUGAUCUGACACAGAUAAGCCGUGAAAAAAGGUACAAGAGGCUAAACUACAACACUAAACGAAAGGUGUUUUAGCACGAGCAUUGGGGCUUUCUACUUCAGUGAAAUGUAACAAGUGAAGCCUAGGAGGCAUCAUUCAGAGAGAAUUUUUUUUAAAAGGUAAGUUUUUGAAAGGAUUUGUGUGAUGAAAACAGGGUUCUUGGAGGUGUGGAGCCUGCUAAUAGAAGAGAAACAGGGGUGUUAAGAAGUUAUAUAUAGGCGGUAAAGAGCUAUAAAACCCUACUUUUGUUAUUUGAGGAGGUGUUUUGUGUUUUUUGGAUAGUUCAAUUUGUUUUGGGAAUUCAGGGUAUUUAUAUUUGGGGCUUAUUUUUUAUUUUUUCAUCUCUAAUUACUGGAUAAUUUUCACGAGCAUAAAUUUCAUUUUUUUAGGUUAAAAAAUCAACAACAAAAUAAUCUAUCUUUUUCAUUCUUCCAAAAAUAGGUUUAUUAAUAAAAAAAACAAAUAUAGGGUUUAGGACUGGAUUUGGGGUCGUCCAUUUGGAAACCCAAAAUAUCAUGAAAAAUAAAAUAAAUUAUUAUAUAUUUUAUUGAUGUUAAAAAAUUAUUUUAGCUCUGUUUUUUUUUUUUGUUGAUAUAAUUAUUUUGGUUUCUGGAGUGGUUAUUCUUAAGAUUUCUCUUGGGUAUUAAAGGUAAAAUAAUUUUUGGACUAGAUUUUAUAUAUUCUAACUAAAUUUAUUUUCAAUUAGAUUUUAAAUAAAUUAUUUAUAUCGAAACUGAUGUAUAUGGUAAAAAUAUAAUAUAAACAAUCAUUGAUAGUUUAUUGCCCCUGUUAACUAAAUAAUUUGUUUUUAUUAUUGUUGACACCUUUCUUUUUUAUUUUAUUAUUGUUAUUACAACUACUGUUACUAACAACAAGAUCAAGAAUUAAGGGGAAAUCACUUGCUUGCACUGUUUAUGUAAACAAUAUAAGCAUGUACCUCUUCUUCUUCUUCUUCUUCUUUUAAUUUAAAUUUCAUUACUCAAUGAUGCAUUGCUUUUAAAUUGUUCCUUAUAAUUUAUUUUGGUUUGUUUUCUAUAAAGUUAUUACAUUCUUAAACAAAUGAGCCGAUAUUUAAUUAGUGCUCAAUUUUAUGAGUGCCUAAUUUUAUUAUCAUAAAAUUAGGUAAGAAAUAAUUUCAAAAAACAAAGUUAUUAAACUCAAUAAAGUCCAUAACUUAGGUUGUAGGUUUAACUGGUUAAGCUACAAAGCUCAAAAUAUUAUCGUCUUAAUAUUAAAAAAUAUAUAUCAUAUUGAAAAUUUAAAUUAAAUAUUAAAGAUGAAAUCACCAACAAAAUAAUUAAAAAUAUUAAUAUUUAAUUAUCUGUUUGUAAAAUUAUCAAUAAAAUGCCCCAAUAAAAAGACUAGAAUCCCUCAUUUCACAGUAGACGGGCCUUUUUUUUUUCUUUUUUCUUCUUCUUAUAUAAAAACGUUUUGUAGCAAAUUUUGAUAUGAUUAUAUACAAUGAUGAAUUUAUAUUUCAAUAGCCUGGAUUUAUGAUUUAAAGAAAGCAUCCAUCAACGUGAAUAAAUCCUUACGUGCAUCUCAUGUGAAGACAAAGGUGAUCUCAAGUGCAGAUUCUCCCUAAGACAAAUAUACGAAGUACAGCUUCUUAAAGACGAUCAGACCAGAGAUGAUUUUUGUUGGUUGUAAUAUUGGAUUUCGGAACCGAACUAUGUAGAGAUGGCCAAAGACUGGCUUCCUGAGAAGUUUUCACUAAAUAUAUUAUUGUUAGUACUCACAAAAUUAAAUAAAUUCAAUUAGAGGAAAUUCUAAAAUAUAAUUUAUAUUGUUUUUUUAACUAAUAACUGGUAUAACAAUCAAACACUAAUUCGAAUUAAAAUAAAAUAAAAUCAGUGACAUUACUAAUUCUUCAUGAGAGAAUGAAAAGAACAGGAUCCGAUGGAAUCGCUAUAUAUCAUGUGAAGUUUACAAUUUCCACCACCGGUUCCGACGGUCAAGUGACAUGAGUUAAUCAUACUCUUUUAAGCAUAUUAAUUGUAAACUUUCCUUACACUUUCAUAUUACGUAAUUAUUUAUUUUUGUCAAUAUUUAUUAAUACCAGGCUGCAAAGUCAAUGCUCAGAGAGGAGAAUGAUUAACUAUGUGCACGCCCUUGCAUUAUGAAUUUGUCUAUGACGACGUCCUCUUUAACAUGGUAGAGUCUAAUUUUCUUAGAUAAUUAAUUAAUUAAUUAUCGUUGGUCUUUCCUUCAAGAUCCAACAUCCCAUUUGCAAAGUAAUUAUAUGAAAAGAAAGUCGGUCCAAUAUUAAAUUAUAUAAUAUGUUACAUGUCCAAUCAUUCCCAUUAUUUUAUCAAAUUACAUGUUCUAUUUAUAGAGAGCAUAUAGCACCUUGUUUGACAUAUUCAUACUAUCAUACACUUCAACUCAAUCGUUCUUCUCUACAAUCAAAUUCAGGCUUCAGCAGCAAAAGUUACAAUGGCGGUAAGCGUGUAUAGAUGUCGUGGAUGAAAUUAUAUAACCGUAGGUUAAUUAGUAAGAGUCUUCUAUUAAUUAAUAUUUUCUCGUAUCAUAUUACAACUUAAAGGAAAGAAUGGCACAAUUGUAUUGAAAAUUUUCGUUGUAUUUUACCCAGUCGAUCAUAGAAAUGAGAGUGCAUAUGGAUUGUGCUGGAUGCGAGAGCAAGGUGAAAAAUGCUCUGGAAAAAGUCAAAGGUAAGAAAUCACCUCCACUAAAAACUUUAUGCAAGCGAAAAUUUUCAUCUUAGUCAUUCCUUAUUUUGUCAUGAAUUAUUUUUUCUGUUCCUCUCUUUUUAAAGUUUUCUUUGGACAUAUUUUCUUGGACUAUAUCUUAAACUUUUGUAUUUAUUAUAUGUAUGCACGCACAUGCGUAGAUGACAUAGAUAUAGAUAUGGGGUUGCAAAAGGUGACGGUCACAGGAUGGGCUGACCAAAAGAAAGUUCUAAAGACAGUUCGUAAGACAGGAAGAAGGGCAGAGCUCUGGCAAUUACCUUACAAUCCACAACAUCAUAUCUAUUCUGACCACUACUACAACCAACACCAAGUUAACAGUCCACUUACUUACCAUGCUCCUCAGCCUUCCUCUUCUUACAAUUACUACAAGCAUGGAUAUGAUAGCAACGAUCAUGGUUAUUAUCAUCACCCUGUGCAUUCCUCCAUCUUUAACCACCAGACAGGAGCAGUUUUCAGCGAUGAAAACCCUCAUGGUUGUUCUUACUAUAUAUAUAUAUAUAUAUGCAUGCUACUUUGUUUUAUAUGUACUGAUUUCCUUUUCACUUUAUGUUUUGUUAAACCUUGUUCACAUGAAGCUAUAAAAUAUAGACAAGAAAUGCCUUUUUUUUCCUUAUCAUUUUGCAACUUAUAAAUUGUUUUAUUCUGAUUUGUGCCCUAGACAUGGUAUUGUCUGCUGAGAAAACCGAGCUCCGUUGAUCUUUUCUUUUUACUAAACUAAAUCGCCACCAAUUGCAAUUUAAAACUCUGAUCUACAUUAAUAUCAUUCGGAUAGGAUUAAUUAGGAUGUACUCCUCCAUAAACUCUAAUAAAUCUUCUCCAAAGAAGAGAUGCCUUGGAAUGUUUUAGAAAGGGGAUAAUAUUCUCAUAUUCGCACCCAACUUAUUCGCUAUUACCCUUUCUCAGUUGUGUCCCUAACCUACAUAUUUAAGCAAUUGAGUCCAAAAAGUAUCUAGGAAUUAUCAAUCUGAUCCUUUCAUCCUCAAAUAUAAUUUGAAGUUAUCUUUAGGUGUGGACUUAAAUGAGAAAAUUCUUAAACAAUUUUUUUAUGGACAAAUCCAAUUGAGAAUUCUGGGACUAGUUGGUUGAAAAUUAUAACUAGGUUGAGAACAAAAUUUGGAAAACAAUUAGAGAUAGGGGACUAAUAUUAUGUUACCCAAGAACCUCAUAAAAAUUAGGGAUGAAAACGUCAUCACUCAACAGAUAUCAGGAAUACUCCUAUCUAAUUGAGAUUGAGAUGGGUUUUAACCCAGUUUGACUAGGAUCCAACCUAUUGUGGAUAUAUAUAACUUCUCUCAUUUUUAUUUUUAAGCAUACAAAUGUGUGGUUUUGCCCAUUUAAUACCCAAAUUGUUUUUUUUAUAUUUCCUUAUAAAUAUUCUAAGAAUUUUUGUGAUUAAUAGUUUUCAAUUUUUUAUUUCCUUAAUAUUAUGAAAAAAUAUAUGGUUUUUAAAAAUUAAUUUUCAAAAUUCUUUAAACUUUUCGAAUAUUUUUCUUAAAUAAGAAGUUUCCAUAACUUUUUUUUUAUUAUUAUUCCUUAAAUUCAUUUCAUGCACUGUUAAAAAAAAAACAUUACAUAGUGUCGUUUUAAACGGCAUUGUAUAUCUUCUUCUUCCAUAUGAACGUAGAGACAAAGAAGAAGAAGGAUUUUGAAUGUUUUUUCCGCCUCUCUCUCUCUCUCCCCCGCUUGCACAAACCUGACAAAACACAUACUCAUAUGCCCAUGCCACCAUAAUAAGAAAGAAAGACAACCCAUACCCCGGUCACCAUGUCCUGCACUCACCACGCCCUGCAUUUGGACAAGGUAUGGUGACUCUCUCCCUUGGCCUCCUACAAAUACAGGGGGAGAUUUGAGAGAAAGGGGGGAGAAAAAUUGUUCUGGGAGAAUAGUAUAGAAGAAAGGAAAUAGAAAGACAGUUUGAGAAAGGGCUGGGGAAUUGUUUGUGGGAAAUAAGGAUAAAGUAAAGACAAAGAGGAGACUAAAAGAAGAACAAAAGGAAACAUAAGAAAAUAGAGGAGAAGAACAUAAGGAAAAUACGCAGAGAAGAAGAAGAACCGACCACCAAAGAAGCAACUCUCCAGUCAGCAACCACCAACAUCACCGCCACAAAGCCACCACAUGUCCGCCCCUUUUCCUUCUUCCUCCUUCUCCUCUUCAUCUUCGAUGGUUUCCUUCAUUAUUCACUAAGUGAAUUAAUUUUCUCUUCAUUGUUAAGGUGAGAGUACUCCUGUUCAUUGGGCUGGACAAGUCCGACCCGGCCCAAUCCAAUUUUUUUUAUUAUAAAAAUACUUUUAUUGUUUUUUUAUUUUCCCGCGUAUUUUUCUACCUAUUUGAUUAUUAUCGGUUUGUAUUUUUAUAUCAUAAAGAUACAAAUUCGAUAUUAAAAUACUCGAUUUUCAUCGAAACAUCUCAAAAAAUUAUAAACAAUAAUAAAAAUAUAUUGUUUUCAUGCAUACGACGAAGUCUUUCAAAAAAAAAAUCAUAUUGUAUUUUCAUACAUCAAAAAUUCAAAAAUAUGUUUUAGCAUGCAUUUCGGCUUUCAUAACUAGUUUAUUAAAGUCAUGAGAACUAGGCGAAUAUUUAAAAAAUUCCAAAAAAAUCAAUUUGUUUUCUUUCAAUAUUAAGGAUUACGAGCUCAUACGUAAAACGAAUCCCUGAUAUUAAAAAGCUAGUUUUUUUUUAUUGAUUUUAGAAUGAUUAUGUUUGACCCAAUAAGAUAAUGAUCUUCUUACUGAGAAUGACCUUUUUAAAACCAUAGACGGACCAACAAUUAGACCUUAGCAUAUAUCUCCUUGUUGAUAUCUUUCCUUUACGCAACCAAUCUCUGUGUUCGAUCUCUGAGACCAGUUAGGGUUCCUAGUGACCAAAAUACUAGGUGACGACUCUUAUUCCCUCUUUCCACUGAUAAAAGAUAAGAAUUCAUUGUCUUUUCUAUUUUUCCAAUUACCUAGACAAACCUAUCAAAGUGGAAGACCCGUCACGAUGCCGCAUACGUGCAACAAUUUCAUUUGGUCAUUGAAUCUUUGUAAAGGAAUGAUAAUGGGUAUUCACGGGUUAGGUUUUUGUAUUAUCUAUACUUGAAUUCAAACCCAAAACAUUAUCAAUGUCUGACUCAAAACUUGACGAGUGUAAAUUUUGAAUAUCAAAAUCUAAUGCAAUUAAUCAGGUUUUAGUUAUUGAUUCAAAUACUUUAUAUUACCUAAAUGAUACAGUAAGGUUUGUGAAAACUAAAAAUUUUAAUAAUCUACAUGAGGGUUUGUCACAUACAGACUAUUUGAAUGACUUAACACAUGUUUUUAUAAACUAGUACUGAAAUAGGACUAAGUUUAAAAUGAUGUGUGGUCAUGCUAUAUUAGAAUAGUGACUUUAAACAAAGAUAACAAGUUUACAUUUGGUUGAGAUUAACUUUUUAUAAGAGAUUCUAAAAGUUGUUUUUUUUUUUUUAGGGAAGCUAUUCUGUCAUUUAUUAGACUACUAGAUCUUUUAAAAUUUGGCCUAAAAGUUGCUAUUUAGGUCUAAUUAUUUUUUGAUUGGUUAGGUUUUUUGGUUAAAAAAUAAAUAAAUAUUUUUUUUUAAAUCACGAUUGAACUAAAAUAGAAAUCAGUUCAAACCAACUAGUUUUGGUUUGGUAUAAAUUUGUUUUUUAAAACAAAAACUGGCAAAACCUGUUUUGCUCUUUCUGAGUUUUUAUGGGAUUUUACUGAAUUUUUAUAGGUUUUUUUCUAACUUCUUUGUUUAGUUUCAUGGGUUUUUUUAAAAAAUUUAUAUAUCUAGCUAAUUUGAGCCCAAGUUUAUUAACAAUGCAUUCAAGGAGAAAAGUGAAUCCAAUAAUUUUAUUGAAAGCAAAAUACUCACUACCAAUCAAUAAAUCAUCUGCGCGCAACAAUUAUUUAUUGAACUAUGCUGGAUUGGUUUGGUUUUUUUUUUUUGAAUUGACAAUCACCACACACACACACGCAUGGACAAAAGAUCUGUAGCCAUUGAUUAACUAUAAGCGUCAAAUACAUGGACAAAAGAUCUGAAAUUCUUUGAACAGAAAAGCUGGAAUUUAUGCAGUGACAGUGAUAGAAAAUCAAGUAAUUAUGCACAAUUAUCCUAUUUGCAGUCAAUGCAUCUAAUUCCGACUUGCUUUUUUUAUUUUAUUUUAUCCUUAAUCAAUUAUUCUUCUUUUUUUUUCAAUUUCAUUCUAUUCACAUAAUUUUAACAGGGUUUGGUUUGCUUGUGGUGCUGUAUUCAUGAUAUAAGAAAAAUACCAUGGCAUUAAAUUGAUCAUUAAUUUUAUAAAACUUAAUUUAAUUUUAUCAAUUCAAAAAAAUAUAUACAGUGCCGACCAAGUUUCACACAAACAAAAAAAUCCAUUUUUUCUUUUUUAUUGUUUAUGAAGAAUGGAAAAUUAUAGUUUAUUCCCAAAGUUUUUUUUUCAGUUUUAGUCCCUAUAUAUGUUUUCUAAGGUUUCAUGUUAGGAUUUCAAUAGUUAUUAUAAUUUGAAAGGAAAGAGAAAGUUAAAAAAAAAAGUAAAUAUAAAAUAUUUGACCAUCCAUAUUUUGACAUAAAAAAAAACUGAUUUUAUUAGUAACAUAACACCCCUAGUAGCUGUAUAGCGUCUGUUUAUAAGUGUUGAUUAGUUACAACUAUCAUUUCUAUCAUUUCUAGCUAGCACCCGUGCAGCGCCUCGUCAACAUCCCAGGAAGACAGCAAGCGUGCCUGCCUGCACUCACUUUCGGGCCUAAAGGCCCAGGGAUUUUAUUUUUUUUAUCAAAAUCUUUAAACAUUUAGAUAAUUCAUAUAAUAUUACAAUACUUAAAAAGGAACGUAUUGCAAAAAGGAACGUAUUGCAAUUAUAAUAAAAGUUAAACGCGGUAGAGAAAUCAUGGUAAAACGGAACGUAUUGCAAUUAUAAUAAAUUUUUUACUAUCUUUUUUUUUGUGUCAAAUUAACUUAAUUUGAUCAUACCCAAACUUCUUGGAUCUGGAUUGGCCACACUAAAAUAUUUUAGGUUUAGCAUGAUUGCUAGACUUAAGUCUCUCAAAUCUGACAUGAUUGUCAGAUCCAAUUGUUGCACGUGUGUGGCGUUAUGGCGAUCACCCACCACCCCCACCAUCAUCAGGUGUGGUAUGUUUAUUUAUUCCGGCAAAUAUGAAAAAACAAGGAAUUCUUUGUCUCUUACCAAUAAAAAAUAGAAUGGGAAUCGCCACCUAGUAUUUUGAUUACUAGGAACCCUAACUGGUCUCAGAGAUUGGAUACAGAAACUAGUUGCAUAAAGGAAAGGUAUUAGCACCCCAAAUACGCCCUACCUAAGGUAAGUUGUAUUGUUUUAUUGUCUGAUAAAAAAUUUAAAGUCUUGUCAUGUUGGUCUGUCUAUGGUUUAAGAAAAGUCCUUCUUAGUAAGGAGGUUCUUAUCUUAUGGGGAAAAACCUAAUCAGUCUAAGGUCUAUAACAGAAAUAUCUUUUUAAUAUCAAGAAUACGUUUUACGUAUAAAUUUGUAAUCCCAGAUAUUAAAAGAAAACAAAAUAGUUUUUUGAUUUUUUUUUUAAAUAUUGGCCAAGUUCUCAUAACUUUAAUAAACUAGUUAUUAAAGCUAAAAUGCAUGCUAAAAUAUAAUAUAUAUUUUUUGAAGUUUUCUAUUUUUGUAUAAAAAUACAAUAUGAUUUUUUUUCUUUUUUAACUUUAAGAGACUCGGCUAUAUGCACAAAAAUAAAAUAAAAAAACUUUAUAUAUAUAUUCAGAGUUUUGACGAAAACUAGGUAUUUUAAUAUUGGAUUUGUAUUUUAAAAAAAAUACAGAUCGAUGUCAAUCAAAAUGACGUAAAACAAAUACGCGGGGAAAUCACAAUUUCUUUAAAAAUAUAUAUUUUUCUUUUAUUAAAAAACAAAAAAAAUAAAAUUUCUGAUGUUCCAGCAUUAAAAAAUGACCUGAAAUGGUGACCGGCUGUUCUCAUUGGUUGUUUUCGUCAACCUUUUUUCUUUUUCUAACAAAUUUAUUGCUGCCUCUGAAACCAACAAAACAAGGAAUAAAAGUUCUCCUUCAUGAACAACAGAAAUUUCACUUAUGCCCCGUUUAAUAAUUUCUUUUUAGAAAACUGGUUUCUUGAAAAAUAAUUUUCUAAAAAAUAAAUUAUUUUUCAAUGUUUGGUAGCAUCAUAAAAAAUAAGUUAGAAAAUAUUUUCUAGUAUUUGACUAUGUCAUGGAAAAUAAGCUGUAAAAAAAAUUAUUAAUAUAUUUUUUUCAAGUUUAUUAAAAUAAUGAGAACAAAAUCUUACAAAAUAAAAAGUUGAAUAAGAAUAAAAUUAAAAAAAAAAUCUAAUUUCAUAAAUGAUCUCACAUAAAAUAAAUAACAAUCAAGAUAGUAAAAAUCAAAUCUAACUAAUAAAAUAGUUGAAAAAUAAUGAAAUUAAAAAUAUUAUAAUUUCAUAAAUUAUUUCAAAUAAAAUAAAUAACAAUAAAAAAUAAGGAUCAAAUUUUAUAGAUAAAAAAAUUAAAUUAAUGAUAAGAAAAAAAAAAUAUAAAAAUAAGGACCAAAAUUGAUAUAAAAAUCAAUUUAAAUCAAAUUAUAAUGGAUAAAAUUUUAAAAAUAAAAUUCAAAAUAAAAUAUAUAACAACCAAAAACUUAUAAUUUGUUUUUCUUUCAAAAAGCUAAUUAUGAAGCAAACACGGAUAUAUAAAACCAAAUAUACGUGGAUUUUAAAUUAUAGUUUACACUAUUAUAUAUAAAUUAUUUAAUUCUCCAGACUUAAGCACAAAAUCCUACCAUAAUCUCCAACUAGAGCAGUUGGACCAUUAGGGCCGUCGUGAUCUCGCACCCUGAUUGCCGCGUGUAGAGCAGUUCUACCAUUAGGGCCGCCGUAGUCCACUGAGAUGCAAUUUCGUAAGAUUGCAGCGAUCACGUUUUCUCCAUGAACAUGGGUCCUCUUUAAUCAAUAAUCCCACCACAUGGCUCUGGUUAUUUCGAGCUGCCUCAUGCAUCGCUGUAACUCGCUCUUCAUUGGUCAUCCUCAACAUCUUUUUGGCUUCUGUUACUUCGCUCUCUGGAUCUGUAGGUAGAGCUGUUGCGCGGUCAAUGAGGACUCUUACCACUUUGAAAUGACCAUAUCUUGAUGCCAAAUGGAGUGGGAUUUCACCUCUCUUAUUGGCUUGGAAUAAGUGGUGGAAACAAUUCCUAAUUGAUUUGAACUUUGCAAUCAAUUUCUUGUUUACCCACCUGUGUUGUUUCUUUUCCUCUAUCCGAUUGGCGGUUGCAGUAAAUGGUCUAGGCACAGAGAGUUUUUAGACGACAGCAGAGGUCCUGAACUACAGUAAAGUUCUGCAGUCUCUACAGAGCCAUUUUUUAUACGAAUGUGAUAAAUAAAAAUAAAAUUUUUAAUUAGAAUAUCCAUGUUUAAUAUGCAGUACGAUUGUGAUAAAGUCCAUCACGGACUCGAGAGUCCAGAACAUAACAUGGGAAUUAUGAUAAAGAACAAAAAAAAAAACCCGUGAAAAUAAAGACAACAGUGACAAAACAGCCCAAAGACACAAUUACAUGGGAAUUAUGUCUAUCACAACUGGCUUGUAACUCGUAAGACUGUGAGCCUUGGGUUUGGUUAAGGCGGAUAUGUGGCAAAUACAUAUUCCCGGUUCAACUAUGAGAACCAUUGUUAGGCAAACAUAAAAAAUCAAUUAAUGGGUUUUAUGUUCGAGUUUUAUAGUUGUUAAUAUAAUAAUUAUUGAAGACUUACAUGAUUAUUAAUUUUAAAACCCGUAAGAUUAAUUAAAAUAUAUACAAACUGACCUGUACAUUAAUAAAAAAAAAAUCAAUUAGCUAAUUUGUUUAUAAAAAACAAAUAUAAACUUUGGUACAAGGACCACAUGCAAUCGACUUUACUCUUGCGUUUAACAGUAAAAACAUCAUUAAACCCGCAGAAACCUAUGACAAAAAACCAAAUUGUUUUAGCCUUUUUUGGAAGAAUGAAACUUGGCAUAUCCUGCUUUUCAUAGAAGUUAUCUUACAAUUUUUUGAGAUUAUAGAAAUAAUGUUUUUAAAAAUAUUUUUUUAUUUAAAAAUAUAUUAAAAUAAAUUUUUUAUUUUUAUUUUUAAAAAAUAAAAAUAAUAUCAGAGUUUUUGACUACUUAAUUUGUGAUGUCUCAUCAAUUACAAAAUAAAAUAUAAAAAAUUGAUAAUUGAUUUGGGAACCAAAAACAUGAUUUCUGAACAUAUGACAUCAUAAUUGUUUUUCAAAAACAAUAAGAAUUUUUUAAAAAAAUACAUGAGAGUUUAAUUUGAUAGAAAAUUUAGAAUUGAUUGUUUCACUAGUAAAUCUAAUCUCGUAAAUCCUUUUAAAUGAUCCUUAAACACUAAAUACACAAGGAAAAAGAAGCUCAAACCAAUAAGAAAAAUGCUGAUGAUAAUAAUCAUUAUCUCCAUGCCAAUCAUAGUAAACAAUGUGGCAAACCCAAAUAAUAUCUCAGUGGUAUCCUCACUUGUAUCUUUAUUUUUGUUCAUUUUUAAAUUUUUAGAGGGUGUUUGACACUGUUUUUUAAAAGUAUUUUACAAAAAAAUUGAUUAUUUUUUUCUUUAAAUUAAUAUGUUUUUUAUUUUUUUCAAAUCAUUUUGAUGUGCUAAUUUCAAAAAUAAUUUAAAAAAAAUUAAAAAAAAAACAUUAUUAGCAUACUUUUCUAAGUAAAAAGUAUUUUGAAAAGUAAUAAUUAUCAUACUCCCAAACACAUCUAAAUAGAUAAAGACAGAAAAAAUAGAGAGUAAGUACUAUUGACAUUGUAUCUGAAAUGACAAAUACUAUAAAAACAUCCUUUUUAGUUAGAAUUGCGGUGUCUUUGUCGCUCUUGUAAUCGCCAGAUAAGGUGAAUGCUGCUGCAAAUAUUACCAUUACUAUCAGCGCCACAAUUUUAAACAAGUAUAAUGAGUUUAAACUAACAGCCACUUCUACAAUAUCUCGAAAUCUCAAUAUCUACAAUUACCAAAAAAAUUUAAGAAUAAAUAAAAUAUAUUUAUUAAUUAUUUUCUUAUGAAAUAAAAUUAGUCACACUUAACAAAGACCCCCAUGACUGCAUAUAAAAUAAAAAUUGCUUAAGACUUCACUUAUUAAACACACACACACACACACAUUAAUAUGACGGCGCGCCUCGUAAACAAACAGCAUCGUCUUCAAGGUUCAAAGCAUGUAAUGGGUUUUCUUCAUUGUCAAUUCUCUGUGGCCUUGUUUAUUGAGCGAACUGGAGUACUGGGUUUUCUUCAUUUUUCCAUGGUACCAGGGAUCUUGCAUUUUUUAAUAAUUCAUUUUUUUUUUAUCCUAUUGAAUCUCUUAACUGGAGUACUCCAAUACUCAUGCUUUAUUCGAUCACAGCAUCCUUUUCCUUUUUGUUUUUCUCAUUCGUUUCUUCCAGAACAAUGCGCCGGCAGCCAAACGGUCCCCUGCCAACAUCUUCAAGGGAUUCUAGGAUCUCCUGCAAAAUAUUUUGGGUGAAAUAUCGUAGGUAAUCCAUCAUUUUUAGCUAAUUAUCAAAUAUCUUGUUUAUAUCACUCUAACAUUUAUUUUUUCUUUUUUCUCCUCUCUCUAUUAUUUUCUCUAAUUUAUACACCAUUUGCUAUACAAAGGAACAAAAAAAUGAAUAGGCAAAAAAGUGUGAUUAAUUGUAUUAAAACACCAUUUGCUAUACACUUAUACUAGAAUAGUUUUUCUCAUGUUCUUUAUAUUUCUUUUUGUACUUAUCUUCAUGUAUAUGAACUUUUCAAAUAAUUAUUCCAAUAAAAAAUUUAUAUUUUUGUUAGGAUACAUUAUAAUUUAUUAAAUAAUCAUUUCAAUUUAAGAAUUCAAGUUAUUGAAAUUCGUAACUCUUGACAACUAAAUUUUAAUAACAUAUAAAAAAAAACAAUUAAAUUCAAGAACUCAAUUACGGCAGCUCCCUCUUUUCAAUACGAAUUAGUAUAAAAACGCUUACAAGUCUAGCUAGUACUUGGAUUAAUUAGCCAAAACUACCUCCUGUCAACGGCUACUGUCAAGAAUCAACAGUCAUGCAAGAUGAUUUCCUCUGAUGUUGCAUCAUGCUGUAGUAAAAAAGCAACAGCGCCCAUUCAAGAAUCAUCAAACUUCUCUAAACCAGCUAUUCACUCCAAAAAAAAAAAAAACACAGUUCUUCAUGUUUAUGGACCCAUUUGAAAACCGGUUUAAUCCGUAUUUUUUAAAAAAUUAAAUUUAUAAUAUUUAAGUUUUUUUUUUUCUUAUCAUAAAAGACAAUAGAGAUGAAAUGCUAUCGUAAUAGGUGACAAAUGCUCAAAUGUGAAUAAAUCACUUGUCUGCCUAAUUAUUUUUUAGGACAAUAAGAAGUUUUCAAAAAACAUUUAUUGUUAAUUCCCUCAGCAUAACUUCCUAUGCAAAGGAUUCUGAAACACAGAAUAAAAGGAAAGGAUUACCAUGCUGACACUCUUUUUUUUAAAAAAAAAAAAAAUAUCUGAUACUUAGACACUUAUAUAUAUUAAAGCACCUCCCUACAUCGGACUUAAAAAGUGAAAUAAAAACACACACAUAUGUGCAAGUGUAUGCACACCUCCGCGCCCACACAUAAACUAAAUCAAUAUAAAUAUUGGAUGUACAUUCAUAAAAACAUUAUUUAGCAAAUGAAACUAAAACAUUUAUCACAAUUUAAAAAACAAUUGUGAGUAUUUUUUUUCCUUCUUUUAUAAGUAGAGAAUAUUGAUACUUUAACAAUAGUGUUGAUAUCUAAGUAUUGUAAGUAAAGAAUUUUUUUAUAUAUAUAUAAAUAGACAAUAUUGAUACUUUAACACUUAUAUAUAUAUCAAAGUAUCUCUCGUUAUACUAAUAAUUUUCAGACAUGAAAAAGUUAAUUAAACACAUUACCUGUAAUCUAAAACUUGUGAGGGAAGUACUAUGGCAAUAAUACUUUCCCCACAUUUUCCCCACAUGUUUUGUGACUCUCGAAAAUACAUUUGCUUUUGUUUUUAUUUUUUUCAAUUAAUGUUUUUUUUUAAAAUUUUUUAUCAUUUUAUAUUAAAUUUUUUAUUGGGUUAUCUCACUCUCAAGAUAUGGAUCGCGGGUACGACGAAUUAACCUAGUUGGCUGGAGUUUUAUUCCUUCUUUUUUUUUUCAAUUUUAUCAUUCAAUAUUGGUUUUAAAAAAGAAUUAGUUUUCAUGAUUUAUUUUAUUUGCUUUCUAUUAGGUUAAUUCGGUUUCAUGACCCGAGAAUAGUUUUUAAUAAAUUAAUCUCAAGUUAACUCAGGUUGUUUUUUUUUAUGUUUUUUUUAAUUGAAUUUCUUUUUAAUUUUAUCAUUGAAUAUUAGGUCGGUUGGAAAUUGGGCUUUCAUAAUUUAUUCUGAUUUCUUUUCUACUAGGAUAUCUUGGUAUCAUGAUCAGGGUUAUGGGUUUUGGUAUUUUAACCUCGGUUAAAUCAUGUUGUUAUUUUUUUAUUUUCUUUUAAGAGGUUAUCUUGAUCUCAUGUCCUUCAACAUUAUAUUUGUUUUUUUAUUGGGUUGUCCAUGUCUUAUGAUCUAAGUUGCGUGUUUGACAAAUUAAUCCAGUUGACUCAGUUUUUUAUAACUAACUUUUUUCUCAAUUUUAUCAUUUAAUAUUGUGUUUGAUUAAGAAUUAAGCUUCAUUAUUUAUUUUGAUUUGAUUUUUAUGGGAUUAUUUCAGCCUAAUGACUCGGGAAUAAUACUUAACGGGUUAACAUAUAUUAACUUAGCUCUUUUUUUUAAUUAAAUUUUUUACAAAUUUUAUCAUUUAACACUAGGUCCGAUAGAAUUGAUUAAGAAUUAAACUUUAUAAUUUGUUUUCAUUUAUUUUUUAUUAGGUUAUAUCAACCUCUAGAUUCAUAAAUUUGAUAGGUUAAUCUAACUUAAAUCAAUUUUUUUUUUUUAAGGUCAACUUAAUUUUUUUAUUUCAGUCAUGAGUUUUACUUGUAUCAUUGUUAUUUUUUCCCUCCCGUGCAGUUCAAUGGCAAGCUGGGGUUGUAUUUUUUGGGCAUGGGAUUUGCUUACAUUUUGAUCCUCCAUGCAGACUGCAGGAUGUCACUGUCACAAAAAACCAAAUUUGCUUUUUUUUUUUUUUAGCUUAUCAUAAAAGACAAUAAAAAUGAAAUGCUUUCUAUCAUAAUAGGUUAUUACCUGCCUUUUUUUUAAUGUUGUCUAUGCUCUUGAACUUGACAAAUGCUCAAAUGUGAAAUCAAUUGUUUUUUGGGACAAUAAUAGAUGAAAUGCUUUCUAUCCUAAUUGUUUUUUGGGACAAUAAGAAGUUUUCAAAAAAAAAAUAUUGUUAAUUCCCUUAGCAUAACUUCCUAGCAGGGAAAAGGAUUUUGAAACACAAAAGAAAAAGGAAAUGAAGACCAUGCUGCCACUUUUUUUUAUCUCUUUUUUUUUUUUUUGAAUAUUUAGACACUUAUCUAUAUCAAAGUAUCUCUUUACAUCAAUAUUUAUCAUACUUAAAAAGUGAAUUAAAAACACUCAUAUAUGUUCAAGCAUAUGCACGCAUCCACACACAUAAACUAAUCAACAUUUUACUUAUUAGGGAUUAAAUUUUAUAAUUUAUUUUAAUUUUUUUCGUGAGGUUAUCUUAGUCUUAUAACCUGAGUUGCAAGUUUGACAGGUUAAUUUGGGUUGUUUUUUGAAGUCCUUUUUUUAAUUGAUUUUGUUUUUAAUUUCAUUCUUUAACUUUGAGCUAAUUGAAAAUUAAGCUUCAUAAUUUGUUUUUCAUGGAGUUAUCAUAGUCUCAUAACCCAAGUCACAGAUUUGACAUAUUAACUUAAGUUGAUCCAAGUCAAUCUAAUAUAUUGUUAUCUUAAUAUGUUUUUAAAAAAUCAUCUUGAAUUAUUUUUAGUCAAAUUAUGUUUUUAUUGGUCAUUCGAGUUACUUUUGGACCUUCAAAGUCAAUCAUGUCAUAUUGAGUCAAUACCCACAUAGUUUAAAUUUUUUUUCCACUAAAAUAUACAUUAGCAACAUCUAAAUAUUUUUUUAUGUUUAAGAAAAAUUUGAUCCAACCCACGUAGCUAGCGCGGGUCAAUAAUCUAGCACACGCAAUAAACUAAAACAAUAUCUCACUAUACAUCUAUAUGCAUUCAUAAAACACUAUUAAGAGAAUCAAACUAAAAAAUUCUAUCACAAAUUGUUUUAAAAUUAUUUAUUUUCUAUUUGUAACAAACAAUUUAUUCCAAAUAAUGAAUUUUUUUAGAAAAAAUACAACUGAAUUUUAUUUGAUAGCAAAUCAAGGACUGAUUAUUUUAGUUGUAAAUCAAGUUCAUAAUAUUUAGCUUAAAUUUUAAUUUUUUUUGUUUAAUUAUUGCAAAAUUACUAUUAUUGUUAUUGUCAUUUGAAAAUAUACUUACUAUGAUAUUAAAUAUUAAUAACUAUCUAAUUAGGAAAAAUUAAUUAUUCAUAGUAAAUACAAAUUUAAUAUCAUUAUAUAUAUAUAUAAAAAUUCCAAAUUUGCGUUAUUGUGAAAAAAAUCAGAUUUUUGUGAACAUUUGUUUGUAGUAUAUGCUGGAUUAAUCAAUAUUUUAUUGAUUAAUUUAUUAAUCAAAUUCAUUAAUAUGGAAUCCUAUCAAUCUAAGAUUAUAUAAAUUAUAUAAAUGCAAUUAUUGAUUAAUUUAUAAUUUUUAUGUUUUUUUUAUAAUUUUUUUCUUUGUUUUCUUAUCAUAAAAAACACUAGAGAUGAAAAGCUUACAAAAACAUUUUAUUGUUAAUUCCCUCUUCUAAAACAUAACUUGCUUGCAAGGUAAAGGAUUUUGGAAUACAAAAGUGAAAAGGAAAGGAUGACUAUGCUAGCACUUCUUCCUUUUUUUAAUGUUUUUUUUUCUAAUACUUAGACACUACAUUAAUAGUUGUUGAACUUAAAAGGUGAAUAAAAAACACAAAUAUAUGAAAUUUCAUUUGAUAGCAAAUCUGGGAUUGAUUGUUUUAGUUUGAAAUCUUUUUCACAAAUUUUAGCUAAAAUUUAAAAAUUUUGUCUUAUUAUUAUUAUAACCCAAUUUUUUAAAACAAAUGGAUAAAAAAAUAAUUUGAGAUUUAGGUUAAGACAACACAAAUUGAAAAUUUGAGGAUUAAUAAUGAUGAAAUUAUAAAUUUGGCAGUCAAUGUGGUAGAAAAAUAGAAGAAUUAAUAAGUUUGGAGACUUAAUUAAACUUUUAUUUAAUUAAUUAAUGCAAUCAAAAGCUUAAUUGAAGAAAUACCAAAGUUUGGGGCUGAUUUGAGUCACAAUUGCAAGCAAUUAAAGUUUUAGAAUCAAAGUGAAUAGACAAUGAUACUAUGGGGGGUUAAUUGAAUUUUUCAGGAGUAAUUUUGAUUGAAUUAAAAGUUAAAGAGUCAAUUGAAGAGUGAAUUGAUUAAAUUAGAAAUCAAGUAUUGUUUUGUAAAUGGCUUUGAAAUUUAGGGGUUGAAUUGCAAUUUGAUCCAGGGGUAACAUUAAGAAAAGAAAAAAAAGAUUUUUCUUGAUUAGAAACCCAAUUGUUAAGUGUCAGAAGUUUAAGGGUUAAAUUGAAAAUAAUCAUUUCGAGUGAAAUGAUGUCGUUUUCUACCUUGUUCAUUAUCUGUUCUUCCUCUUGAAGACCAGAUCAACAAGAAACACAACUAAAAAAAAUCACGGACGACGCUGCCAAUAUCCCCACCCACACGAUGAAUAUAUAUCUAUCGCAACUGGCUUGUAACUCGUAAGAAUGUGAGCCUUGGGCUUGGUUGAGGCGGAUAUGUGGCAAAUACAUAUUCCCGGUUCAACUCUAAGAACCAUUGUAACCCAAACAUAAGAAAUCAAUUAGCAAAUGUGUUCAUAAAAAACAAAUAUAAAACUUUGGUAUAAGGACUACAUGCAAUCGACUUUUAUAAUCGGUUAAUAAGCGUUAUCAUCCUUAAAAUAAUAAUAAAAUAUAAUUUCUAAAUCUUUAUUAAAAAGCUUAAUUUCUCAAAUAUUGAGGGAUAAUCAUAUAUACGAGAAUUUAAAAAUUCUAUGUAAAUAUAUACUAUAUAUAAAAAAAACUUAAGUAUUAAUAAAUUAAUUUAUAUUUUUUUAGUUUUAAGCACUCGAAUUCUCUAUAAAUAAAAAUAGAUAAUUAAAAGCUUGUUAUUUAAUGGUAUAAAAUAAAAGAAUAAAAAAAAUACUUGAUUUCACAUCAGUCAUCCAAAUUUGACUAAUGAUUUAAGACCUAGCCAAUAUCUUAGAUUGCCCGAUUACAAGUUAAAAGGUCUCUCGCAAGAUUAUUAGAUUUUUAUGGCCUUAAAAGGCCAGAGUAAUUAGAUUAUCUUGAAAGGGCAGGGAUGAAUUUGACUUCACGUAUGAUUUCUUUUUUCUAGAGAAAUUAACAAUAAUUUAAUGAAGGACAACUUACUUGGCUUUACAUCAUCUUAUCUAUAGUCUCAGACUCUCAUGGCCAGAAAGUUGUCCUCCUCAUCCAAUAUUAAUAAUCUUAAAAUAAAAUUUAUGAAUUAAAUAUGCCAUUUUUAUUUUAAGAUUAAGAAUUCUUUAAGAAUUUGGACUCAUUUUCAAGCAAGUUAAGAAUUCUUUAAUUAAUAAUUCCUAAUUAUAAAGGGAUCUGCAUUGAUUUUUUGGAGUCAUUUUUAAUCUCUUAAAUUGUAGUAAGGUUUCUUAAUUAGGUGGCGAGAAAUCUGUCUGCAUUCGUUAUUUAUUCUAAUAAAAUAGCAUGCAAUUUAGUCUUUCUUAACCAAGUUGCAAAUUGGCUCUGAAUUUUCUAAACUUUUUGGCGCUGUCCAUCCUUCUUCAUAUUAUAAACAUUCAUAAUCACUCUAUUUUCUAUUUAACCUUUUAAAAGGACAGAAAAAAGCUCAGGCUAUCGGGCCCACAGCCUAGCAUGCAUGGCCAUUAUAAAAAAAAACUUAAGCAAGCAGGUAACCUUCAAGCCCAGCCUGGCAUGCUUGGGGUUUGUUCUAUUUUUUAAUAUGAAAAAAAAAAAUAUAAACGUUGUCUACCAAUCUAGAUUACAGCCACUAAAAUAGUAACCGGAAAAUCAAGAUAGCGUCUUUUUUGGUAAAAAAACUACACCUUAUCAACAUCAAGGCAACGUCUUUUUUGGUUUUUUUAAAAAAUUACCUCUAUUUUUAAGACAUUAUAACCCCAAAACACUUACAAACAUCUUUAUAGCACCCGAAAAUUAUUUCAUCAACUUCAAAUACCCAAAAAAAUAGCCCAAAAAUCUGAAAUCAAAUCGGUUUAGUUUUGGUUUUCUUGAUUUAGAUCUGGAUUUUUAUGCAACAUUAAAGCUCUAAACAAUCAUCAUGAAACUCCUCUCAUAUUUGAGAACCCGUGGACACCAAUAAAAUCCAUUUUGGUGGUCGAAAAUGAAGUGAACAAUGGCUUUAUCUCUUAUCAUUAGAAUCUAGCAACACUUAUCUCUCUCUUCUCUGUAACCUUAGAUUGAAAAAUAAUACAAAUAAAGUUGUGUAUCAAAACUAAUUUUUUAAAAAUUUCAAAAGACCUGAAUUCUAUGAAUAAUGUUAUUUUUAAAGAUCAAAGACCUAAGUAUAUUUUGCUUGAAGUCUCUGGUACAUCAUUCAUGUUUGAUGUCUUUUUUUAUUUUAAUCCUCAUUCUUUCAAUUUCACUCUUGAUUAAUUAUAUAAAAUAAAAUUUUGAGAAUCGAAAUAAAUUAUUAUAAAAAAGAAUUCAUAAUGUUUCGUGAAUAUAUGAACAAUACCCAAAUAUAAUAAUAAUAAAAACAAACCACACGGCUUUGCAGUUUGUUAUAAAUCCAUCAUUUAGACUCGAAUUAAAACCUCACAGGAGGACAGAUUCAUUUCGGCAUGCACACCAAAAUGGAAUUUCAACGAGAGAGAUAUAUACAGAUGGUUUUUUCUUAUUGGGCAUGUGCAGUGGAUUUACACAUCAUUUAUACGAGUAAUGUGUCGCUGCGAAAACUUGACAGCAUUCAGGAUAUCACUAGCUAUUUAUUUAAUGUGUUUCUUAUAUUUUAUUAAAAUCUUCAAAGUAAAAUUUUUAAAAAAUAUAUAUAUGAUUAUGAUUUAAAAAAACUACCCCAAGGUGGUAGUCUAGCCGUAUAUCAACUAGGGGCUUGGGGUUUGCUUCUUCAGAACUCUGGUACUAGAAAAGUUAUCCUUCAUGAACAACAGUGUUUUCACAAGCUGCUGAUUUCUUCGGUUUUUAAAGGAAGAAAAAGCGUUAAUAACCACAAAUUACAUUUAUUUUCCUUUUUGAUAUUUUGUUGCAAUAUCUUUUCUUUUGCCCUGCUGGAAAGUUAUAUCUGUUUUUAUCAGAACAAUAAAAAAAAUAAAAAAUAAAUUGUUUGGCCCAUCCAUCCUUAUAAUUGAGCUUGGACUCGUCCAUAUGUAUCCACGUCACUUUUGUCACUGGAGUCAACCAAUUGCCUCCUUGGUUCCCUCGAAUAUACCGUAUGCAGGUGCUGUUUAUAACAAGCAAAUUCUAUCCUCCCGUACAGUUCAACGGCAAGCUGGGGUUGUGUUUUUGGGCAUGGGAUUUGCUUACAUUUUGAUCCUCCAUGCAGACUGCAAGAUGUCCCUUGGUGAAGCUGCUAAUAUUCAUACUUCGUUAAAAAACUACAAAUUACAUUACAAACAACAUUGUAGUAAUCAAUAUUUAGAAAUAGUGCUUUCUGAAUUUCCAGAUCUCAAUUUUAUUAUAUUCCAUAUUACCUGUAGAAUAAAAAAAAUACCAAAAAAUUCAUUAAAAGCACGUUUUAACCACGAAAACAACUCAUUCUUGAAAGGGUGAUGUUGCUUUUUUACUGCAUGGAGAAUAUAUCUGAAUUAGAGAUUUCAUAGCAAUACUCUGCUUUACAGAUUCCUUGUUUAGCAAGAAUAUCUGCACAGUGAUUAAUCUCCCUUGGUGUACGUACGAGUGAAGGAUACUGGACCCAACAGUCAUUUCGGGUGAAAACGGUGUUGUUUUCAACACACACUAUUCAUUAUCUCUUCAUCCUGAAGACCGGAACAACAGGAUCGAAACACAACCAAAAAAAUCAUGGACCACGCUGCCAAUAUCCGGCCCCACCCACACGAUGACUCUCAAAGUCAGAAGGAACGAACAGACAGAAAGACGAAGAAGAAGAGGCACAGAACAGAAGGCGAGAGAACAGGACGAACAACACAAGAAUACCAGGAGACAAAUACAGAGAAAGAACAGGCGACCCAAGAAAGUGAAAGGCGAGAAGAAGCAGAGGAGAGAGUUUCUUUUCGGCAAGCAACCUCACGCCUUCAUCGCCAUCAUCCUCGACUUGCAGCGACCAGGUAAGUUCUUCAUUUCCCUCUCCUUUACAAUUAUAAUUGCAUAGGUACUGUUCUUAUGCAGUUUUAAUUCAAUCUUGCGACUUCAGCAAUUAUAAUCCAGUGGCUGGGUGUGCACCCGUGCCUUAUCCUUUUAUUUUCACCCUCAAUGUUUUUAAAACUCUUUUUUUACUCUAAAUGAAAAAAAAUAAAAAAAAUAAACUCUAAAUGAAAAAAAUAAUAUAAACUUGAAUUGUAAAAUUAUAAAAGUGCAAUUAAUUUUUUUAAAAUAAUUAUAUAUUGAAAAUUCUAAUCAUGAAAUUAAAUUAUAUAAAAAUUUGAUAAAUUAAGUCAACAAUAUUAUAAUCAAUGAAUGAUUUAAAUAAAAUGAGAGAGACAAAUAGUAUGAAUCAAUAAAUUAAUGAUAUUUUAAAAUAAAAAGUUUCAAAAACAAAACUUUUCAAUACAUGAAUGAUAGGAAGUAUACAUGAAUCUAGUGAUAACUUGGUUGUUUUUCAUCUCAAUAAGUCCUAAUAGACCUCUUUUGGAUUGCAAGCUAAUGAACUUAAAGUAGUUAUUAGCUAAUAAACAAUGUCUAAUGCACUAGAAAAAAAUUCAAAUUCAAAAUUAAAUAAAUAAAUAAAUAAUAAAAAAAGUCUUCACGUUAAAAUUCCUCAAUGUAUUUGCGAAUAUCUAAUUUUUGCAUAUAUCUUGGCAGAUUUGAGUUCUGAUUUCAAACAUGUCGUUCUUUCUCGUGUUGAUGAAUUACUGAGCGUACGAUAUAUGGUUAUAAAGCUUUAGAUGUCUAGUUUCCAACCCAACUUUAAUCGUAGCAAAAUUUCACUAGUAGCUUUAGAUAUAUCUCAAACAAUAUAUAAAGGUCUAGCUUGACAUAUUUGAUAAGAUUCAUCUACUAACUAUGACCCUCUAAAAUAUUAUGUUCUCAAACUCUAUUUGACUUGAAAAUUUACCAUAAUAUAUUUUCAUGUGUCUAAUAUUUUCCUGUAAAAUUUUAGCUCUAUCAAAUAUAUAGUGUGAAAGAUAUGUUCAAUCUCUCAAAUCUGGUCAGUAGACAUUUUAAAACCAAAUUUAGAUCUGACUUGGUUCAUAUCAUAAAUUUAGUAAACUCGUAAAAUCAAACUGAGUUUACCGAGUUUACUAAUUUUACUGUUUUUGCACAAGUUAAAUUUGACUUUGCAAGUUAGAUACAUGUUGACUCAUAUAAUUGUAAGUUACUGGAUUUUAACAACAAUGUUCACCCUUCUUUAUUUUAAUAUCUAGUCAAACAGGUCUUUUUUGAUAUCAUAAAAUUCCAAAAAAAAUUGUGGAUCUUUUUGAAUUUAUUUAUAGGUCCCUUGUAUUUUUUUAAGUAUUUCACUAUAUUAUUAAUAUGUGAAUUUUUACUAUAAAAUGUAAAUCCGUUAUAUGAUAUAUUUAAAAAAUAUAUAUAUUUUUAGAAUUUUUAAAGUUCAUGACAUUGUGGGUGUGAUAAUUAUUAUUAUUAUUGAAAAAGAUGAUGAUUCUAUGAUAUUAAUUACUAAUUAAUAACUAUCCAAUUAGGUAAAUUGAUUAUUCCAUACUAAAUAAAAUUUUAUCUUUGUUUUUCUCAACAAAUAUGUGACCUAUAUAAACCUACGACAAAUAAUAUCAAUUGAUGGUAAGCUUCCACAUCUAAUUAUAUAAUAUAUAGGUUUUGAAGAGAUAGGGUGAAGGCUACAGUAAAUGUUACCGUUGCUAUCAGCGCUGAUAACUAUACGGGACUCUGUUGCUUUACUCAAAGCAUCCUCUUCCCCUUUGUUUCUCCCAUCACUUCCUCUUUUGUGAGAUGCCAAGGAAGUAGGAACAAUGCAUAUACCCUUUCUGCUUAUAAUUAUUAACUAGUCCAAAGUUUGGUAUUUUUCCAUAAAUAUCAUCAGAAAAAAAAAUAAAAAAAUAAAAAACAAAGAAAAAUCAAAAGAAUAUAUUUUUGAUAUAUUUACAUUGUUUUAAUAUUUUCAAUAUCAUCUCAAAAAAAUUUAAAUUUUAAAUGUAUUUUGAAUACGUUUAACUUUUAACACGUAAAUUUUGUGAUCAUUGAUUUUUAUUGUUGAGUCAAUGUUUAUAUUACUUAUUUUUUUAAAUAUAAAAAAUUAAAAUUAAAAGAAAAAUAGAAAAAAAAAAGUUAAGAAACUAAUUUGAAAAUAUAACAAUAUUUUACCUUUAAAUACUAGCCUACAGUAAAGUAAAAAAAAAAAAAAAGGAGAAAAAAUGAAUUCAGGGGAGAAAAAUUCAGAGGCAUGGAGGCGGAGCAAAUUUUGGGGGGAAAGAAAAAACCUAACCUAAAAUUUAUCUACAGGCAAGCCGCCGUCCGACGCCCUUUCAGCUUUUAGUUUUUUUGGUCCCAGAACCAGCAAAAAGCUUGGCUCGCCAUCUUCCCUGAAACCGGAGAGAAACCCCACACAAAUACACUCCUUGGUCUCUGCCAUUUUCGGCACCUUCCCCUUUCCCAUUCCAGCCUUCCCAAAUCAACCAUCCUCUUCACCUGCUCUCGGUGAUCAGCUUCCCUUUAGCCCUCUGUCAAAGCAAGCCACAGUCGGCCUUCCAUCAUCAACUUUUGCCCUUUGGUUUCUUUUUCUUCCAGCAGCGAUGGCCCCCUCCCCGUGCAGCGGCGCCGUGUUCCUCUAGCAGCAGCCCACACACGACAGCGUCCGGGCAACGCUCUCUUCUCCAUGUUCUGCAACCGGCCUCCAGCAACAGCCAAGCCCGGCAGAAUCCACCUUGGUCUAGCACAGCAACCUCCACCCUCACCGCGGAGCCGUCAGCCGUCAUGAAGAGGAAAAACUAAACUCAGAUCUGGAAAAGAAAGGAGACUGGGAACAGAUGAAAGAAAAGGAAAAGAACAGACCCGAAAGAAGCAGAUCUGAAGAAGGAGAAGAAAAAAAACAGAUCCGUGAAGAAGUAAAGAAAAUUAAAAACAACUGCUUGUGUUUUGCUUUCUGCAGGUGACGGUGGGUGUCACCGCCUACAGGAGAAGGAAAAAGGGACGAAGCUGGUACAGACCCCCUGUUACCCGGGUUGUCUUCGCGGCGGCGGCGCCAGUGGCAAGGCGCGUGUGGGUGACGCUCCGCACUGUUCAAAUGCCCAGAAACCUUCCAGCCAUUGCAGAAGGCCUUAGAUUUUUGGGUUUUAUUUUGUAAUUUGUGAAUUGUAUUUGAUUUAUUAUGAGUUUUGUUUUUUUUUUUUUUUUUUUAUAUAUAUGUAAAAGAUGGUGUAUAAGAAAAUCAUAAUAAAAAAGAGUUUGUAUUUUUAUUUAUGUUAUUGAAUUAUAUAUAUAAAAAAAUUAUUUAAUUUGAAUAUGGUUAAAUAUUUUAAGAAUAAAUAAAAUCAUGUUAUAUUUUUUAUGAAAAUAUAAGAAUUUGUUUCUAUAUGUAUUCUGAGAUUUAAUUAUUAAUUUAUUAAAAUUUUAGAAUUUGAUUAAUAUUUUAGAUUUUUAAAUCAUAUCAAACCAAAAAACAGUUUAUUUCUCGUAAAAUAUGUUAGGAGUAUCAAUACAUUUACUAGCCAUAACUAGUCUUAUAUAUAUGAAUUUCUGAUAAUGAUCAUCAUAUUCAGAUUUUUUAUUAACCUCAAUCAAAUACGUAGAGACUCCCAAGAUUCUAAAUCAAACAAAGAAAUGAAAAAUCACUAAUUUAUCGCCGCGCGAGUGAUGUGCAAGAAUAACUAAUUCUAUUUUAUUAAUAUCUUCAAAGUAAGAAAUUCUAAAAUAUAUAUAAUCAUUUUGAUAAAUUUUAACUUAAAAAGAAUAAUAAUUCUUAAAAAAACAUGUUUUUGUAAAAAAAAGAAAAGAAAGAAACACAUUAAUUUUUUUUUUUUUAAAAAGAAACACAUUCUGUUCACUUUUUAUUUCAAAUCAAUACAAUUUUUUUUAAUUUCUAUGUUAGUUUUCUUUAUUUUUUAUCCAAUAAACUUUAUAGCUAUUAGAAAAAAAAUAUUCUUUUCAAAUUAAAAAAAAAUAAUAUGAAAAAAGAAUUUUAACUAAAAAUAUAUUUUUUUUCCAAGAAUUCAAAUAACUAUCUUUAUAUUUAUUAUGAAAAAAUAUUUUUAGUUACCCUUAAUGUAACUUUAUAGCUUACGGUAUAAGCUAGUGCUUGGGAUUAUAAUGCAAACAAGAAACUAAACUGUAAUGUACUAAAAGAGAAUUCAUUUUUAUCUUCAUACAAGUAAAUAAAACAUAAAAAAACAACCAUGUUAUAGGUUAAAUAUUUACACUUGCAUUUAUUUUUUGUUUUUUACAAAAAAACCCAACUGUUUCAGCCUUUAAUUAGCAUGAACAAAUAUUAUUUAUGUGAUUUAUUAAUUCAUUUUUAAAUAAAAAUAAAAAUGUCAUCUUUUCAGUUUCCAAAUUAAAAAUUUCAUGCUAUCAAAACACAUGUCCACAUAUUCAUAGCUUCUUGUUUUUUUUUAUAUUAUUAUUUAUUACAUUACAAUUUAGUUUGUAAUGUUGCCCGUAAUUAACUAGAUGGUAUCUAAUGUCUCGUCUCUUUGUAUCUCAAGAGCAGUCUGGUUUGUCAGGUCUGACUUGUUAUCCAAUGGAGAUUAUCCAAAGAAAAUAAAUAAAUAAAUAAAUCAUAAUGUCAGAGUUUUUGACUACGCACUUGUGAUGCUCAUCGGUUACAAAAUAAAAUAUAAAAAAUUGACAAUUUGAGAAUCAAAUACAGUUUUUUUUCAAAAACAAUAAGAAUGUUUUAAAUAAUACAUAGGAGUUUUAUUUUAUAGAAAAUUUGCAUUGAUUGUUUCACUAGCAUAUCUAAUCUUUUAUAUUUUUGCGAAUAAACCUAAAUACACAAGGAAAAAGAAACUCAAACCAAUGAGAUAGAUAUUGAUGGUGAGCCCCAAAAAAGGCUCUAGAACUGCGAAUGAACCUAAACACUAAAAUCACAAAGAAGAAGAAGCUUAGACCAAUGAGACAAGUGCUGAUAGCAAGCCCCAAUGAAGGUUCUAGAACCGCGUAUGUACCUGUGAUGAAUGCGAUAAUCAUUGUACCCAUGCCAAUCAUGGUAAACAACGUGGCAUACCCAAAUAAUUUUAUAGCGGCUUCCUCACCUAUCUCUUUAUUCUUGACCGUUUCAAAACCAUGAAUCAACGAAAUCAAAAAGUGGAUAAAAAUUGCUAAAAUGGAGAGCAUCAUUGAUAUUGCAUCUGAGAUGACAAAUGCUAUAAAAGCAGCUUUUUUAGCUAGAAGUGCAGUGCCUCGAUCGCUCUUGUAACCGCCAGGUAGGGUGAAUGCUGCUGCAAAUGUUACCGUUGCUAUCAGCGCUAUAACUACUAGAUGAGACUCUCUUGCUUUACUCAAACCAUCCUCUUUUUCUUUGUUUUCCUCAUCAUUUCUUUUCAAAAAAUAGAGACGGCGUCCAAUCGGUCCACUGCCAACAUCUUCAAGGGAUUCUAGAAUCUCUUUAUGGAGAAAUAUAUAUUUUGAGUAAAAUAUGUUAAGUUGUUAAAGAGGUUUUAAACAUAAUUUUAUAUUACUUUAUAUAUUAUUUUUUUAAAUAAAUUUUUUUAAACCUUAUUCAUAUUAUUUUGUAUUUAAAUUUUAUUAAUUAAAAUAAAAAUAGUGAGAUUUGAAUUUAUAAUUAUUUGAUCAAUAAUAUUGUAAUACUAUUUUUAAAACCUUAUUCAUAUUAUUUUGUAUUUAAAUUUUAUUAAUUAAAAUAAAAAUAGUGAGAUUUGAAUUUAUAAUUAUUUGAUCAAUAAUAUUGUAAUACUAUUUUUAAAAAACUAAUUAAAUCUAAAAAUUUAAACAAAUAAUCCAUCAUUUUUAGCUAUUUAACAUAUAUCAUAUAUCAAAUUCCGAGCUUUUGUUUCCACAACUAGUUUGUUUGCAAUCAAAUCCUUCUUGUUACUGUAUAUAUUAGCAAGUAACAAAACCUAAUUUGGUUGAAAUUAAACCGCAUGCUUUACAUUAGCCCAACUAUCCCCGAAAAGAAAGCUAAGACGUGGACUUAAUUUUAUAUACCAUUAAUUAUACAUCAUUUCAUUCUAAAAUUAAUUUUCUAUGAGGAGUAAUCCAAUAUAUUAUUGUUUAUUGUUACUCCCCUUAAUUGCUUUUAAGAUUAUGUUAGGUUUCUAUUAGAUUUUCACUUUAAUUCUCAGAUUUUUAAAAUUUUAAUUAAUUGCAUUUUUUUUCAAUCAUUUGUACUACUUUUGUUUUUUUAUUGAAUAAUAUAUGUUUUUAUAAAGCAGUUACAUGCGAUUUAUAUGCACAAUCUGUUAUUGUAGAUAAAAAACUUUGACAAAAUCAAUAAAAUGACUUCAUUUCAAAUAAAAAAAGAUUAUUAAGUUAUUCAGAUUACUUUAUUUUAAUAUUUAGUACUGCGAUAUAAUAGAGUGAAACUGAACAGCAUAGUGAAGGGCUUUCCAACCUCUGUUAUCAACUAGCUCACAACAAGCUGGCCAUCGAGAAACAAUCUUUUUCAUUGCCUUCACAUGUCCUUGAAGGGCUGCAAUGUGAAGAGCUGUUCUCUUCUUCUCCUCUGUCACAGCAAUGUAGGCCGCGGACGCAUCAUAAUAUUCUAGUAAUACUUUCACUAUACGAGCAGAACAGUCAUAAUAAGCAGCGUAGUGAAGUGGUGACCAGCCGUUCUCAUCGGUUGUUUUCGUCAAUUUUUGUUCUUUUUCUAACAAUUUUUUUGUUGUCACUGAAACCAACAAAACAAGGAAUAAAAGUUAUCCUUCAUGAACAACAGAGAUUUCACUUAUGCCCCGUUUAAUAAUUUCAUUUAGAAAACUGGUUUCUUGAUAAAUAAUUUUCUAGAAAAUAAAUUAUUUUUUAAUAUUUAGUAGUAUCAUUAAAAAUAAAUUGAAAAAUACUUUCCAGUAUUUCACUAUAUUAUAAAAAAUAAAUUGAAAAACAAUUAUUAAUAUAUUUUUUUCAUGUUUAGUAAAAUAACGAGAAGCAAAUCUUAUAAAUUUUAAAGUUGAAUGAGAAUAAAAUUAAAAAAAAUAUAUAAUUUUAUAAAUUAUUUCAAAUAAAAUAAAUAAAUAAAAAAUAAGGAUGAAAUCUUAUAGAUAAAAAAAUUCAAUUAUUGAUAAGAAAAAAAAUAAAUAACAAUGAUAAAAAUAAAUAUCAAAGUUGAUACAAAAAUCAAGUUAUAAUAGAUGGAAUUUAAAAAAAAUUCAAAAUAAAAUAUAUAGUAAUUAAAAGUUUAAAGAUCAAAUUUGAUAUAAUCAGUAAAUAACAUGAUAUUUUUAAUUUUUAAAAUCAAUACAUCAAAAUUAUUAAAAAACACUAAUAAAAAUAUAAAUUUGAUUUCAAAGAAAAAAAAACCCUUUUAAAAAUAACAGUGAUGGACACCUUUCUAGAAUUAUAUCAACAAAAUCAGUGAAUUCUCGUUUGAUCAUUCUCGAAGGGACCGAUAUUGCCUUCUUCCGCAGCUUUGAACAAGAAAGGAUCCAUACUAUUUUGUAGCUUAGAAAAACUCACUAAAUGAAAUGUAAACAAAUGAAGGUUCCGCUCCUCAACUGAUCACAAGCUGCUGAUUUCUGUGGUUUGUUGCCUCCCUGGAUAAGGGGGUAUUUGAGAGAGCUUUAAAUCUUGUUAUAUAUAUAUAUAUAUAUAUAUUAUUUUUUUUUGAAAAUAUAUUAAAAAAAAAAAUUAUUUUAAAAAAUUAUUUUUAAAAUCAUCACAAUAAAAUUAUUUAAAAAUAUCUAAAAAAAUUAUUUUAAAAAAAUUAAACGUGAUUGUCUGUGCUGUAAUUCUUCUUGCUUUUUACCGUUAUAACCUAAACAGACGAAAAUGACCUCCUUCUCCCUUCUCCGCAAUUGAGAGACGGAAAAAAAUUAUAUAAAACCAAAAAGGAAUCUCUUUUCUAUGGUUAGAGAAUAUAAUUUAAUUUCAAACUAAAAAAAAUAAAAUUUUAAAAAAACAUGUUUCACGCAUCUGACUUGAAGAUAAGGAGAUUGUGGUCCAGCUCUAACCAUAAGAAAAACGAGUGGACAGAAAUGAUGCAAGUGUAGUAGAGAGAUCGACCUCGAGGAAGAGAAGCUAGGACAAUCAUAAUGAGUUAUGUUCAAGACCUAAAGGGACUGUUUUGUGCGGAAAAGGAAAAUUAAAGGAACGGUUGGUGUGCAUCAAUGUCAUAAAUAGGGUUUGUCUUGUCAGGAAGACUUUGAAAGUUGCAUUAAUACAGCAAAUGCAGGGGGAGGUGAAAACAUUCAAAAUAUGCUACAUUGUAGUAGUAAUUAUUUUUUAAAUAAUUUUUAUAUUAAAAUAAAUAUUAAUAAUAUUUUUUUAUUUUUUAAAAAUCAUUUUUAAUAUUAACACAUUAAAACGAUCCCAAACAUAUAAACUAUAUUAAAUUUUAAUAAAAAACAAAAAUUUAAAUUUAAGAUAGCAAGUGUAGAGAGUUGUGACUGAAUCCCUUCUUCUUCUUCUUUUAAUUGACAAAGUGGCUAAAUUACCAUAGCUUUAAUUCAAAAACAUAUCAUUCAUUGAAAACAUAUCAUUGAAAAUAUAUAUAUACUCUCCUACAACUUGCAAGAUAUUUUAUUGGUAUGCUCGAAUAUGGUAUCACAAUAUUGAUCUUUAUAAUCUGUAUAUUAAGCUAACUUUUUAUUUUAGCACUAGUAUACCAAGUAAAAAUAACACGAUUAAGCUCUUCAUCAUUAUACAACAACAGAAUGAAAUCACAAAGCAUAUAUUUAAAGAUUCAAUAAAUAAAUUGUAAACAUGAAGAAUCUAUGUAAACUUAUUGCCAUUGAGGCUCUAAUAAGUGGAUUCUAUAAAUAUUCAUUAUGGGAAUGCUUUUGUAAUUUUCAUGACAAAACUUUUGUCAAUAUAAAUUAUGUAAUAAAAAAUGAUAUUUGGGUGGAGAAAUCAAGUGUGACUAGAUAAAAAUAUCUUUAUUUCUAGAGAGCAAAAUCUCCACAAUAUCACUAAUCUUCUACUAGGACAUAAAAAAAAGUUACAAGGGAUCCAUUUAUGAUUUCUUAACAUUUUCAAAGCUUUUAGCCGCACCAUUCACCACUAUGCAUACAUAGGUGUUUGAUUCCAUCUAGGAAAAAGAUUUUGUACGAUAUCUAUCUUUUAUGAAGAGUGGUAUUAUUAACGUAAAAAACAUUAAUAAGUUCUGUUAUUUUCACAUCUCCAUGACUAUAAUCAUGACAUUGAAAAAUAUCAUGCCUUGAAAAGAGAGAUAAAAAGGUUGAUAUUCAAGGGAUAUCUCUAAUAAUUUAUGAAGAAUGAGAUGCAAUUUAAACAAAUAAAAAAAAAUCUCCAUAACACAUUACGAAUUUAUAAGAAAAUAUUGCCACCAAUAUCUCCACUAAUAGCAAGCAAGGCACAUUAUCUAAUGACUUAAUUUUCUAUGAAAAUAUAUUUUUUCUCUCCAUAAAAUAAGUUCAGAGACUACACCAGUCUCCAUAUAUAUAUAUAUUUAAGAAAGCCAAAGCUACUCUUAGCCAUUGAAAGCUUUAGCCUUGCAAGAUAUCAGUUUUAAGCCACACAAAGCUAGAGCCAAGUUCUACAGGAGACAAGUACUGGAAAUACAACUAAAAUAGUCUCUUCUAUUCUACACACAAAAACUCUGCACACUCUGCACUCUUAUACUUGCUAAUUUUAGUAUCAAAGAGUUUUCUAUUUAAACAAGGGUUUUAUUUUGUAAAAAAGCUCAUGAACCUGCCAAGCCCGACCACACCAUCAACCCAGGACGACCAUGAAAAACUCAAUUUUUAUCUAAAUGUUUUUCACAAUUUCAUUACCUAUGCUGUUAGUGUUAAGCCAAUGGUAUGGAAGCCAUAUGCCUAUAAUCUUUCUAAAAGUAUUCGUUUUAGACGAGUAUUCUCGCACUUUGAAUGCAAGGACAUUUACCGGUAGCUAGUAGGGGGCUAACUUGCUAAUACCAAUAUCACCACUAAAAGAAAGAGGGCUCUCUUCCACCUUUCCUUUCUUUCACAUCUUGAUUCGGACUUUAUAGUGGUCCCUAGGCCGGCCAUUUCUCCUUGACCUCGCUGUCCAUGGCCGCCACUUCUUCUAUCGUACCAUUUCUUUUUAGCGGUCUUGUCUUAGAGAAAAAAUGUCAUGGCCAUGCACAGGAUAUAUCAUUCAAGUUUUGUCCUCGAUAUGUGAUUCACUCGAGUAUAUAUUUAUCUGCCUUCUUUUUCUAUAUCGUAAAAAGGAAACCUUUCACUAAAAGAGCUUUAAGUUAUGAUAGUUUGGUUUUUUUUUUUAACAAAAACCAGCAAAACUUGUUUUGUUUUUUUUUUAGUUUUUAUGGGAUUUUACUGACUUUUCCUAGGUUUUUUUUUAACCUUUAAUUUUUUCUAGCUAUAUUUAAAAAAAAAUAAAAAUGAGUCUUGAAUGCUACAUGGUAUAUGGUCCCAGAAUGAGACCGUGCAAAGAUUUCUUGGUCCCAUAAAUAUUUCUGAUCGGUUAACUUUACUAGUGAUUUAGCAUUUGAUUGGCUGGCUGCUUUUGAAUUUUCUUCCCUGCCUUUAGCUAAUAAUUUCUGGAACUGAUUUGACUUUUUAUCUUGUAUCGUACGUAGCCUUUGUCAGCGUGUUCACACGGUGGAAAGUAUGAAUGCACUUGGACAAAAAUAAGAGCGAAAGACGAAGAACAGAACUCUGGUCCUUUUCUUUUUCCUAUCACUGGUCUCGGUGCUGUCCCGUCCGUCCCCUCUGCUAUUUUGUCCACAAAGCCCAAGUUCAACUUGUUUCGCAUUGCUCAAGACCUCAUCAUCCGCGGAAAAUGAGGAAUUUACUAAAUUUUUUUUAGUUUUUUUUUUUUUUUUAGUUUUUAUGAUUAGGUUUUUGGUUAAAAAAAUAUAUAUAUAUUUUUUAAAAAAAUAUCACUGAACUGUUUGGUUUUUUUUUAAUAAAAACUGGUAAAACCUGUUUUUUUUUUUUUUAGUUUUUAUGGGAAUUUACUAAAUUUUCAUAGGUUUUUUUUCAAACUUUUUUUUUAAAAAAGUUUUAUGGGUAUUCUUAAAAUUUUUAUAUAUCUAGCUAUUUUUAGCCCAGGUUAAUUAACAAUGCAUGCCAGGAGAAAAGUAUAAAAAUAUAUUUUAAAAAAUAAAAAUAUAUAUUUCAUAAAAAAACAUGCAAUUCUUGCUGUCCCGUCCCCUCUGCAGGUUUGUCUAUACUCUAUAGAGCCCAAGUUUAAUUCUGAUGCAAUACUAGGUUUUAUGGGUAUUCUUAAAUAUUAAAUACCUAUUUCAACUUAAAAAUUUAAAUUUAUUUUUAUACUUUGUUUUAUAUGUUUUGAACAUAUAAAAAUUUAAAUUAUUGGUGAAACUUCUAGAAUCAUUUUCAAAUAUAUGUUUUUAAAAAAUUAAUUUUCAAAUUUCUUUAAGCGUUUCAAACAUUUUUUGUAAAUAAGCUUCCAAAUUAUUUCAUUCUGUCAUUGAAUCUUUGUAAAGGAAUGUUAAUAGGUAUUCACGGGUUUUGAUAUUAUCUAUACUUGCAUUCAAACCCAAAACAUUAUUGAUAUGUAACUCAAAACUUAACAAGUUUAAAUUUUAAAUACCAAAAUUUAAUUCAAUUAAUCCGGUUUUAAUUAUUGAUUCAGAUACUUAUAUAUUACCUAACUUAUACAGUUAUGUUUGUGGAAAUUAAAGAUUUUGAUUAUCUACAUAGCAAUUUGUCACAAAUAGAUUAUUUGAAUAGCUUAAUAUAUGCUUUUAUAAACUAGUAUUGAGAUAGGAUAAAGUUUAAAAUAAUAUAUGGUCAUGCUAUAUUAAAGUAGUGACUUUAAAUGAAGAUAACAAGAGAUUUGACUUUUGGUUAAGAUCAAAGUUUUACAAGAAAUUCAAAAAGUUGUUUUUUUUUUGUAUCUUUUAUUGGACUACUAGGUCUUUCAAAAUUAAGUCUAAGAGUUGCUAUUUAGGCUAAUUUUAUUGUUUUUUAUUUAUUAUUUAAUUUUAGAUUUUAUAUUAAUUUUUUUAUGCUUUUGAAUUCUAAAUUCUUUAUAUAUAUAUAGGGUUUUCUAAUUUAUUUAAACAUCUUAUAAACAUUUUAAGAAGAUAUUUAAUAUAUAUUUAUUUUUGAGAGAAUAAAACCAUGAAUUUAGAAUUCAAAUAUAAAAUUCAUUUUCUUAUCAAAUUCUUGAAGUGGUGGGGGUAAUGGCUGCCUCAUAUUAUGCCAGCAUAAGUGGAUCAGAAAUGGAUUCAGAUGAGUGUUUUGAAUACGGUUAAAUAUUUACACUUGCAUUUAUUUUUUAUUUUUUACAAAAAAAAAAAAACUCAACUGUUUUAGCCUUUAAUUAGAUUAAUCAUUCUUUAUGUGAUUUAUUAAUUCAAAUAUUUUAAUUUGUUUUUUAAUAUAAACAUCAUCAUUUUAAUUUUCAUUUUAAAACUUUUAUAUUAUCACAUUGGAAUGUCCACAGAUUCAUAGCUUCUUGGUUUUUUUUUUCUUAUCUUGAACUACUCCCCCAUCUUUAUAUCUCAAGAGCAGUCUGGUUUGUCAGGUCGAUAAGAUUCUUCGAACCAUUCAUGCACUUCAUGGAACAAUCUAACUAGCGGGCACAAAACAAUUAAUGAAGAAUGUUUUUGGGGACGAGCUCUGCAUCUUGUUUUUUUUUUUUUUUUUUUAAAUAAUUAUUUAAUUUAUUUUAAUAUUUUUAGAUUGUUUUGAUAUAUUAAUAUCAAAAAUAAAUAAAUAAAAAAUUUAUUUUAAUAUAUUUUUAAAUUAAUCACUGUAAUCUCAACCACAUCAUGAGAAUGAAACUUAGCAUAUCUCACUUUUCAUAGUAGUUUUCUUACAAUAUUUUAAGAUGGUGAUAAAGUGUUUUUUAAAAUAUUUUUUUAUUUAAAAAUAUAUUAUGAUAAUUUUUUUUUUAUUUUUAAUAUUAAUAUAUUAAAAUAAUUUAAAAUUAUAAAAAAAUAAUUUAAUUUGUUUUAAAAAAUUCUAAAAUAAUUUUUAAACACAAAAACAAAUACUUUACAAGUACAAACUUGAUUAAUAAACAAACCAUCAAAGCAAAUUGUCCUUGGAAAAUAAAUUUGUCUGUCCAACUACCCUACUACUAGUAGUGUCACUAAAUUUUAGUCAUGAGUAAGAAAAUAAAUAAAUAAAUAAACACAAAAUAGUGUCAGUGUUUUUUACUACUUUACUUGUGAUGCGCAUCAAUUACAAAAUAAAAUAUAAAAAAUUAACAAUUGAUUUGGCAAAGCAAACACAUGAUUUAGAAUUGAUUGUUUCACUAGUAAAUCAAAUAUCAUAAAUCCUUGUAAAUGAACCUAAGACUAAAUACACAAGGAAGAAGAAAAUCAAACCAAUGAGACAAUUAGUGCUUAUAACAAGCGCUCCCAUGAAGGUUUUAGAAAUGCGUAUGUGCUUAUGAUGAAUGCGAUAAUCAUUAUCUCCAUGCCAAUCAUGGUCAACAAUGUUGCAACCGCAAGUAAUCUUAGAGUGGUUUUCAAAUUCAUUUCUUCACCCUUAUUCAUUUUCAAAUCUUGAAUCAACGCCGUCAAAAAAUAGAUAAUUAGAGAUAGCAGAAAUAGAAAGCAUUAUUGACAUUGCAUAUAAUAUGACAAAAACUAUAAAAAUAGCUUUUUUUAGCUAGAAUUGUAGUGCCUCCGUCACUCGGUGAAUGGUGCUACAAAUAUUACUGUUGCUAUCAACACCACAACUACUAGAUGAGACUCUCUUACUUUAGUUAAAACAUCCUUUUUCUCUUUGUUUUCCUCCUUCUCUCUUCUCAAAACAAAGCGCCUGCGGCCAAAUGGUCCCAUGCCAACAUCAUCAAGGCAUUCUAGGAUCUCUUUCUGCAAAAUAUUUAGGAUAAAAUAUUGUAGAUAUCCAUUAUCUUUUGCUAUUUAAUUCUCAGAUUAUUUAAAUUUUAAUUAAUUGUAUUUUUUUCAUUCAUUUGUACUGCUUUUUGUUUUUUUAUUGAAUAAUAUGUUUUUAUGAAGUAGUUACAUGCGAUUGAUAUGCAAAUCUGUUAUCUUAGAUGAAAAACUUAACAUAAUCAAUAAAAUGACUUGAUUUCAAAUAAAAGAGAUUAUUAAGUUAUUUAAAUGAAUUCAUUUUUAUGUUUGAUAUUGCAGUACGAAUAGUUUUUAAAAGGAAAAUCUUUUUUGAAAAUUAAAUCAAUUUUUUUUUUAUUAGAAAGUAUUUUUUAUUGACCAAUUUUUUUAAUAGCAAACAAACACAGUAAAGUUUGAAAAGUGAUUUUCAAAAAAAUAAUUAAAAUAAUAUAUAACAUGUUAAAAUAAUUUAAAAACAUUAAAUAUAAUUUAAUUUCAAACUUUAAAAAAAUUUAAGAUUUAAAAAAACAUGCUUCACACAUCUAAGACUUGAAGAUAAGAAGAUUAUGGUCCAGCUCUAACCAUAAGAAAAACGAGUGAAGACAGAAAAGAUGCAAGUGGAGCAGAGAAAUUUAAAUUGUUUGUGAAACUUUUAGAAUCAUUUUUAUUCUAAUCUCUCACAGAACUCAGACAGCUUCCUCUGCUUUAUUUAUUUAUUUAUUCAUAUUGAUGAAUUGGUAUAAAUAGGCUUACAAGCCUAGCUAGUAAAUGGAACUAGCCAAAAUAGUUACUUCUAUCAACAACCAUUUUCAACAAACAAACAGUCAUACAAGAUGAAUUCCUCUGAUCAACAAAUGAAUAGCAUCACUUACAUGGGACCAGAAUUGUACAAAGCUGCAGCAAAAGGCCAGAUCAACCCAUUUCAGGAGCGUCUUCCAACUCCUCUCAGUGAGCUAUUGACUCCACAAAAAAACACAAUUCUUCAUGUUUACCAGUGGAUGGAAAUGCACUGAUUUUGUUGGCCAAAUUAUUGAUAUGUGCCCGCAACUGCUAUUGCAAGCCAAUACUAAAGGCGAAACCCCACUACAUUUUGCGGCAAGAUAUGGUCAUUCCAAAGUGGUAAAGGUCCUUAUUGACCGCGCAAAAGCUCGACCUACUGAUCCAGAGAGCGGAGUAACAGAAGCAAAAAAGAUGUUGAGGAUAACCACUGAAGAGCAAGAUACAGCGUUGCACGAGGCAGCUCGAAAUAUCCAAGCCCAAGUGGUGAAAAUAUUGACAAAAGAGGACCGUGAGUUUUCAUAUUCCGCCAAUGUUCAUGGAGAAUCUCCACUUUAUAUUGCUGCCAAUAUGAGGUUUGUGAACAUUUUUUUUUAGUCUCAAACAGAGUCCACCAUCUUUUUUUCUUUCUUUUUUUAAUAUAUACUAGAUUAAUCAAUUUUUUACUAAUCUAUUUAUCAAUCUAGAAUACUAUCGUUUUAAGAUUAUAUAAAUGUUAUUGUUGCAUGAUUAAUUUUAAUUUGUUCAGCUUUAUAAUGUUUAAGUAAAUCUGUUUUUAAAAUUAUCAUAAAAGAUAUUAGAAAAGCAAUGCUUCUAUAGUAAUAGGAUUUUACCUGCUUAUUUUUUUUAUUGGAAUUAAAAUGUUAAUAAAAAUCACAUAUAUCUAAUUAUAAUUAUAUUGCUGCCAAUGUAAGGUUUAAUAAUUGGAGGUUUAAAAGACAUGAAGAAAAUAGAAAAAAAGUGAUCGACGAAAUCUUGAGUAAUUGCAAGUUAGUGGAAUAUUGUGGUUCUCAUGGCAGAACGGCACUCCACGCGGCAGCCAUGCAUGGUGAUCAUGGUAAGAUUUUAUUCUGAACUGUAAAGCUUUGAAUUCAUAAAUUAUUAUCGGAAACCAUAACCGUGAGAAGUGUGUUCUUAUCUUAAAUUGGGUUAAAGGAAGAACACUACUAAUGACCUCUCUUGACACGAUUGUUUGAUUUUAAUUUAGCAAUUCUAAAGCGGAUGGUUUAACUAAGCAAAAUUCAGAUAGACAAUGAUAAGAUGACACAACACCAUACAUAACACCGUCUAAUUACACUUCGUCAUAGGAUUAAUAGAAUGUUCCUCUGUUUGCCAUUUUAUUGUACUUUGUAUUUAUAAUCUAAUAGCAAAUUUAAAGUGUUUCUAUUUUUUUACUCAAUACAAACAAAUCCUGAUGUAACUUAUAAUUUUUAAGUAGUCCCUACAUAAUUUACGGUGUACAAAAAAAAACUAAAUUCUUUUUCAAUUCAAGAAAAGCCCUUAUCUGUUCAGUACACAAUAUAUUGUAUUUUUUAUAUUUUAGUUUCUUUUUAUUUAAAGCCAUUUAUUUUCAUUUUCUUAAAAAAUCUUAUUUUAACCUUUAGGAUAUUGUUCUUUUCAUUUAUUUUCCAUUUGUCAAAUUCUUCGUUUACUCUAUCACAUUUAUUUGAUAUAGAAGUUAGUAAAGGAAAAAAAAAACAAAAAUUUUCAUUGUAUGUUUGUUAAAUUAAAGGUUAAAUUGUAUUUAUUACUUAUAUAAUUCAUUGAAAGAUACAAGGGAAAGAAAAUACAUAAUAAGAAGACAAUGAAUUUCCUAGUCUAUUUAAUUAAGGAUUUACAUGCAUGAUUAUAAGAUUUUAGGACCAAAAUGUUCUUAUUCACGUUUGCAUGUAAGGAAUCUAUAUGACAAGUAUGUGUGGGAGUAUCAUUUCCCUUGCAUAAAUAAAAAUAAAAAAACACAAAUGAAUUAUUAAAUUAGUAAGACUAUUAAUUGGAUUCUACGUUAAAAUGAUAAUUUAAAGGCUCAUAAUAAUAUUGAACUUUAUUCUUGUUGUUUAUAGUUUUUCUUAAAAACUUUGGUCAUCUAGUUAAAUGAAGUUGGAGUUGUUGACAUUUCCAUAUUACAGUUAAAGAACGUAGAAAGUAAGAAAGGGCAUUUAUAGCGGUCACCAAGUGAUGUCGUUUGUCUUAUAUGUCCACUUUUUAAAUUUUUCUUUCUUUCCAUUAAAUUGAGUAGUUUGUAGUGAUGUAUGUUGAAUCCUUUCUAAUUUACCAACACUAAGUUGCCAAUUUUGAGUUGACAGACACAAAGGUGGAUGGUACACUUUUUUUAUGAAUAAAAGGUGGCUUAUUGAAGAAUAAUUAGUAAAAUAUAAAUUUAUUAUCUACUUGAUAAAGGGGUAUUGGGACUUUUUAGCAUGACUGAUGUACUUUUACGUUAAGAUGAUGGUUUUAGGUAUGCUAUAGAUUAUCAACUAGUUUUAUUUUUCCCGUGUGUCAAAUAUUUGGAUAAAAAGAGAGAAGAUAUGCGACUUUUUGUUCAUAGCACUGAUAAUGCGAUUGCUUUAAAUAUGUGCAUAAGGUAGAAAACAUCAAAAUAUUUGAGAGUGUGGUUAAGUUGUUUUUAAAAUAUUUUUUAUUUAGAAAUAUAUUAAAAUAAUAUUUUUUAAAAAAUUAUUUUUGAUAUCAGCAUAUUAAAAUAAUUUAAAAAUACCAAAAAAAUAAUUAAUUUAAAAUAAAAAAAUUAAAAUAUUUUUAAAAUACAAAAACAACAGCUAAACUUCAGUGCUAUAUUGUUUUCUGAAUUUCAAAGUAAUCAGAAGAUUGGUCAUCCUCGUACACUUUUGAAUAUGUCAAUUAUCAAUAAAAUAUUUCUAAGAAGUUAGUUGCACAUUUGAAAAGGUGCAGAGGAUUCUGAUGCGAAUUCACUUGUUCAUACAUCGAUUCGAUAUAUGGUUUUGCGAUAGAAAUAUAAUAUAGAAUCUAGAACUUGAUCUUCUUCCGCAGUACUGUCCAAACAUCAUCAAUAAAGAGUGAUUUGGUAGUGGAGAGUGGGACUGAUUCCUGGCAUUUUUUAUCUGAGUCCAUGAAGCGCAAAGGCACUCACACAUCUUUUCAUGGCGGUGCUCUCCAGUAGCUAGAGACAAAUUAACAUUUAAAUAACUCAGGGUAAGUACACGAGGAUUGUUAGGGAAAAUUAUUUAUUUUUUAGUUAUUUUAUUUAAUUUAGAAAAGUAUUUUUUGUUUAUGGUGUUUAUUUUUUUAUUUAGUUUAGAAAAUAAAAAAAUAGAUAACAAUAACUACUCUCAAUCAAAUUUACAAUUAACAACAAAUAUCUUUAUAUUUUAUAAGAAUAACAAAAUAAUUAUUACGGUGAAUAAAAAAAUAUAAGAAGGGUUACAGUGAGUCCUCCUUAUGUUCAUUUUUAAUGCCGUAAAAGAUAAUAAAUGUUUCCUAAUUAAUUAGAUGGCCUUGUCUCGAGAGUCACUUUUUCCUCGCGUUCAUAGCAUGGACUUCGGAGUCAUUUUCAAGCGAUUUAUUAAAGAAAUCUUUAACAAGUCCCGUAUAUUAAGGCUCUGCAUUGAUUUUUACUGGGGUAUUUUGGCAUGUUUUUUUUGGGGUUAUAAAUAUAUAAUUUAAAAUAUUAAUUUAAUAAAUAUAAUUUCAAUUCAAAUUUAAAAAUAAAUUAACUUAAAAUUAUAUAAUUCAAAAUUUAAAUACAAGUAAAAAGAUGAGAGUUGACAUGAUAUAACUCAUCAAAAUAUAAUAUGAACAACUAAUAAAAAUAUAAUUUUACUCAAAAUAAAUUUUAAAUGUUUAACGACAUGUGGAAUUCAAAUUCAAGCUUUCACACUCGCUUGCCUCUUGAAUUCUUAUAGUAUUCUUUCCUCUUCCUGCCUAAAAUAUGAACAACAGAAAGCUGUUCACACUGGCGAUGGUUUCUGUAUUCCUUUUUUUUUAAUCUGUCAAGAGAGGACCACCUGACAAUUAGCACAAAUAAACAAUUAUAAUGAUCUGUGUGAGGGCCAAUCCUCUUGUUGCUUUCCUUGAAAACCUCCAAGAACUACCAGUCAACUUUCAUGGUAUUUGCUGAGCCAAUCCACUUGCUGGCUUCCUUGAAAACCUCUCAGAUAUACCAGUCAACUCGAUGGUUAAUUUAAGCUCAUGGUGUUUCUACUUUUAAGCUCUCUUUCUCUCUCUCGUCUUUUUAUUGACUGGUAAUAACCAAGAGUUUGAUUAAAUAAACCUUCCAUAAAUUUGACAGCACAUGUUCUUGCCUCGACAAAAUAUACAUCCUUAAAUUAGUUCUGUACGUCAAUUAAAUAAGUUUUUUUAAUCAUUUUAAAAAUAUAUUCUUGUAUUAGAUGGAUUUAAUGAAAGAAAAAUUACAUUCAGCAUGGUAUAGUUUUGUUGUUUCUUCACUUUACAUUCAUGGUUUGAAAAAUUAUUUCUGGGGUUAUAUAUAUAUAUAUAAUUCAAAAUAUUAAUUUAACCAAUAUAAUUUUAAUUCAAAUCCAAAAAUAAAUUAACUUGAAAUUAUACAAUUUAAAUUUCAAAUAUAAGUAAAAAUGUGAGAGUUAACAUGAUGUGACUUGAUUUAUUUGACAAGUCCAAAAACAACAUGAACAACUAGUAAAAAUAUAGUUUGACUCAAAAUAAAUUCAAGGCAUCUAUUUUUAAAAAUAAUAUUGAGACGAUAACAUAUUAGAUCAACUCAGGUCAUUAAACCAUAAAACGAUCUAAGUCUACUCGGGUUAACUUGUAAAAUUAACCUCGGUCAUUAGACUGAAAUAAGUUCAUAGAAAAUAAACCAAAAUAAAUGACAAAGUCUAAUUCAUAAUCAAUCAAAUAUUAAAAAUAUUUAAUGAUGAAAUUGAAAAAAAAAAGAUCAAUUAAAAAAAAAAAAUAAACUCAAGUCAAUCAGAUUAACCCGCCAAACCCAUGAUAGAAGUAAUGAGACUGAGAUAACCAAACAAAACAUGAAGAAAACCAUGAUAAAUUAUAAAGACUAAUCUUCAAUAAAUCAAGUGUUAAAUGAUAAAAUUAGAGAAAAACACAUGGAUUUUUUUAAGAAAAAAACAACAAAAAAAAAUUAUUUAGCUAGAAUGGAACUAGAACAUUUUAGUUGGAAUUUCCAAAACAAGCUGAGAUUCUGAGCAAAAUUAAAUUUGUUCAAGUUUGUUUUAUUUUUUAAAUUAAAAUAAAAUAUAUUUCAGUCAUUUUAAAUAAACAUAGUGAAAUUCACAACCUUAAUUUGGAGUUACUUUUUUUCUUGCAAUCUAGUCAUUUAAACAAGAUGAGAAUUUUUUUAAUUUUGUACUAUAAAAUGAAGGCAUUUUUAAUUACUUAAAUUAUAGUAAAGGUAUCUUAAUUAUCCUUCUCAUAAAACAGCAUGCAAUUCAAUCAUUUUCAAGCAAGUUGAGAAUUAUUUAAUUUUGUCCGAUAAAGUGGUGGCUAAUUGGCUCGGAAUUUUUCCACCCUUUUGGCGUUGUCCUAUCGCUGUAUAAAAUAUAUAAAAGCCCCGUAUAUAAUAAACGUGGAGUCAUUUUUAAUGUCUUAAAUUAUAAUAAACGUCCGGGUUGUCUAAGGACCUGGGAGUGCUUUUUAAAAAAAAUUUAAAAAAAAUUUAAAAUUUUUUUAUAUAUUUUUUUACUUUAAAUUAAUAUAUUUUUGAUGUUUUCAAAUUAUUUUGAUGUGCUGAUCUCAAAAAUAAUUUUUUUAAAAAUAAAAAAAUAUUAUUGACAUGCUUUUCUAAGUAAAAAACACUUUGAAAAUCAACAACAACCACACUCUCAAACACCCUCUUAAUUUAGUUGGCGUGACCCUGUCUAAUCAUUUUAUAUUCUCAUGUAUAGCAUAAGUUUUAAUAGCCGUGUUUUUUAAAAAAAUUUUUUAAAUUAUUUUAAUUUAUCGAUAUUAAAAAUAUUUUUUAAAAAAUAAAAAAAUAUUAUUUUAAUAUAUUUCAAACAAAAAAAUACUUUAAACUAUAAUUACUAUUACAUUCACAAACACAUGAGUUAUUCAAGAAUCCUUUAAUAUUUUCUAUUUAAAUAAUUUAAAAUUAUUUUAAUAUAAUGAUAUUAAAAAUAAUUUUUAAAAAUAAAAAAAAUAUUUUAAUGUAUUUCAAAUAAAAAAAAUAGUUUAAACCAUAAUCACUAUUACAUUUAUAAACACAUGAGUUAUUUAAAAAUCCUGUAAAAUGUCCUAUUUAUUUAUAAAGGAAUCUGGAUUGUUUUUUUUUUUUUUGGUUCAAUGUGGAGUCAUUUUUAAUCUAUAAAAUUAUAUAGUAAAUGUAUCUUUCAUAGCUGUUGAGGAAUCUGUCUGGAGUCAUGUUUUUCGUCUCAUAAAACAGCGUGCAAUUUUGUCAUUUUCGUGCAAUUUGAGAAUUCUUUAAUUUGGUCCUAUAAAGUGGUUGCUAAAUGGCUCGUAGUUUUCUCAACGUGUUACCGUUGUCUUAUUUUAACGACAUCUUACCUGGCUUUACAUCAUCUUGUCUAUAAUCUCAUGAGCAGAAAGCUGUCCUCCUCAUCCAAUAUUAAUGAUCUUAAAAUAAAAUUUAUGAAUUAAGUAUGCCAUUUUUAUUUUAAGAUUAAGAAUUCUUUAAGAAUUUGGAGUCAUUUUCAAGCAAGUUAAGAAUUCUUUAAUUAAGAAUUCCUAUUUAUAAAGGAAUCUGCAUUAAUUUUUUGGAGUCAUUUUUAAUUAGCUGGCGAGGAAUCUGUCUGGAUUCGUUAUUUAUUCUAAUAAAAUAGCAUGCAAUUUAACCUUUCUCAACCAAGUUGCAAAUUGGCUCUGAAUUUUCUAAACUUUUUGGCGCUGUCCAUCCUUUACAUUAUAAACUACCUAUAGAAUAUAAACCCGCUAUUUGACUCGGGGUUUUAUCACGGAUUAAAUAUAUUUUCUAUAAAAAAAUUAUUUAUACUAAUUUUUUGACGUGUUUUUAUAAAUUAAAAAUUAUAUAUAUUAAGAAGUUUAUACAUACAUGUAAUUAAAUAAAUUAAAAAUUAUAUAUGUUAAUAAAUGGGAAAAAUAUCAUUAACAAUAAAUAAAAAUAAAAUUAAAAAAAUCAAGAAACAAGAAUAAAUCAAUACAUUUAAACUUGUAAAACAAGAUAUUUACCUGAUUGCACUUGCUAAAUUUGAUUAUUAAAAUUAAUUCUUUAUUCAAUCAAAUGAUAAUAAAAAUAGACACACAUAUUAAAUUGAUUGAAUAAAAAAAAUAAAAUAUUAUGCAAUGUUGAUCGCAAGAUGAAAUAUUAUUUUAUGAAAAUAAGUAUUUUUUAUGUUAAAAAAUAAAGUUCAUUUAUAUAAAAGAUUUUUAAAAAAAUGAAUUAGAAUAGUCUUUCGAAAAACUAAAUAUACACAACACCAUUAAAAAAAAUAUGUAUAUCCAAAAAAGGUUAAAUAAAAAAAUCAUAAAUGAGGGAUAUUAAUUGAAUCAUAAAAUUUAAAAAAUAUUUAAGAAAAAAAGAUAUUCAAAGAAGAUAUCAAUUAAAAAAAGCAAGAUUAGGAAAAAAAAAAAAAAAAAAGCUCAGAUAUUGUUGUUUAACUCUUCAAACAUGUAUUAUAAGUCAUGGAAUCAACCUGGUUCAAUAAUUGUUUUUCUUAAACUUCUAUCUAACCCUUAAAAAAGGCUAGAAAUAGCCUAGGCUCGUAGCCCAGCGUGCCUGAGCCAUUGUAGUGACAAGCCCAGCCCAGCCCCGUACCCUCACCUCAGGAUCAAAGGGCUUGUUUGAGAGCUGCGCUAGAGGCACCGCAGAACAGAGAGUGUACAAGCGCCCCUUUGCUUUGUUGGGCUUGAUUUCAAUUUUUUAAUUUGAAAAAAAAAAACACAUAAACUACGUGUCGUCUUCAAGUCUAGAUUUUGGCCACUAUAAUGGUGACUGGAAAAUCAAGGCAGCGCCUCUUUUGGUCAAAAAACUUGAUUUUUAAAUCAUUGCAACCCCAAAACACCUUAGGAAAAUGCCUCUUUUGGUGGAAAAAAAAACACUUUUUUUUAAGCGAUGACAACUCAAAAACACCUCGCCAACACUCUUAUAACACCAAAAAAUUAUUUCAUCAACUUCAAAUACCCAAACAAUAGCCUAAAAAUCUAAAAUCAAAUCGGGUUAGUUUUAGUUUUCUCGGCUUAGAUCUAGAAGUUCUAAACAACCACCAUAAAGCCCUUUUUAUAUCUGAGAACCCGUAGACACCAAUAAAACUCAUUUUAAUGGUCGAAAAUAGAGUGAAUAAUGACUUUCUCUUAUUGUUAGAAUCUGACAACACUUAUCUCUCUCUUCUCUCUAACCUUACAUUGAAGAAUAACACAGAUAAACUUGUGUAUCAAAACUGAUUUUUUAAAAUUUCAAGAGACCUAAAUUGAUGUUAUUUUUAAAUAACACAGAUAAAUUUAUAUGAAUGAUGUUAUUUUUAAAGAUCAAGGACAUUAGUGUAUUUUGCCUGAAGUCUCUGGUAUGUCAUCCAUAUUUGGUGUCCUUUUCAUUUGAGUCUUCAUUUUUUUAAUUUCGACUAACAAAUCAUACGUAAUUAGCAUUUAAUUAUGAUCAAAUUUUACAAAAUAAAACUUUGUGGUUAAAAUGAAUUAUUAUUAAAAAAUAAUAAUAAAUUCAUAGUGUUUUGUGAAUGCAUGAAUAAUACCCAAUCGUAGUAAAAAAAAACACGGUUUUAGAGUUUGUUAUAAAUCCAUCAUUUAUACCCAUUAUACUCAAAUUAAAACCUCACAGAAUAGGACAGAUUCAUCACGAGAUCUCUGCCUCACCUCUCUCGCAGAACAACUAAUUAUGAUCUCUCAUUACGGGAUAAAUAAAUUUAUCCUGAUAUAAGAAACUUUUCAAUAUUAAGUUAGUAUUUAUAGAGAAGAAAAAAAAUAAUAUAUAGAAAAAGAAAAGUAAAGGUAUGUUGUGUGCGAUAUCUCCGGACUUAGCCUAUGUUUGGCUGUGUAAAAAAUUGGUCCCUUCUCUACUAGGUGUAUUUAUAUAAAGUUAAAAAAGUUAAUGUCUUGAUAAAGUAAUGUUGGUUCUAAUUGGAAAUCUGAUCAUGAACAAAAGUCAUAGUCAAACUCUCAUAACCAAUUUUUUGAAUUUUAAAAAAAUGAUAAUGAAUAAAUAAAUAACUAAUGAAUGAAUGAAUGAAAAAUACUUUAAGAAUUAGUUUAAGAAAAUCCGAAUUGGAAGUUUGAGGACUAAUAAGAAUGAAAUUAUAAAUUUGAAAGUCAAUUUGGUCAAAGAAUUGGAAGAAUUGAUAAGUUUUGAGAUUUAAUUAAUAUUAAAAUUAAUUUAAUUAAUGAAAUCAGGGACUUAAUUGAAGAUGUACCAAGUUUGGGGCUGAUUUAGAUUGAAAUUGCGAGACAUAAAGUACAAGGACAAUAGAUGGUGAUACCAUAGGGGGGUUAACUGAUUUUUUCAGGGGUAAUUUUAAAAGCAUUAAAAGUUGAAAAGCCAAUUAAGAAUUGAAUUGAUUAAAUUGGAAAUCAAGGACUGUUUUGUAUAUGAUGCUAAAGUCUAGGGGUUCAAUUACAAUUGAUGUAGGGGUAAGAUUAAAAAGUAAAGAGGAGAUUUUCCAUGAAUAAGGGAUCAAUUGCUAAAUGUCAGAACUUCAGGGUAGAAAAUUAAAAAUAGCUAUUUCCGUUGAAAACGGCGCCAUUUCAAAGUAAACUGUUCAUACACCUUCAUUCCACAUUUCCACCGAUUCUGCAGAAACUGCAGCAAAACCGUUCGGGUCACGUCUCCUACCAGCUGCCCACCUCACCCCCACGAUGCCAUCUCCAAAUGCUAAUAUGUCGUGACCAACAGUCUUGCAAUGGCAGGACUGUUGAUCCCUGUUUUUUCUCAUAACAAAGACGAACAUGCCUCAUUGAGUAUCUUGAGGCACGAACGCACGGCAUUCUCUAGCUUUAUAAAAGCCAGAGAAAGGCCAGAAAAGUGGGGGGGACGAACGAACGAGAAGAAGAGGACAAGAGUGGAGGAACGAACAAAGAAAACCAGGAAGACAGAAAAAACGAACAGAGACUCAGAAACGAAAACAAUGACAGAAAGAAAGACAAGAGGACGAAGAAGAAAAACACAGAGGACAAACAAGAAACAGAGAGCAGAGGAGAAAGGCAGAAGGGGAGAGACCGAGAGAGAAUUCAAAGAAGUAAGACCAGAAGAGAAGCACACGAAACACAGAAGUACAGGGAAGAAAGUAGCUUUGGCCAGCCAUUACACCUUCGCCAUCGUCUUCUCCCCCAAGCACCAGGUAAGCUACGUACGUUUUCCGUCCCCUUACAUUUUAAUCACCCUUUGACUAUAACAAGUGUGCGUGAACAAUUCACGCCCGCCUGCUAGUAAAAGUCCGUCCGUUACUGGUUUGGGCUAGUAAUAAUGCUGGACUGAUUAAGUCCAACCCAGCCCAUAUAACUAGGCUAGAUGGCACUAAAAAAAUAAAACAAAUAGCAACUGAGGUUCGGCUGGGCUUGGAUUUCAGGCCCAACCGAUCUAAUUUGUUUUGGACCAAGGAUGUGUUUAGCAAAACACAUCUUUAUUUUUUCCUUUUUUAUUUCAUUCUUUUUAUUUUGGUAACUAGUCAAACAAAUCUUUUUGGAUAUGAGAGAAAAUUCUAAAAAAAGUCGUGGACCCUUUUAAAUUUAUUUACGGCUCCCUCACGGUUUUUUUUUUUUAAUGUUUUCAUUGUAUAUUUGAUUUGUGAAUUUGUACUAUGAAAUGUGAAUAUGGUAUGCGACACAUGUCUUUUUUUUUCAUAAAAAAUAACAAUAAAAAAAUAUAUAUGCUUUAUUUUCAAUUCAAUUUUUACUGGUUUAUUCAUUGGCGUCAGAGUUAAAAAUAAUAUGCUUUACAGUGUUACAUAAUAUUUACCAACACUAGAAUUUAAAGUAUUUAUAUCUGAAUAUUCAUUAGUGUUAUAGUCAGAAAUAUUACAAGUAAACCAUUAGUAGCAUAAUACAACAAACUCUUAGCAAUUUAAUACAAAACCAGCAAUGCAACCUACCUUAAAUAAAACAUUUAAAAAAUAAUAAUAUUUUUUAUUUUACAUAAUUAAUCUCGCACCAUAAAAUCAUUAUUAACCGGUUAAUAUUCCGGUUACCAUAACAACUUCUUCAGUUAGAACUUUCUCCUAAUAAAAAGUCAAUUACCUGUUUUUUUUCAUAAUUGAACUUUUAAAGGUUGCCACGGUUGCCUCGAAUGACAGCUUUCCUGUUUAUACUACAAAGAAGGUCAUGUCUUGCUAAAUUAAGUCAUAAUUAAAAAAUAAAAAACCUUAGGCCACAAGCUACGAAGCACCAAACCACAAAUAAAAUACAAAUAAUCAAUAUGAAUAUAUGACAAUUAGCUCUUUUGUUUAUUGAAGACAAGAGGCCCUUUUCCUUAAUUGAAGCAUCAUUUAAUUGAUAGUUGAUUUCUUGUGCUUCUGUCAGUUGUGAGUUCCGGUCGCCAUAAGACUCUAAGCUCUAAAGCAAAAUUACUGCGACCCCUUGUGGAUGACAUUGGUUGAUUUAUGGCCCAACUGCAGUGGCACAAAAGCAAAGUGUUAUAGCUAAGAAAGAGGGAAGGCUGAGUAGCCGAGAGAGACAUUAACACACACGUACUGCUGCAAUAUUUCCUGAAUGGGAGAGGGCGGCAAGUACACUUUGCCAACAACAAUCCUUUACAUGAUUAUGGCAGGAACGGCAUUUUUUCCACUCAUGAUCACCUGUAAUUGCAGUACGUCGAUGAGUUCAUAUAAUUAAUUAAAUAGUUUGAUUAAUGGCAGAAAGUUAACACAGACACAACGCCCAUCAAAACCUAAUGCAUCAGGUCUUGGUUUAAAACAUAAAUUGGAUUUUUUAAAAUUUUUAUUAAAUAGACGGUAAAAAAUCGGGUAACAACAUUUAGUUUAUUUAAACAUUUUAAGAAAACACUUAAUAUAUACUUAAUUUUUAGAGAAUAUAACCGUGAAUUCAAAUCUACAAUUCAUUUUCUUAUCAAAAUUCUAUUAUCAAAUUCUUGAAGUGGUGGGGGUAAUGACUGCCUCAUAUUAUACAGCAUAAGUGGAUCAGAAGAAAGGGACUCAGAUAAGUGUUUUUUUUUUUAAAAAAUCAAAAUUGGUGUCUUUUUCGGUUUCACUUGCAAACGGAACACCUAUCUCCAAAACCCAUGUUUGCAAAAAUGUAUGCUAAGCGUCAAAAGAUGAAAUCUAUGUGCGAUAGUAUUAGCAAUUUACCUGAUGCACUCCUCCUUCACACACACUCUUUUCUGAGAUGCCAAGAAGUUUUGAUUGGAUACAUUGUUCACUCUUUAUUUCAAAUCAAUUCAAUUUUUCUAAUUUCUAUUUUAGUUUUCUUUAUUUUUUAUCCAAUAAACUUUAUUUCUAUUAGAAAAUAUUUUUUUUUCAAAUUAAAAAAAUUAACAUUAAAAAAACAUUUAACUAAAAAUAUAUUUUUUUUCCCGAGAAUUCAAAUAACUAUCUUUAUUAAUGAAUAUUCAUUUUUAUUUUUAUAUAAUUAAAUAAAAAGAAAAAGCAACCAUGUUAUUCGAUUAAAUAUUUACAUUUGCAUUUAUUUUUUUAUUUAUUACACAAAAAAAAACCCAGCUGUUUUAGCCUUUAAUUAGAUUAACCAUUUGAUUUAUUAAUUCAAAUAUCUUUAAUUCGUUUUUAUUUUAAAAAAAAUACAAACACCAUCAUUUCAACUUUGAAUUUAAAAAUUUUAUGCUAUCAAAACACAACUCCACAGAUUCAUAGCUUCUUGUUUUUUUUUGUUUUACAUUACAACUUAGUUUGGAAUGUUACCCGUAACUAGUUGGUAUCUAAUGUCUUGAACUAUUUCCCCAUGAAUUUGUAUCUCAAGAGCAGUCUGGUUUGUCAUGUACAUGCACUUCAUGGAAAAAGCUAGCUACCUGGCACAGGAGCCGAAGAAGAACGAAACUUGGCAUAUUCCACUUUUCAGAAUAAGUUGUGCUUAAGAGUUGUUUUUUAAAAUAUUUUUUAUUUAAAAAUAUAUUAAAAUAAUUUAUUUUUUAUUUUAAAAAAAUUAUUUUUAAUAUAUGAUUUAAAAUCAUAAAACAAUAUUAGAAAAAUUCAAUAAAACUUUUUAAAUAUAAGCAAACACUUUAGAAGUACAAUCUUAAUUAAUAAACAAACCAUCAAAGCAAAUUGUACUUCAAAAAUAAAUUUAUCUGUCCCUAAAUUUUAGUCAUGAUUAGGAAAAUAAAAAUAAAUAAAUAAAUAGUGUCAGAGUUUUUAACCACUUGACUUGUGAUGCACAAUUGCACAUCCAUUACAAUAAUAAUAAAAAGAAUGACAACUAAUUUGGCAACCAACCACAUGAUUUCUGAAAAUAUGACGUUACAAAUUUUUUUCAAAAACAAUAAAGAAUUUUUUAAAAAAUACAUCUGAAUUUUAUUUGAUAGAAAAUUUAGAAUUGAUUGUUUUACUAUGUGUUAUCUUUUACAAGCUUGUAGAAAAACAAAAACACUAAAUACACAAGGAAGAAGAAGCUCAGACCAAUGAGACAAUUGCUGAUGGCAAGCCCCAAGGAAGGUUCUAGAACCGCAUAUGUGCCCGUGAUGAAUGCGAUAAUCAUUGUCCCCAUGCCAAUCAUGGUCAACGACGUGGCAAACAUAAAUAAUAUUAAUGGCAACCCCAUCUAUCACUUCUUCCCUAUCUAUCACUUCUUCACAUUUAGAACCAUGAAUAAACGCAAUCAAUAAAUGGAUAAAAACAGCAAAAAUAGAGAGCACCAUUGAUAUUGUAUCUGAAAUGACAAAUACUAUAAAAGCAUCUUUUUUAGCUAGAAUUGUUGUGCCUCGAUCGCUCUUGUAACCGCCAGGUAGGGUGAAUGCUGCUGCAAAUGUUACCGUUGCUAUCAGCGCCGCAACAACUAGAUGAGACUCUCUUGCUUUACUCAAAACUUCCUCUUUCUCUUUCUCUUUGUUUUUCUCUUUCUCUUUCAAAACAAAGGGACCGUGACCAAUCGGUCCAUUGCCAACAUCUUCAAGGGAUUCUAGGAUCUCUUUCUGCAAAAAUAUAUAUUUUGAAUAAAAUAUGUUAUGAUAUUAAAAGAGGUUUUAAAAGUAAUUUUUUUAUUACUUUCUAGAUUAUUUUUUUAGUGAAAAUUUUUUAUUUAUUUUUCAUAUUAUCUUGUACUUAAAUUUUAUUAAUUAAAAUAAAAAUAGUGAGAUUUGAAUUUAAAAUUGUUUGAUCAAUAAGAUUGUAAUACUAUUUUAAAAAAACUUAACUCAAUCUAAAAAAUUUAAACAAAUAAUCCAUCUUUUUUAGCUAUUUAACAUAUAUCAUAUAUCAACUUCCGAGCCUUUAUUUCCACAACUAGGUUGUUUGCAAUCAAAUCCUUUUUGUUACUGUAUAUAUUAGCAGGUAACAAAAACUAAUUUGGUUGAAAUUAAACCGCGUGCUUUACAUUAGCCCAAUUAUCCCUAAAAAGAAAACUAAGAUGUGGACUUAAUUUUAUAUAACAUUAAUUCUACAUCAUUUCAUUCUAAAAUUAAUUUCCUUGGAGGACUUAAUUGCUUGUAAUAUUAUGUUAAGCUGUUAAAGAGGUUUUAAAAAUAAUUAAUUUCCUAGGAGGAGUAAUCCAAUAUAUUAUUGUUUAUUGUUACUCUCCUUAAUUAAUUGCUUUUAAGAUUAUAUUAAGUUUCUAUUAGAUUUUUAAAAUUUUAAUUAAUUGUAUUAUUUUUUCAUUCAUUUGUACUACUUUUUUUUUUAUUGAAUAAUAUAUGUUUUUAUAAAGCAGUUACACGCGAUUUAUAUGCAUAGUCUGUUAUUGUAGAUGAAAAACUUAACAAAAUCAAUAAAAUGACUUCAUUUCAAAUAAAAAAAGAUUAUUAAGUUAUUCAGAUUACUUUAUUUUUAUAUUUAGUACUGCGAUAUAAUAGAGUGAAACUGAACAAAAGUUACGUGGACCCAUUUGGUGGACAUGAUUAAGAUGCAGAGCUAAGAGAAUCUUAGAUGCAAAGUAAAACCAGUUUGCUUUGAUUUAAUUGAUUCAUUAAUGGAUAUAUAUUGUGAAUCACAACAGUUAAUUCAUAGAGGAUUGAUUACCUGUAUCUCUUCCAAAUUUCCUUCACUAAGGUCGUCGACGCUUAGCUUAUAAAGGAAAUCCCCUCAGAUUCAGCCAAUAUUCAAAUUUCCCCAGAUUCAGCCAAUAUUCACUUGCCUCUUGCCCAUGAUCCUGCAACCAUCAUUCAAGCAUAAUAUCAAGCUUGUAAUGGCAGACAAAUCUUCAAUGUAAAUGCAGUGUAAAUGUCAAGACGUAAUCUUAGCUUACUUUCUAAAUUCAAACCUGCAAAGCUGUGUAUAUAUAUGUUAACAAUUGUAUUACUCAAUGUGUGGUGAAAUAUACAAUUCUGAAGUUUAUCAAAUAGCUCAACUCUCUGAAAUUUCUUAUCUUCAUCAUGGUAUCAGAGCAACAAAUCUCCAACAAGAAUUUGAUCCCUUAUAAUCCUAUCUCAACCCCAUCCUCUCCAACUGAAACACCUCUGAUUGCCCUCAACAUCACAUCCCAGAUAAAUGAUAAACUUACCCCCUCUACAAUCCUUCAAUGGCGCGCUCAGUUUGAAGCCUUACUCAUCGGGUAUGAUCUCCUUGAUUAUGUCACUGGAGAAAAAAUAUGCCCCGUAUCCACCAGUACAGCAGUCUGUGCCAUCCAACGAACACACUGGAUAAGGCAAGAUAAGCUUAUCCUCAGUGCCAUUUUGGCAUCCACAUCCACUGUUAUUACUCCUCUCAUCUCCAUGGCCAAGACAUCAAAGGAUGCAUGGCAUAAAUUGCAUACUCUGUAUGCAAGCAAGUCCAGAACCAGAGCAAUGCAACUUAAGGAAGAACUCACAAUGAUAAAGAAGGGCAACCAGUCAAUUCAAACUUAUCUUCACUCUGUAAAAUCGUUGGCAGACGAAAUCUCCCUCAUAGAUCACCCAAUCUCUGAAGAUGAUCUAACACUCUAUAUUCUAAAUGGCCUGGGAACUGACUUUCAUGAAAUUGCAGGCCCUAUUCGCGCCCGAGAACGACCACUCACUUUUGAGGAACUUCAUGAUCUCCUUGUAAGUCAUGAUGCAUAUCUUCACCGUCUUGAUGCCUCCUCCCAUCCAUUGAUUGCUUCUGCAAACUACACGCACCGACGGGCUUCGUAUAAUCAAGAAAAUCAGUCUUUUAAAUCUGCCCCAAAACCCCACUUUUUUGACAGAUCAUAUGGCCAAAGAAAUAAACCUCCAGCUCACUAUCGCCAGCCUGGCAAUCCGAGAGACAGCAACAAAAAUCAUGGACCACGUCGUUUUCCUCCAGCUCCAAAGUGCCAACUAUGUGACCGCAUGGGUCAUACUGCCAAACACUGCAGUCGGUUUCAGUAUACCACCCCAACAGCGAAUUGCACUUCCACCUCACCCGCACAGGAUACAAAAUGGCUUAUAGACUCAGCCGCGUCUCAUAAUAUUACUGGUGAUCUUGCUAAUCUAUCUAUUCAUUCCGAAUACGAUGGCACUAACGAAGUUAUCAUUGGUGAUGGUUCAGGUUUGCCUGUUUCUCAUAUUGGCUCCUUACAUCUUCAUUCCCCCACACGUACUUUCCAUUUAAAUGACACCCUUUGUGUUCCUAAUCUACAAAAAAAUCUCAUAUCUGCUCAUCAAUUUACUUGUCAAAAUCAUGUCUUUAUUGAGCUUCACCCCUCUUUCUUUUUUGUUAAGGACAAGAUCACGGGAGCGGCUCUAUUCCGAGGAGCGUGUGAGAAUGGUGUUUACAUCCUUCCGAAGUCAAUGGUGCAGCCUUCUCAUCCUAUUGUUGCUAAUGUGCAUGAAAGGGUCUCCAUGGACGGAUGGCACAAACGCCUUGGGCAUCCCUCUCCUAAAUUGGUCACUCACCUUAUCAAAUCAUUUUCCCUUCCAACAAUAAAUAAAAAAAAUAUUUCUCUUUGUUCCUCAUGUUCUAUUAAUAAAGCUCAUCGUCAACCAUUUCGUCAAAACAGUCUCUUGAGUCAUGCCUCUCUUGACUUACUUUAUACUGAUGUGUGGGGUUCCUCAAGUAUAAUUGGCAUUACUGGGGCUCGUUACUAUCUCAUUUUUGUUGAUCAUUUCACGAAAUACAUUUGGUUUUAUCCUAUGGAGACUAAAUCUAGUGUCCGCAUCAUAUUUCCUCAAUUCAAAAAUCUUGUUGAAAAUCGGUUUCAGUUAAAAAUUAAAUCUGUCUAUUCUGAUAAUGGUGGUGAAUUUGUUGCCUUAAAACAAUAUUUUACAACAAAUGGAAUCAGUCAUUACACCACAGCUCCUCAUACACCGCAACAAAAUGGUGUUUCUGAGCGUCGUCAUCGUCACUUGGUUGAAACCGGUCUCACAUUACUACAUGAUGCAUCCCUUCCCCUUCAGUAUUGGCCCUAUGCUUUUUCCACUGCUGCAUAUCUUAUUAACCGUCAACCCACACCUCUCCUCCACCAUAAAUCUCCGUUUGAAACUUUGUUUACACAGCCUCCAAAUUAUAAAAAGCUAAAAAAAUUCGGUUGUCUUUGUUUUCCUCUUGUUCGGCCAUAUAACACAAACAAGUUACAACCAAAAUCAAUUCCAUGUAUUUUCGUAGGCUACUCCUUAACCCAAAAUGCAUACAGCUGUCUUGAUCCCAUAACCAACCGUCUCUACCAAUCACGCCAUGUCAUCUUUCAUGAAAAUGAAAAUGGUUUCUCCUCCAGCCAUCCUUCCACACCCAGCCCGACAAGCGACUCCUCUGUUCAUGGUCCUCUUUCAUCUCCUCCUGCACCUCCACCAGUGACUUCGGCAAGGAUACCCACUCUCACUGCUUCCUCAGGUAAUGACUCCCCCACUGUAUCUUUUAAUUCACGUGCACUCAUACCUUCAUCUUCUCCUGCUUCUCCCAGUUUUCAGCCUGCCUCAUCUCCACUGCCAAAUCCCAGUCAUCCACCCUCAUCAGUUAUUUGUGCACCUUCUCCAAGCUCCCUCCCUCAUCACCCAAUCCUGCACCCACCCGGCCUCACUCCAUGGUCACCCGUUCCAUGAAUAACAUUUAUAAACCCAAACAACUUAACAUCACCACAAAACACCCCAUCCCAAAAACUGUAGAACCAACCUGUGUGGGACAGGCUCUUCGUGACCACACUGGAGAUCAGCAAUGUCUGAGGAACUCACAGCCCUCAUGAGGCAUGGCACAUGGGAGUUGGUACCGCCUCCUCCGGACUGCCAACCAGUUGGGUGCAAAUGGGUUUUUCGGAUCAAACGACAUCCUAAUGGCUCCAUUGCUCGGUUCAAAGCCCGUUUGGUUGCAAAGGGAUAUCAUCAGCGGCCUGGUCUAGACUACAAUGAAACGUUCAGUCCAGUUGUGAAACCUGCCACCAUCAGAACAGUUCUCACCGUGGCUGUCACACAGGGGUGGCCAUUACGGCAGCUAGAUGUAAACAAUGCCUUUUUGCAUGGGAACCUGCAGGAAACAGUCUACAUGUUACAGCCACCGGGGUUCCAUGAUACCUCCACUCCCCAUCAUGUCUGUCGGUUAAACAAGGCUAUUUAUGGCCUCAAACAGGCCCCUCGUGCCUGGUAUUCUGCUCUGCAACAAGCCAUUCUGAAACUGGGAUUCACCAGCUCCAAAGCGAUCCUUCUCUAUUUAUCUUUCACAGUGCAGAUGUUUUGUGUUACUUGCUGGUCUACGUGGAUGAUCUCGUUCUCACUGGAAACACUCCAUCCUUCCUGACUCAUGUGAUUGAUCAACUUAGCAUCCAAUUCUCAUUGAAAGAUAUGGGUGCACUUCAUCAUUUUCUGGGGCUAGAUGUUAUACCCACCAAAAACGGGUUGUUCUUAUCUCAACAUCAAUACAUACGGGAUCUUCUCUUCAAAACUAAUAUGCAGGGUGCUAAGGAUGUCUCUUCUCCUAUGUCCACUUCGGUCCAGCUCAAGCUUAUUGAUGGCACAGCUCCCUGUGACAGCACUGCAUUUCGAAGCAUCAUCGGUGGAUUACAAUAUUUGUCUCUUACUCGUCCUGAUGUUUCCUUCAUUGUUAAUAAGCUGUCACAAUUCAUGCAUCAACCUACGGUCACUCACUGGUCAGCUGCCAAACGCCUGCUCCGCUAUUUGAAGAAAACCAUCUUCCUUGGCAUUCACAUAAAUCGUCAGUCUUCAUUUGAUAUCACCACUUUUGCUGAUGCUGAUUGGGCUGGGAAUUAUGAUGAUCGCACCUCCACCUCAGCUUACAUUACAUUCCUUGGGCUCAAUCCCAUCUCGUGGAGCUCAAAGAAACAACGUGCAGUCGCCAGGUCCUCCACAGAAGCUGAGUAUCGUUCCCUUGCCACUGCUACGUCUGAAACAGUUUGGCUGUUGUCCCUGUUCAAAGAACUGUGUCUCCCAAUUUCAUCUCCGCCAAGGCUGUUGUGUGACAACCUGGGAGCUACCCACCUUAGCUUCAAUCCAGUUCAGCAUUCCCGGAUGAAACACAUUCAGAUAGACCUUCACUUUGUCCGUGAUAUGGUUCACAAGAAGAUCCUCAAUGUUCAGCAUGUCAACACUCAUGACCAACUGGCAGACUUUCUAACGAAGCCUCUGUCUUCCCAGCGUCUGCAUUCCUUACUGCUCAAGAUUGGCUUAGCUGAUGGCUCAUCCAUCUUGCGGAGCGUAUAAAGGAAAUCCCCUCAGAUUCAGCCAAUAUUCAAAUUUCCCCAGAUUCAGCCAAUAUUCACUUGCCUCUUGCCCAUGAUCCUGCAACCAUCAUUCAAGCAUAAUAUCAAGCUUGUAACGGCAGACAAAUCUUCAAUGUAAAUGCAGUGGAAAUGUCAAGACGUAAUCUUAGCUUACUUUCUAAAUUCAAACCUGCAAAGCUGUGUAUAUAUAUGUUAACAAUUGUAUUACUCAAUGUGUGGCGAAAUAUACAAUUCUGAAGUUUAUCAAAUAGCUCAACUCUCUGAAAUUUCUUAUCUUCAUCAUAGCUUUCGCUUAUUAAGACCAUAUUUUAUCUUCCAUCCAAAAUAACAAUAUUGAUUUAAAACACGUCUCCAUUGCUUCUGCUCGCGCGCUAAAGCAGCAAUUAGAUGGAAGGGCGUGUUCCCUUUGUCAUCCUUCUUCGUUCCAAGUCUUGCAAGUUCUGGAAUAUUCUCCAGACAUUCCUCGAAUACUGCUAUAUCUUUACUGGCCACAGCAUAGUGAAGGGCAUUCCAACCUCUGUUAUCAACUAGCUCACAACAAGCUGGGCAUCGAGAAACAAUUUCUUUCAUUAUUCCUACACGUCCUCGAAUGGCAGCAAUGUGAAGAGCUGUUCUCUUCUUCUCUGUUUCAGCAAUGUAGGCCGCGGACGCAUCAUAUUCUAGUAAUACUUCCACUGUACGACUAUAAUAGGCAGCGUAGUGAAGUGGUGACCAGCCGUUCUCAUCGGUUGUUUUCGUCAACGUUUUUUCUUUUUCUAACAAUUUUCUUGCUGUCUCUGAAACCAACAAAACAAGGAAUAAAAGUUAUCCUUCAUGAACAACAGAGAUUUCACUUAUGCCCCGUUUUAUAAUUUCUUUUAGAAAACUGGUUUCUUGAAAAAUAAUUUUCUAGAAAAUAAAUUAUUUUUUAAUAUUUAGUAAUAUCAUUAAAAAUAAAUUGAAAAAUACUUUCCAGUAUUUUACUAUAUUAUAGAAAAACAAUUGAAAAAAAAUUAUUAAUAUAUUUUUUUCAUGUUUAGUAAAAUAAUGAGGAGCAAAUGAGAAUAAAAUUAAAAAAAUAUAUAUAAUUUUAUAAAUUAUUUCAAAUAAAAUAAAUAAUAAAAAAAUUCAAUUAUUGAUAAGAAAAAAAAUAAAUAACAAUGAUAAAAAUAAAUAUCAAAGUUGAUAUAAAUAUCAAGUUAUAAUAGAUGGAAUUUAAAAAAAAUUCAAAAUAAAAUAUAUAGUAAUUAAAAGUUUAAAGACCAAAUUUGAUAUAAUCAGUAAAUAACAUGAUAUUUUUAAUUUUUUCACAACUUUUAAAAAAUAUUUUUCGCCUAAAAUAAAAGGAGAUCAUUUUUUUAAACCAAGUUAAAUUUUCUUUAAUUUGAAGGUGUUCUUCGUUGAUCAAUAUUUUUAAUAACAAUUAAAUACAAAAAAAUUUUAAAAAUAAUUUUUUAAAAAUUACUUUUCAUAAAAUAAAUGCAUGUUAUAUAUCCAAUACUUAAACUCACAAAGUUUCUUAAAAAAUAAUAAAAAAAGCUAAUUAUGAAGCAAACUAGUACGGAUAUAUAAAAUCAAAUAUACGUGGAUUUUAAAUUAUAGUUUACACUAUUAUAUAUAAAUUAUUUAAUUCUCCAGACUUGAGCACAAAAUCCUACCAUUAUCUCCCACCCUGAUUGCCGCGUGUAGAGCAGUUCUACCAUUCGGGCCGCCGUAGUCCACUGAGAUGCAAUUAGUUAGGAUUUCAUCGAUCACCGUUUCUCGUUCUUGACCCCUUCUGGAAGCAGCUGCAAUAUAAAGUGGAGUUUCUCCAUGAACAUUGGCGGAAUAUGAAAACUCAGGGUCCUCUUUUGUCAAUAUUUCCACCACUUGGGCUUGGAUAUUUCGAGCUGCCACGUGCAACGCUGUAUCUUGCUCUCCAUCGGCCAUCCUCAACAUCUUCUUUUCUUCUGUUACUCCGCUCUCUAGAUCAGUAGGUCGAGCUUUUGCGCGGUCAAUGAGGACUCUUACCACGUUGGAACGCCCAUAUCUUGCCGCAAAAUGGAGUGGGAUUUCACCUUUCUUAUUGGCCUGCAAUAAUAGUGGUGGACACUUUUCAAGAAUUUUAUCAACAAAAUCAGUGGAUUCUGAUUCUCUACGUUGGUUUUCUAAAGUAGACAUGAAGAAUGGUGUUCUCGUCUGGAGUCAAUAACUGAUCAAGGCAGGUUUGAUAUUUCUCAAAGGGACCGAUAUCGCCUUUAGCUGCAGCUUUGAACAAGACAGGAUCCAUAUAGGGCGUCAUACUAUUUUGUAGCUUAGAGAAACUCACUAAAUGAAAAGUAAACAAAUGAAGGGGAGGUGAAAUUAACCACUGUGGCUCAAAGGCAAGAGGUUCCACUCCUCAACUGAUCACAAGCUGCUGAUUUCUUCGGUAUUUAAAGGAAGAAAAAGCGUUAAGAACCACAAAUUACAUUUAUUUUCCAUUUUGAUAUUGUGUCGCAAUAUCUUUGAUUCUGAAACACAGAAUAAAAGGAAAGGAUUAUCAUGCUGACACUCUUCUUUUUUUAUCUGAUACUUAGACACUUGUAUAUAUUAAAGUAUCUCGCUACAUCAAACUUAAAAAGUGAAUUAAAAACAAACACAUGCGCAAGCAUAUGCCUGCGCGCGCACAUAAACUAAAUCAGUAUUUCACUGUAAAUAUUGGAUAUACAUUCAUAAAAACAUUAUUUAGCAAAGAAACUAAAACAUUUUAUCACAAUUUUAAAAAAAAAUAUAUGAGUAUUUUUUCCUUCUUUUAUAAGCAGAGAAUAUUGAUACUUUAACAUAUAUAUAUAUAUAUAUAUAUAUAUAUAUAUAUAUAUAUAUAUAUAUAUAUAUAUAUAUCAAAGUAUCUCGCCACACCAAUAUUUUAAUUUGGGACAUUAAAAAAUUAAUCGAACACAUUACCUAUAAUUUAAAAUAUUAUGAGAAAGUACAAUGACAAUAAUACUUUCCCCACAUUUUCCCCGCAUGUUUUUGUGUGGCUCUAAAAAAUAUGUUUGCUUUUUUUUUUUUCAAUUACUAUUUUUUUUAAUUUUAUCAUUUUAAUAUUAGUUUUUUUUUAUUGGGUUAUCUCACUCACAAGAUAUGAAUCGUGAGUUUGGCAAAUUAACCUAGUUGGCUGGGAUUUUAUUCUUCAUUAUUUAACUUUUUUAUAAUUUUAUCAUUUAAUAUUGAUUUAAUUAAGAAUUAGACUUUAUAAUUUAUUUUAUUAGGUUAAUCAAUUCUCAUAACCCAAGAAUAGAUCUUAGUAGAUUAAUCUUGAGUUGAUUUGAUUGUUUUUUAUGUUUUAUGUUUAAUUGAAUUUCUUUUCAAUUUUAUCAUUGAAUAUUAUGUCAGUUAGAAAUUAAGUAUUCAUAAUCUAUUUUGAUUUCUUUUUUAUUAGGAUAUCUUGGUCUCAUGAUCAAGGUCGCAAGUUUUGGUAUUUUAACCCUAGUUAAAUCAAGUUGUUAUUUUUUUUAUUUUCUUUCAAGAGGUCAUCUUGGUCUCGUACGUGUCCUUCAACAUUAUAUUUGUUUUUUAUUGGGUUGUCCAUGUUUCAUGACCUAAAUUGCGUAUUUGACAAAUUAAUCCAGUUGACUCAAUUUUUUUAUAACUGACUUUUUUCUCAAUUUCAUUAUUUAAUAUUGUGUUUGAUUAAGAAUUAGGCUUUAUUAUUUAUUUUAAUUUAAUUUUUAUGAGAUUAUUUUAGCUUGAUGACCUAAAAAUAGUGCUUAACAGGUUAACAUUUAUUGACUUAGCUUAUUUUUUUAAUUAAUUUUUUUACAAUUUCAUCAUUUAGCAUUAGGUUCGAUAGGAUCGAUUGAGUAUGUGUUGGAUUAAUCAAUAUUUUAUUGAUUGAUUUAUUAAUAAGAUAUUUUAAUCUGGAAUACUUUGAAGCUAAGAUUAUAUAAAUUAUAUAAAUGUAAUUGUUGAUUAAUUUAUAAUGUUUAAGUUUUUUUUCUUGUUUGGCUUAUCAUAAAAGACAAUAGAGAUGAAAUGCUUUCUAUAUGCUCUUGAACUUGACAAAUGCUCAAAUGUGAAUAAAUCACUCGUCAACAUAACUUCCUAGCAAGGCAUGUUGUUUUUUGGGACAAUAAAAAGUUUUCAAAAAAUCUUUAUUGUUAAUUCCCUAAGCAUAACUUCCUAGCAAGGCAGAGGAUUUUGAAACACGAAAGAAAAAGGAAAGGAAGACCAUGUUGUAAUUCAAAGUAUCUCGUUAAAUCAAUAUUUAUCAAACUUCAAAAGUGAAUUAAAAACACUCAUAUAUGUGCAAGCAUAUGCACGCAUCCAUUUACAUAAACUAAAUCAACAUUUUACUUAUUAGAGAUUAAAUUUUUUAUAUAUUUUUAUUAUUUUUUUUCUAUAUUGUUAUCUCAGUUUUAUAACCUGAGUCGCAAGUUUGAUAAAUUAACUUGGAUUUUUUUUAAGUUCUUUUUUUAAUUGAUUUUGUUUUUAAUUUCAUCAUUUUACUUUGAGUUGAUUGAAAAUUAACCUUUAUAAUUUAUUUUAAUUUGUUUUUCAUGGGGUUAUCAUAGUCUUAUAACUCAAGUCACAGAUUUGACAUUUCAACCUAAGUUGAUCUAAGUCAAUCUAAUAUGUUAUUAUCUUAAUAUUAAAAAAAAAUAUCAUCUUGAAUUAUUUUUAGUCAAAUUAUGUUUUUAUUGGUCGUCCGAGUUAUUUUUGGACCCUCAAAAUCAAUCAUGUCAUAUUGAGUCAACACUAACACGGUUUAAAUUUCUUUUCCACUAAAAUAUACAUUAGCAAUAUCUAAAUAUUUUUUUAUGUUCAAGAAAAAUUUGACUCAACCUACAAUGUAGCUAGCGCGGGUCAAUAAUCUAGUACACACACUAAACUAAAACAAUAUCUCAGUAUACAUGUACAUACAUUCAUAAAACACUAUUAAGAGAAUCAAACUAAAAAAUUCAAUCACAAAUUGUUUUAAAAUUCUUUAUUUUCUAUUUGUAACUAACAGUUUAUUCCAAAUAAUGAAUGUUUUUUUUUUUUAAUACAACUGAAUUUUAUUUGAUAGCAAAUCAAGGACUGAGUAUUUUAGGCAAAAUUAUUAUUAUUAUUAUUAUUAUUAUUAUUAUUAUUAUUAUAUGAAAAUAUACUUACUAUGAUAUUAAUUAUUAAUAACUAUCUAAUUAGGAAAAUUAAUUAUUCAUACUAAAUACAAAUUUAAUAUCAUUAUAUAUAUUGUUUCAAACAAAUUCCAAAUUUGCAUUAUUGUGAAAAAAUAAGAUUUUUGUGAACAUUUGUUUGUAGUAUAUGCUGGAUUAAUCAAUAUUUUAUUGAUUAAUUUAUUAAUGAAAUUCAUUAAUAUGGAAUACUGUCAAUCUAAGAUUAUAUAAAUUAUAUAAAUGCAAUUAUUGAUUAAUUUAUAAUUUUUAUGUUUUUUGUAUUUUUUUUCUUUGUUUUCUUAUCAUAAAAAACACUAGAGAUGAAAAGUUUUAAAAAACAUUUUAUUGUUAUUUCCCUCUUCUAAAGCAUAACUUGCUAGCAAGGCAAAGGAUUUUGGAAUACAAAAGUGAAAAGGAAAGGAUGACUAUGCUAACACUUCUUCCUUUUUUAAUGUUCUUUAUAAUACUUAGACACUCGUGCACAUCAAUGUAUCUCACUACAUUAAUAGUUAUUGAACUUAGAAAGUGAAUAAAAAACACACAUUUAUGAAAUUUUAUUUGAUAGCAAAUCUGGAAUUGACUGUUUUUGUUUGAAAUUUUUUUCACAAAUUUUGGCUAAAAUUUAAAAUUUGUCUCAUUAUUGAAAAGCAUCAUCAUCAUUAUUAUUAUAAACCCAAUUUUUUAAUUUAAAAAAAAAAACAAAAAAAAUAAAUGGAUUAAAAAAUAAUUUGAGAAUUGGGUUAAAACAACACAAAUUGAAAGUUUGAGGAUUAAUAAUGAUGGAAUUAUAAAUUUGGUAGUCAAUGUGGUAAAACAUUAGAAGAAUUAAUAAGUUUGGGGACUUAAUUAAACUUUGAUUUAAAGUUCAAGGAUCAAAGUGCAAGCAAUUAAAGUUCAAGAAUCAAAGUGAAUAAGCAGUUACACUAUAGGGGUUAAUUGAUUUUUUCAAGGGUAAUUUUGAUUGAAUUAAAAGUUAAAAAGUCAAUUAAGGAGUGAAUUGAUUAAAUUGGAAACCAAGUACUGUUUUGUAAAUGGCUUUGAAAUUUAGGGAUUCAAUUGCAAUUUGAUUUAGGGGUAACAUUAAGGAAAAAAUAAAGAUUUUUCUUGAUUAGAAUCGUAGUUAUUUAGUGUCAAAAGUUUAAAGGUCAAAUUAAAAAUAGUUAUUUCGAGUGUAACAGUGUCAUUUUCUUAUCAUCUCUUCAUCCUCCUGAAAACCGGAUUCACAGGAAACACAACCAAAAAAAUUAAAGCUGCCAAUAUCCCCACCCCACCCACACGAUGAAUCUCCUGUUCAACUCUGAGAACCAUUGUAACGCAAACAUAAGAAAUGAAUUAGCUAAUGUGUUCAUAAGAAACAGAUAUAAAACUGUGGUACAAGGACCACAUGCAAUCGACUUUAUUCCUGCGUUUAACAGUAAAAACAUCAUAAAACCCGCAGAAACCUAUGACAAAUAAUAUCGAUUUAUGGCAAACUUCUUAUAGUUGUAGUUAUAUCAUAUAUAGGCUUUGAAGAGGUAACUAGCUUCUUAUCAGCAAAAGAUAUAUAAACACAAUCAGCAAACAAGCCACUUCAAGAUUUUACGAUUUAGGAAAUCAAAACAACCACAUGAUUUCUGACCAUAUGAUGUCACGAAAUUUUUUCAAAAACAAUAAGAAUUUUUUAAAAAGUACAUCUUUUAUUUGAUAGGAAAUUUAUAAUAGAUUGUUUCUCUGGAAUAACUUAUCUUAAAAAUCCUUGCCUAAACAAACUAAACAUUAAGAGCGUGAUUGAGAUUAUAAUAAUGAUUUAAAGAAUUUUUUUAUUUGAAAAUAUAUUAAAAUAAAAUUUUUUAUUUUUUAAAAUUAUUUUUGACAUCGAUAUAUAUUAAAACGAUUUAAAAAUAUAUAUUUUUUAUUUUAAAUAAAAAUAAAUUUUUAAUUUGUUUUUUAUAAAUAUAAUUAAAGAAGCUUAAACCAAUGAGUCAGACAUUGAUAGCAAGCCACAAGAAAGGUAAUUAAUAUCCUAUCAUGGUAAACAACGUGGCAACCCCAAAUAAUAUCCUAGUGGUUUCCUUGUCUAUCUUUUCAUCCUUGACCAUUUCCGAACCUUGAAUCAGCAAAAUCAAAAAGUGAAUGAAGACAGCAAAAAUUGAGAGCACCAUUGACAUUUCAUUUGAUAUGACAAAUACGAUAAAAGUAGUUUUUUUUAGCUAGAAUUGCAGUGCUCUGAUAUGACAAAUCAUCCCCUUUCUCUUUAUUUUUCUCAUCAUUCCCUCUUCUCAAAACCUGGCGCCGGCUGCUAGGCGGUCCACUGCCAACGUCUUCUAGGGAUUCUAGGAUCUCUUGCUGCAAAAAGCUUAGGGUAAAAUAUCGUAGAUAUCCAUCAUUUUUAGCUAUUUAAUAAAUAUCAUAUAUCAACUUCCGGGCUUUUAAUUUUCAGAUAACCCAAUAUAUUAUUGUUUAUUGUUACUCUCCUUAAUUGCUUGUAAGAUUAUGUUAAGUUUUUAUUUGAUUUUUCAACUUUAAUUUUCAGAUUUUUUAAAUUUUAAUUAAUUGUUUUGUUUUCAUUCAUUUGUACUACUUUUCGUUUUUAGAUGGAAGGGCUUGUUUCCUUCGUCAUCCUUCUUCGUUUUAAGUCUGUCAAGUUAUGGAAUCUCCCAUAGUUAUUGCCGCAUGUAGAGCAGUUCUACCAUUAGGGCCGCCAUAGUCCACUGAAACGCAUUUUCCUAUGAUUUCAUCGACUACCUUUCCUCGUUCUUCGCUCCCCCAUGGGAUGAUGGAAGCAGCAAUAUAAAGUGGAGUUUCUCCAUGAACAUUGGCGGGAUAUGAAAACUGACGGUCCUCUUUAGUCAAUAUUUUCACCACACGGCUCUGGCUAUUUCGAGCUGCCUCGUGCAACGCUGUAUCUCCUUCUCCAUUGGUCAUCCUCAACAUCAUUUUAGCUUUAGUUAUUCUGCUCUCCGGAUCUGAAGGUAGAGCUUUUGCACGGUGAAAGAGGAGUUCUACCACAUUGGAAUGGCCAUAUCUUGCUGCCAAAUGGAGGGGGGGUUUCUCCUUUUUUAUUGGCUUGGAAUAACAGUGGUGGACACCUUUCAAGAAUUUUAUCAACAAAAUAAGUGGAUUCCGGUUCCGUUGUUUGGUUUCUUAAGUAGACAUGAAGAAUGGUGUUCUCGUCUGGAGUCAAUAACUGAUUGAGGCAGGUUUGACAAUUCUCAAAGGGACCGAUAUUGCCUGCUUCUGCAGCUUUGAACAAGAAAGGAUCCAUAAAUGAAAUGUAAACAAAUGAAGGGGAGGAGAAAGUACUGUGGAACAAAGGGUCCACUCAACUGAUCACAAGCUGCUGAUUUCUUUGGUUUUUUUACAAAAGAGAAAGCAUGAUAUAUGAAUCAUGUUUAGGACCUUUUUAAAAUCAUUGCCAUAUAUAUAUAAGAUUUGGGGUUCUAACAAGAUAUUCAUGUUAAUCACAAAUAGAAUCAUAAUGCAAAUAACUUCAUCUUUUAGGUGAUUGUUGAGCAAAAUGGCUAUGGAUGGAGUUGGCUAUUAACAAGAAGUGGAAGUGUAUUUCCCACAAUUAUUACAAUAUUUCUUCAAGCCAAAAUGAACUUGCUGACAAAUUAGUAAGUAACUGGCAGCUGUCAUCAAAAUAGAGUAUUAAUAAGAACAGGGGAAUUGGUACCCGUCGCCAGAGAAAGGCCAGAAGAGUGGGGGGGACGAACGAACGAGAAGAAGAGGACAUGAGUGGAGGAACGAACAAAGAAAACCAGGAAGACAGAAAAAACGAACAGAGACUCAGAAACGAAAACAAAGACCGAGAGAAAGACGAGAGGGCGAAGAAGAAAAACACAGAGGACAAACAAGAAACAGAGAGCAGAGGAGAAAGGCAGAAGGGGAGAGACCGAGAGAGAAUUAAAAGAAGUAAGACCAGAAGAGAAGCACGCGAAACACAGAAGUACAGGGAAGAAAGUAGCUUUGGCCAGCCAUUACACCUUCGCCAUCGUCUUCGUCCCCAAGCAGCACCAGAAAAACAUAGAGGACAAACAAGAAACAGAGAGCAGAGGAGAGAGGCAGAAGGGGAGAGAACCCAGAGAGAAAAGAAGCAAGACCAGAAGAGAGCGCACGAAAAACAGAAGCAGAGGGAAGAGAGUAGCUUUAGCCAGCCAGUACACAUCCGCCAUUAUUAAUAUUUAAUAAUAAUAUUAAAUGUCGCCACGAUCUCGAUUGCCUCAAAAGACAGCUUUCCUGUUUACACUACAAGGAAGGUUAUGUCUCGCUAAAUUAACUCAUAAUUAAAAAACCAAAAACCUUAGGCCACAAGCUACGAAGCACCAAACCAAAAAUAAAAUACAAAUAAUCAAAAUGAAUAUAUGACAAUUAGCUCUUUUGUUUAUUGAAGGCAAGAGGCCCUUUUCCUUAAUUGAAGCAUCAUUUAAUUGAUAGUUGAUUUCUUGUGCUUCUGUCAGUUGUGGGUUCCGGUCGCCGUUAGACUCUAAGAUCUAAAGCAAAAUUACUGCGACCCCUUCUGGAUGACAUUGGUUGAUGUAUGGUCCAUCUGCAGUGGCACAAAAGCAAUGUAUUAUAGAGGGGAUUAAUUAAUAUAUCGGCUGAGUAGCCGAGAGAGACAUUAACACACACGUACUGCAGCAAUAUUUUCUGAAUGGAGGAGGGCGGCAAGAACACUUUGCCAACAACAAUCCUUUACAUGAUUAUGGCAGGAACGGCUUUUUUUCCACUCAUGAUCACCUGUAAUUGCAGUACGUCGAUGAGUUAGUACACUUCAUAUAAUUAAUUAAAUAGUUUGAUUAAUGGCAGAAAGUUAAUACAGACACAACGCCCAUCAAAACCUAAUGCAUCAGGUCUUGGUUUAAAACACAAAUUCUUGUUAGCAAAAAUUGCUAGGAUUUAUAAAUGUUUUUGUUUGUAAAUGGGCAUUGUAUAUUUCUCAAUUUUUCUAAAAAAAACUGAAGAGGACUAAAAGCUAUUUCCAAGUGCUCCACUAUAAGAGAAAAAUUUGAAAAAAAAAAUGUUAAGAGAAUAAGAAUUAAAAGUGAAUUAUCAUAUUUGAAGAAAUUUUAAUUGAAAAUCGAUUAACUUGCUAAUUUCAAUUGUAUUGUAUGUGAUAAGGAUAGACCUAAAUUUGCUUCAUACGUAUGUGUUAUUGACCGGAACAGUUUGAUUGGAUUAAAACGAAACAUGUGAAAGUAAACACGACUAAUUAAAUUAAAUAAAAUCAACUAAGAAAAAUAUUUUAUGGAUAAUAGUAAAUGCUAAUAUAAAUCAAGUCAAAAUCUAAAUUAAAUAUAAUUAUAAAAAAACUUAAAAUCACUUAUAUAAAAUUUAAAAAUAUAUUUAUGGUUUUAAAUGAGAAAUGGAAUAAAAAGGGAGGGACAUAUACCAGAGCAAAGAAUUUUUCCCCUUCAAAAUUUCUUUAUCCCCUUACCUUUCCUCCACGAAAUGAGGGUUAAAUGAUAACCUCGUUAAAAUGAUUCUCUCUUUCUAAAUUUGUACCAAACAUGAGGGAUGAAAAUUGAAAGUAGGGAACCUCUCUUACCCUUAACCAAAAUUAACCUAAAAACCAAGUUUCUUGUUUGGUUCACUUUUUUUUUUUUUUUAAUUUUAAUGUAAAACCAAACGAUAACUUUUAUUUUCUAUUUUAAAAAAUAGAAACACAAAAAACAAAAAAAUAAAUCAAGUAAAGGCAUCCUAGAAGUCAAAACCUCAAGAACAACAACACUGACAGGAAGAGCAAUAAUUAAAGAGCAUAUUUGCUGACUACGUACAGAGAUGAUCACAUAUUAUUAUUUUUUUUAAAAAGGAUGUUUACUUUUUGUAGUACUUUAUAUAAAUCUAUCUAUAACUCCUCCUCUUUUUUUUUAACAUGCAUCAAAACAAGAGUUAUUAAAAUUCGAGCUUUGAUUUAAUUAUUUUUUGUUCAGAGAUAAUGAUGUAUAAACUGAAGUCGCUGUAAAUGAAGAGGGGAUAACUUCAGAUAUUUCACCAACUCAGAUUUUAUACAUGGGAUCGUACCAUGUGCUGUAUCACCAGGCAAUUGGGAUGGCCGACUGGUAGGUGUUGUAGACAAUGUUGCUGGUGAAGAAGUUUUCGCUGUUGCUGCUGUUAGCGGCCGCGUCAGUGAUAGAUGAUGGCUUUGUCGUUUCAACAAGUGAAGUAAUGGUACCAAAACUAAUUAGAAAACCCGCAGUACUACUCGAAGAUGCUGAAGGGUCUGAAAUAUGAGUUGACGUUUUCGUUCCAUUGUUUUUAGAAGGUUGAGUUUGUGAAGAUGAGAAUAUGUCUGGGGUUACAGAUGGUUGAAUUUGUGAUGUUGGUGACAGUGGCAGCAGCUGUUGUGAAGGUUGAGAUGGCGGCUGUUGUGAAUGUUGAGAUGGCGGCUGUUUUGAAGGUUGAGAUGCAUUGUUGUUCAUCGACUCUUUGUUAUUACGCGUAUCCCGGAAGGUUGAGAAUAUGUCUGGUUUUUCUCCCUGAUGAUCAGGGGUUACAGAUGGUUGAAUUUGUGAUGUUGGUGCUGUGGCCGCAGCUGUUGUGAAGGUUGAGAUGCGGCGUUGUUCAUCGACCUUUGUUAUCACGCUUAUCCCGGAAGGUAUUGGGUGGAAGAGGAGGAAAGUCUCGUGGAGACUCGAUAGCAUAAUUUUUAUAUGGAGGCUUCCUAGCAAAGUUAUCAUGGUGGGAAGGUACUUUUGAUCUUGAAGAUGGAUUAUUGUGAUACCAAUUUGUGUUAGGAGAGUAAUUGGCAGCACUCUCGCGCACCAUUAUGACCAUGUUCACCGUCUCAAAACAAUCCAGCCUUUUUUAGAUAGGACAUAUUUGGGAUGCUAAUACCUUUUAUUUAUGCAAUCAGUCCUCGUACACAAUCUCUUAAACCAGUUAUGAUUUCUAAUGACUAAAAUACUAGAUGGCGACUCUCAUUUUAUUUUUCCACUCAUAAAAGAUAAGAAUUCUUUGUCUUCCUACACAUUUGCCAGAUCAAUAGAAAAUAAUAAUUUUGAGGGUGGAUGCUUUCGUCGGGACACCGUGUUAAAAAUUAUACAAAACACAUAUGCUAAUCAUCCGCUGCAGAUAAAGGAAACCAUGUAUGGUGCAUACAUAUCCUCUGAAGACUCCCUGUCAACAUACAAUUCCAGCUGAAACAAACUUCUAGUCAUUGUAUUUACAUUACAUACAACUUGUAAUCUAUCCUAUAAAAAGGAACUCACAUUAAUAAAGAAAGUAUGUUCAACAAUUUUCUAUAUGGUAUCAGAGCCUACCUUCUCUCACGAGACUCUCCAAUAUGGCCUCAACUAAAGAUGCUGUCAUCAUAAACUCUGAAACUCAUAGCAAUGGUGAUACUCACCUCAUUGCAUUCAAUGCUAGUUCUCAACUUCCCCUGAAACUGACACCCUCAAAUUUUCCCUCCUGGCGUGCUCAACUAAUGUCCUUGCUAAUAGGUUACAACCUACAAGGACAUAUUGAUCGAACCACUAGUUGUACAUCUCAAACAUUACAUGAUCCAAAUACUGGAUUAUCUACUGCAGGUGAUUCAAAUCCUGCUUUUUGGCGUUGGUUUCGGCAAGAUAACUUGCUCCUUCAUGCAAUCCUUGCAUCUGUUUCAGAACCAGUUUUGCCACUAAUCGCCACUUCCACCACUGCUCGUGAUGCAUGGGUAAAAAUACAACGAUUGUAUGCAAAUCGAUCAUGCACGCGUGUCAUGCAACUCAAGGAAGAGUUGACACUUAUACAAAGAGGAAGCCAACCAGUUUCAGAUUACCUCAACACUGUCAAAAGGCUAGUUGAUGAACUCACUGUCAUUGAUACUCCCAUAUGCAUAGAUGGCAUUACGUUAUAUAUUCUCAAUGGAAUAGGAGCAGAAUUUCGUGAUAUAGCAACCAUGAUACGAACCAGAGAAACAUCCCUCACAUUUGAGGAACUCCAUGAUGUAUUAAUCAGUCAUGAAAAUUAUCUCAAGCAUAUUGAUGCCUCCAACUCCAGAUUAAUAGCCACUGUUAAUGCAACACAACACAGCAGAUACUUCAAACCAGGACGCUCUUCAAACCCUCCUACUGGUUACUACAGGUCCAACCAACGGAGAUACGUCCCCAGAGACAAAUCCAGUCAGCCUCCACUAAUUUGUCAACUAUGUGAUACCAAAGGACACUCAGCCAAAACAUUGUUGCUACCCAAUUUUUGACCCUUGUUUUUGAUAUGUUUUCAAAAAAUCUAAAAAAUUGAGAAAAACAAAGAAAAUCCAAAAAAUAUGUUUUUUAAUAUAUUUUUGUCAUUUUAGCAUUUUCAACGUCGUCUAAAAAGAAUUUAAAUUGUUAAAAUAUUUUCAAACGCGUUCGACUUUUCACGCGUCAUUUUUAAAAUCAUUGAUUUUCCGCAUUUGAGUCGACGUUGAUAUUGCUCGUUUUCAAAAAAUACAAAAAAUAAGAAAAAUCUAAAUUUACAAAAAAAAAGAAGUUGAGGGACCAAGUCGAAAGACCUAGCAACAUUUUUGCCUAUAAAUACCAUGCUAAACUGAUUUUUAAGGGGGGGGGUAAUUUUGACACUUUUAGAAGAAAAAAAUACAGAAACCCUAACCCUAAAAAAAAAAAAACUUUUUCUUUCACACCAGCCGCCCCCCUGGUUUUCAUUUUUGAUCCCCCGGAGUUGCUCCUCGGUUUGAUUUUUCUGACCCAAAAAAAACCGGCCACCCGAACCAGCCUCCCCCUGUUUUCAUCUUCUUCUCCGCCGUUCCCUUUCUCUCGGCCACAAACAAAUCCAAAACGCAGCCCCUUUUCUUUCCAUUUCUUCUCCCUCACCGGACCCAAACCAGCCUGCCAAGACAGCUCCCUCUCAGUCGUUCCUCCUUCUUCAUCGUCAGCGACCCGCAACCAUCAAGGACUCAGCUCGGACUGACCUCCUUCUCAGCCACCAUGAGCUGACCACCAUCUCUUCUCCGUUCAGCCUCCAACAGCAGCAGCGCCGUCCUCGGCAGCGGCCACAGACCCAGCUCACCGCCUCCAGCAGCGGCACGCCCACAGAUCGCGAUCUGUUCGCUCCUCCGCCUCAUCAUCAACAGCGCCUUCUUCCUCUCCGCAGUGGCCACCGCAGCCGACCAUCACCGGAUCUGCAACCGGCGAAGGAAGAGAGCAGACCUGCAAAAAAAAAAAAACAGAUCUAAAAAACGAAACAAACAAACAAAAAGUUAAAAUCGACUGCCGUGUGUGUUUCUUCUCUUGUUCUGCAGGUCGCCGGUGGUUUAGGAAGACAAGGGAGAAGAAGCCGGUCCGAAGCCUCCAUGUUUCUGGUUUUUUUCCGUGGUGGCGCGUGAACCCACGCGCCGCCAGUGGCGGGGGUGCGUGAGGUCCACGCGCCGGAACUAUUCAUUCAUCCCCAGAAGUCUUUCCGUACAAAUUCGGGAGUUUUGAGGGACCAUUUUGUAAAUUUUAAAGUUUUAAUGUAAUUUUUGUUUAUUUAUUUUAAAUUUGUAAUAUGUGAAUGUAAAAGAAAAAAAAAGAAGAAAAAAAAAAGAAAAUAAUAAUAACAAAGGGGAUGUGUGUGUUGGUGUAUUUUUAUUUAUUUAUUUUGAAUUUGUAUUUGUAUUUGUAAAAGAAAAGGAAAAGAAAAGAAAAAGAAAAGAAAAGAAUAAAAAUAGUGAAAGUGUAUGUGUGUGUUUGUAUUUUGUUUUAUUUAUUUGUAUAUAUUUUUAAUGAUAAAAUUGCAAAUAUAUUAAAGAAGAAUUUAAUAUUUUGAUUGGAUCACGGUUAAGAAUUAUUAACUUAUACGUAAGUGAUAUUUCUAAUUUCCGAUGAAAAAAACAAUUAUUAAAACUUCUUUAACACGUGUAUGUGUGUGUUUGUAUUUUAUUUUAUUUAUUUGUAUAUAUUUUUUAAGGAUGAAAUUGCAAAAUACAUUAAAGAAGAAUUUAAUAUUUUGAUCGGAUCACGGUUAAGAAUUAUUAACUUAUACGUAAGUGAUAUUUCUAAUUUCCGAAGAAAAGACAAUUAUUAAAACUUCUUUAACACGUCAAAGCCACGAAGCAGCUUACCUCAGGUAGGGUGCGUUAGGGGUGCUAAUACCUUCCCUAACCACAACCAGUCCCUUACCCGCGAAUCUCUGACAAGACCAGUAUAUCCGGUUUCCUAGUAGCCCGCAAUCAAUUACUAGGUGGCGACUCCAACGUAUGAAUUCAAAGCAAACACAACAACGAGACUUAAAUCGCCAGCCGAUGCCGCGCGCUGAUUUUUUUUUGGGGUGCGACAAACAUGUCGUAAGGUAUCAAGGCCAAAAACUGCAAAUUGUGCAGCUACAAAUGGCACACAGGAGAAGAAAUGGCUCAUGGACUCAACAGCAUCACAUCACAUCACCUCUGAUCUUACAAACCUCUCAAUUCACUCUGAAUACGAUGGAACAGAUGAAGUAGUCAUCGGUGAUGGCUCAGGUUUGAAAGUAACACAUGUUGGCUCCAUGUCAUUGAGCUCAUUGUCAAAAUCCUUUCUUUUGCAUAAUACUCUUUGUGUCCCAGAUAUACACAAGAAUUUAGUCUCUGUUCAUAACUUUACCCGUUCAAAUAAUGUCUACAUAGAAUUUCAUCCAUUCUAUUUUCUUGUGAAGGAUCGGAACACGGGGACAACAAUACUUCGCGGUGAUUGCCAGGAUGGUGUCUAUCCACUGCCACAACUAUCAUCAAUCAAGAAGCCUUCAGCACUUGCACUUGUUGGUGAAAGAACCUCCCAUGAUCGCUGACACACACGACUUGGUCACCCCUCCACCAAAAUCUAUCGUUCUCUAAUCAGUCGGUUUUCCCUUCCAGUUCUAGGCUCCACCCAAACUUUGUCAUCUCUGUGUUCAGCUUGUCAAUGCAAUAAAAGUCAUCAAUUAUCGUUUUCCAAAACAUCACUCACAAGCACACAUCCUCUACAAUAUAUCUACACAGAUAUAUGGGGACCAGUAGCUUCAACCUCCAUCGAUGGUUAUCGAUAUUAUGUUCUAUUUGUGGACCACUUCACAAAGUACUGCUGGUUCUUUCCAAUUCAUCACAAAAAUGAUGUUCAUCCCAUUUUCAUUCAAUUAAAAGGAUUUGUUGAAAAACAGUUUGGUUUUCAAGUUAAAAAUCUAUACUCUGACAAUGGUGGUGAGUACCAGAGUUUACGUCAGUAUCUAUCAGACCAGUCCAUAAACAUGCUCACCACUGCUCCACACACACCACAACAAAAUGGGACAAGUGAACGACGACAUCGUCACAUUGUUGAGACAGGUCUCACAUUGCUUCAUCAAGCACAUCUUCUAGUGUCCUACUGGACACAUGCCUUUCAAACUACAGUUUAUCUAAUUAACCGCAUGCCAACUUCAAUUCUUCAAAACAAAAGUCUGUUUGAAAGCAUCUUUGGUCGUCAACCAAAUUAUCACAAACUGCGCACCUUUGGGUGCCAGUGUUUUCCAUGGCUCAAACCUUACAAUCACAACAAGCUGCAACCAAAGUCCAAAGCAUGCAUUUUUCUUGGUUACUCAAGCACUCAAAACACAUAUAAAUGCAUGGACAUUCACUCAUCCCGGAUUUACAUCUCAAAACAUGUUGUCUUUGAUGAAACUGUUUUUCCCUACUCUGCCUCCACUAGUGUGUCAUCACCAUCACAUGCAGGGAAUCCCACAAUCAUCUCUACCAUCCCGGUGGUUCCACCCUCAAGAUAGAUACCAUCCAGGCAAUCAUCAGAGACACCUGUUGCUCCUGUUGUUCCUCCAACUUCACCACCAACACAGAUUCCUGAUCCACCCCCUGCACCAUCAGAAAACAGGUUAGUAAUACAGCCACCAUUGUCACAAUCACCCACAAGACAACAUAACAUGAUCACAAGAUCCAUGAACAACAUCUAUAAGCCAAAACAAAUCCACCUCACCACCAAACACCCCCUCCCACAACCCAUAGAACCAACAUGUGUCUCUCAAGCCCUGAAAGAUAAAAAAUGGCGACAUGCCAUGUCUGAAGAGUUCAACGCCUUGGUUAAACAUGGCACCUGGGAACUGGUUCCAUCCAACCCAUCCAUCACUCCUGUAGGUUGCAGGUGGCUCUUUCGCAUUAAACACAAUGCUGAUGGCACAAUAUCAAGAUACAAAGCACGUCUGGUAGCUAAAGGAUAUCAUCAACGUCCUGGCCUUGAUUACAAUGAGACCUUCAGUCCAGUCGUCAAACCAGUAACAAUCAGAACUGUGUUAUCCAUUGCUUUUCAACAUCGCUGGUGCAUGAAACAACUGGACGUAAAUAAUGCAUUCCUUCAUGGGUCCCUACAAGAAGAUGUUUACAUGAUUCAGCCCCCAGGAUUUGUCGACUCCACAGUGCCCACCCACAUCUGCAAACUACACAAAUCCAUCUACGGCUUAAAACAGGCACCACGUGCCUGGUAUGACAAACUCAGCUCCUUUCUUCUGACACUGGGAUUCAAGCAAUCAAAGUCUGACUCUUCCUUGUUUAUCUACUCAAAGCAGGACAUCAUCUUAUUUCUACUGGUAUAUGUUGAUGAUGUGUUACUCACAGGUACUGAUUCCCAGGUUAUGGCCGACAUAAUACGUCAACUUGGUGCCCAAGUCUCACUAAAGGACCUUGGUGACCUGCACUAUUUUAUUGGGAUCGAAGUGCAGCCAACUCAUGAGGGAAUCUUCCUAUCUCAACAAAAAUACAUCAGAGAUCUUCUCAAGAGAACUAACAUGGAAGGAGCCAGACCAAUUCACACACCUAUGUCCACCAAACCAACACUUCAACUCAAUGAUGGUCAUCCCCUUGCAGACCAGAAACAAUAUCGAAGUGUCAUAGGAGCCCUACAGUACCUAGCCAUCACCAGACCAGACAUCGUUUUUGCUGUGAAUAAACUUGCUCAAUUCAUGCACCAACCCAGUCAACUUCACUGGACUUCAGCAAAACGGGUACUUCGGUAUCUCAAAGGCACAAUCACUCAUGGGAUAUCAUUAACACCCUCUGUCAAUCCUCAUCUCUCCGGAUACUCAGAUGCAGACUGGGGCACUGAUCCAGACAACAGACACUCUACCUCUGCCUAUCUCAUAUUCUUUGGCAACUGUCCAAUCUCAUGGAGCACAAGGAAACAACAUUCAGUUGCCAGAUCCUCCACAGAGGCCGAAUAUAGGGCCCUAGCCUCAACAACUUCAGAACUCAUAUGGAUUCACAAUUUACUUCAUGAACUGGGAAUCAAGAUGUCCCAACGUCCUAGCAUAUUCUGUGAUAACAUUGGAGCUACUCAACUGAGUCAAAAUCCAGUACUGCACUCUCGCAUGAAACACAUCGCCAUUGAUCUGCACUUUGUUCGUGAUCUGGUAAAGAAAGGCGUUUUAGAUGUCUCCCAUGUCAGUACCCAUGACCAACUUGCUGACUUCCUCACUAAACCCCUUCCACGUAUCAAGUUUCAAGCUAUGGUAAACAAGAUAGGCUUACUCAUUAGCCCGCCUAUCUUGAGGGAGCGUGUUAAAGAUUAUACAAAACACACAUGCUAAUCAUCCGUUGCAUAUAAAGGAAACCAUGUAUGGUGCAUACAUAUCAUCUGAAGACUCCCUGUCAACAUACAAUUCCAGCUGAAACAAACUUCUAGUCAUUGUAUUUACAUUACAUACAACUUGUAAUCUAUCCUAUGAAAAGGAACUCACAUUAAUAAAGAAAGUAUGUUCAGCAGUUUUCUAUACACCACACACCUACGAUAGUUACGAAGAUUGUGUACUCCCAUGAAUUCUCCGCUUUGUAUGGUAAAGUGUAAGAGUUAGGCUUAAAGCCACGACUUGAGGUAUACUUGUAUGGUAACACGAUAACAAUGACUUGAAUAGCUUAACGCGUACUGUCGGACCAAAUUAGUUUUUUACGAAUCUCAUUUCCUUAUUAAGUAUUUAGAAUCCAAAAAAGAAAAAACUAAUUAUUUGAUCCAAUGUUAUGUGUUGGGUUGUCCAAGUUAUUGUUAAGAUAAGAUCAUGCAAUUAAAUCUCAUGCUGAAUGGAAGUUGUUAAAUGUUAACAAGAGACUCAUAACAGUUGAAUUUCAUAUGUGAGUAAGGAGUUUUGUAGCAAAUUUUGAUAUGAUCAAAUACAAUGAUGAAUUUAUAUCUCAAUAGCCUGGAUUUAUGAUUUAAAGAAAGCAUCCAUCAACGUGUAUAAAUCCUUACGUGCAUCUCAUGUGAAGACAAAGGUGAUCUCAAGUGCAGAUUCUCCCCAAUACAUAUAUACGAGGUACAGCUUCUUAAAGACAAUCAGACCACAGAUGAGUUCUGUUGGUUGUAAUAUUGGAUUUUGGAACCGAACUAUGUAGAGAUGUCCAAGGACUGGCUUCCUGAGAAGUUUGAGACGGAAAUGGGGCUGAUGAAGUUCUUGAUGAAGAAUAUACCUAUUUCUUGGAGGAAAUAAUCAUAUGUACAUCAACAGUAGAGAGAAUCUUGAACGGAAGAAAAAGAGAGUAAAUAUUUAUAUCUUCGAAAACAUGUUCAAGUGCCCUUCUGCCGCACAUAAUUCUGAUCCUGAUGCCAAAAUCGUUUCCUUUUAAGAAUUAGUUUUGAUUUUUUUUUUUUAUUUUGGGUGAAAACUGAAAUACAUGAAAGAUUGUCUGUAAGGUUUUCGUAUAUUUAGACACAUAUCAGAAGAUUAUUUUGCUAAUUAUCUUGAUCUAAUUUCUUUAUUUUUUGUAAUUAGGUUUUGUUUUUCGAUUCAUAAAUGUUUUCUAUUAUGAUAUAUUUUUAAGAAAACAGAAAAUAAAAUAAAAAUAUAUUAACUUGUAAAUUUUCACUAAUAUAUUCUUGUUAGUACUCACAAAAUUAAAUAGAUUCAAUUAGAGGAAAUUCAGCAUAUAAUUUAUAUUGUUUUUUUUAACUAAUUACUGGUAUAACAAUCAAACACUAAUUCGAAUUAAAAUAAAAUAAAAUCAGUGACAUUACUUCUUCAUGAGAGAAUGAAAAGAACAGGAUCCGAUGGAAUCGCUAUAUAUCAUGUGAAGUUUACAAUUUCCACCAACGGUCAAGUGACAUGGUUAAUCAUACUCUUUUAAGCAUAUUAAUUGUAAACUUGCUUUGCACUUCUAUAUUAUGUAAUUAUUUAUUUUUGUAAUAUUUAUUAAUACCAGGCUGCAAAGUCAAUGCUCAGAGGAGAAUGAUUAACUACGUGCACGCCCUUGCAUUAUGAAUUUGUCUAUGACGACGUCCUCUUUAACAUGAUAGAGUGUAAUUUUCUUAGAUAAUUAAUUAAUUAUCUUGGUCUUUCCUUCAAGAUCUAACAUCCCAUUUGCAAAAUAAUUAUAUGAAAAGAAAGUCGGUCCAAUAUUAAACUAUAUAAUAAGUUACAAGUCCAAUCAUUUCCCAUUAUUUUAUCAAAUUACAUGUUCUAUUUCUAGAGAGCAUAUAUAUAUAGCACCGUGUUAGACAUAUUCAUACUAUCAUACACUUCAAUUCAAUCGUUCUUCUCUACAGUCAAAUUCAGGCUUCAGCAACAAAAGUUACAAUGGCGGUAAGCGUGUCUAGAUGUAGUGGAUGAAAUUAUAUAACCGUAGGUUAAUUAAUAAGAGUCUUCUAUUUAUUAAUAUUUUCUCCUAUCAUAUUACAACUGAAAGGAAAGAAUGGCACAAUUGUAUUGAAAAUUUUCAUUGUAUUUUACUCAGAUCAUAGAAAUGAGAGUGCAUAUGGAUUGUGCUAGAUGCGAGAGCAAGGUGAAAAAUUCUCUGGAAAAAGUCAAAGGUAAGAAAUUGGUCCACUAAAAACUUUCAUGCAUGCUCCUACAUAAAUCUCCAAUGUUCUUGAGAAACAUAAUCUAAAUGUUGUUCCUUCCUACAUAAAUCUCCAGUAUUUAUGUAAUAAGUACUUGUUGCUUUCACAGUUUGCUUCCUCUUCAAGAAAGGAGAUUACAUUAUGUUAGGAUACUGGCAUGCAAAUCUGACAAAACAAAAGAUAAAGGAUAGGAUAAAAUUAGAAAUGAGACACAAGAAUUUACUUGGUUCACCCAAUUAGGCUACGUUCACGGGCAAGUAUAGAAGGAUUUUACUAAGUAAUAUGAGAAUUACAACCUCUCUCUAAUAAUAGGAGAACAACUGAAAUCUUUUUAUUAUUAGGAGAAAACACCUCACUUACUCUCUCACAAAUACCUCACAAUUUUGUGGGAUUACUUUCCCUCUCUCACUCUCACUCUCCUCUUGCUCUCUCUUAUUUUUUCUUGUGAUGCAUAUGAGGCAAGGAAUGCAAUGGCAUCCUUGCCUUUGCCUUGCAAAAGGCAAGAGUAAGGCAAGUGGGCAAGUGGCAAAAGGGUACCAAUUAUCAAGUGCACAUUCAUUUUCCACUUUGCCAACAAUGUUUAGCUGGCUUCACACAUGGAAUCACAGAAAGCAUCUUUUCGGAGUCUGUCGCAUGAGCUGAAGACUAUCAAAGUACACAAUAUUAUUGGUUGCAACUUCAAUUUGUAAUCAAAAUAUUUAGAGAUGGAUGGAGACUGGCUUACUAAGAAGUUUGAGAAGGAAAUGGAGCUGGUGAUGUCAACAAAAGAGAGGAUUUUGAAGGGGAAAAAGGAGAGUGAUGUUCAACAUGUUCGAAAACCUGUUUUAAGUGCCACAGAGCUUCUCCUCAUGCCGAAUUCUUAUUCUUAUAGAUUUCUCUUGUCAUUUCCGGUUCUCUAAGCAUUCAAUGUAUCUCUGUUAACUCUUGCUUAUAAAUUGAUAUUUGAUACAACUGGAUGAUGUCUACUUUGUAUUGAUUUUUAUUUUCAUUUUUCUUGGUGAACAUUACUACCGAUCCUUGAAUUCUAAAAUCUAGAUUUUCCAUAGAAUUCAAUUCAAAUGGCAUCUUAAAUUCCCAUACCAUGUUUACCAAGUUGCGUAAGGUGUUUGUUAUUCCCUAUAGAGCAUGGUUGUCUCUAUGUUUCGUCAGUAAUGGACUACCUACCGAGAGAUCAUGAUGAAGCAUACAAUUUUUGUGCCUUUCUUCUUCAAAAAUUUGAAAGAUGCUCAAUCAACCACAUUCGCUAGAUGUUUUACAUUGCCAUUCUUUUGUCAGCUCAAACACUUUUAAGAUGCCUAAAUUCGUGUAAUUUUUCACUGUCCCUGCAACAAUUCAUGAGUACAAAAACUAGCUAGAUGUAUUCCCAAGCAUGCGUCGAGGAAGUAAAAUUUUAUCAGUUCACAAACUGCCAAAUACUUAUAACGGGCUUGCAGAUUUUGAGUCCAUACAAGGAUGUUUAGGAUUCGAGUAACACAAAACUUACUCUGUGGCAGCAGAGUUAUUCAGCUGCAUCAUUUUUCACCUCAAGUCCGGCACUGGCUUCACGGUCUAAUGAAGCAUCUGUUCUCUUAUUUUUUUGGACCAUCUUCUGAGUAACCAGAAGCUGAAGCGAAUUAAGUCGACCGAUACUACAAUUACUAUUCCCAAUAACGCGCUACGGGUGAUAGACACGCUAGUCGGACCAAUAAGAAGAACCCCAGAAAUAUAAUUUGCCACCAUACAACGCAAAGCUAGCCCCAGUAAUGACUUGAGUGGAUACUCCUGAAUAAUUAAAUUGAUCACCACAAUCGACGCAAAAAAGCCUAUAGUGUUGGAAGCCAUGAAGAAAAUAAACUCACGCCCAUUUCCUGAAGCCAUCCAAGCAUAAUAGUAAAACGUCCCAUCUUCAAGUUCUUCGGUGCGAAUGCCAGCAGGAGGGUUUAAGAUGGCUUGGUAUGCCAUACCUGCAAUAAGUACUGCCACAACCAACAAUACGUUGUGUUGCUGGGGGAGCCUGUUGAACUUCCUUAGCUAGUUUCUUGUAGUGCUUCACUGGAUUUAAAUGUUUAGCCACCUUAAGUAAGAAAUGCUCUGAAUUUUGACUCAAUGAUUCUGAUACGGUGCUAGAGAUUCGAGUAACUUGAACAUCAACAACAGUUCCAAGUUCCCUUGCUCUUAAUGCUCCAGCACCGUGAAGCAAUUCCCUGAGCAUGAAAUCACCAGCGUCAGCCUGCAUUUUUUGUGAGACAUCUAACAUGUCCCUAGCAGUUAAUCCAAUCUUGUUGACGACAUUCACAUUGAUUGUACCUAUGUCAAUACCUUGACCGCCAAGAAGUGAUUUCAGGGUCUGUAACAUAAGAAAAGAAAAGAGAUUACGUAAAAACUUCUUUUUCCGUUGUGUAAUCAAAGAUUACUUAAAAAUUAAACAUAAUACUAAUCCAGAACUCUGAUGCUCCGAAAGCAUCUGGAUCAACACGACAUGACAUAGCUGGUAUGAAUAUGAAAUACGGGUCAGACAUCCCAAAAACUCCACAUAUUUGAAGGAGAAAAGUAAUGGGAACAUGGGAAGCAUGAUGAAAUACAAAUCUUAUUCGUAUUACAUUAAUUACUCCUUUAAAUAGUAAGUCCAUAUAGAUUUAUACUUAGAUUUACAAUACUUUAUCUAUAAUAAUCUAGGAUAAUUCAAAAGACUUAAAAGAUAAAUACAUCUUGGAUAGUUACAUGCAUAUAUCUAGAACUAAAAUUUACUUUAAAUAAAAACUUCAAAAUUAUUUCCAACACUCCUUAACUUUGAAACUCUCACAUAAAUUUGAAUUUUGAUUGAAAACCAUCUUGUCAUGACUAGCUAAUGGCACCUCAUUGCCAUCUUUUCAAUCUUUCUUUCCAUAAAAAUGGUCUAUAUGAACAUGGUUGUUCCUAGCCAUUUUUCUCCUUUCAUGGUUGCCACCAUAUUUCUCUAACCAAACACUUCUUUUAAUAUUUGGCUCACUGUAUUUUAGUCCGGCUGCUGUCUUCUUCUUAUCAUGGCUCUUUAGCCACUUCUCAUGUCAUGUAAGAAGAGUUCUCUAGAUCUCUCCUCGGCCUCUCUUGUACAACAUCUUAUCUUUCGUUGCAAGAGGUUUUAGGUGUUUUUUUUUUACUAUUUUUUUAUGCAAGGCUAGCUAUGAACCUGUCCUCGACUCUAAAUCUAAAUAUCCUAUAAAUAACUAUGUAUCCUACCAUAGAUUAUCAAAGAAAAGCAUGACAUUUAUGAAUCAAUUAUAUGUUAUAUCUAUUCCUAACAAUGUGCAACUAUUUCUAACAAUGUGCAAGAAGCUUUGAAAGAUUUCAGGCGGAGGGAGGCAAUGAAUGAAGAGAUGAAGAGCUUUUGAAAAAACUCAACAUGGAAAGUUGUUGACGAAACUCAAAGAAAGUUACUUGUUGGAUGCAGCUGGGUUUUCAGCAUUAAAUGCAAAGUCGAUGAAACUAUUGAAUGAUGCAAAGCAAGACUUGUCACCAAUGGAUAUACUCAAACAUAUGGAAUUGAUUAUAUGGAGAUAUUCUUAUUAGUGGCCAAAAUUAAUACUGUUCGUAUUUUAUUAUCUCUAGCAGUAAAUCUUGAGUGGCCAAAAUUGAUUGGCCAAAAUUUAAAUGGAAAUCUCCAAGAAAAAGUGUAUAUGGAGUUGUCCCCUCGCUGUAAUCGGUAGACUAAAGGUAAUAAACAAGUUCGUAGGUUGAGAAAAUCCCUAUAUAGUUUGAAGUAGUCUCUUAGAUCAUGGUUUGAAAGGUUCACAAGUUUUAUGAAGUCUGUUGGUUACAAGCAAAGUAACUUAGAUCACACUCUAUUCUUGAAGCAUAAUAAAAACAAAUCACAGCUUUUAUUGUGUACGUUAAUGAUAUGAUAAUGAUUGGAAAUGAUCCUGAAGAAAAGAAAAUACUAUAAGAGCAUCUUACCCAUGACUUUGAGAUGAAAGACCUUAGUGAAUUAAAGUAUUUUCUUAGAAUUUAAGUGUCUAGAUCAAAGAAAGAUAUUUUUCUGUCACCAAAAAAACAUGCCUUAGACUUUCUAAAUGAAACUGGUAUGACAACAUGUAGUCCAACUAACACUCUCGUUGAAGAAAAUUUGAAACUAUAGGUGUAUUCAAAUCAAGUUCCUACUAACAACGAACAUUAUUAAAGGCUGGUUGGAAGAUUAAUAUAUCUUACAUGUACUCUGCCUAAUGUAGCUUAUGUGUUGAUUAUGGUUAGUCAAUUUAUACACUCCCUAAGUGAAGAAUAUAUGAAUGUUGUCAUCCGUAUCUUACACUAAGUUAUCUUUAGGAAAGGGAAUUUUAUUCACAAAAGAAGACAAUUUGGAUAUUAAUGACUAUACAAAUGCUAAUUGUUUUGGUCGAUUCAAGAUCGACAUUUUAUAUCUAGCUAUUUCACAUUUGUAGGAGGGAAUUUAGUUAUAUGGCGAAGUAAAAAACAUGAGGCAAUUGCUAGAUCCAGUGCUGAAGCAGAAUACAAAUUAAGAAAUGACUAAGGCAAUAUGCGAAUUGUUGUAGAUUAGAAAUUAGAUGCAAGAUUUACAUACUAAGCAAGUCAGCUCUAUGAAGUUAUAUUGUAAUAACAAGACAACGUGUGAUAUUGCUCAUAAUUUUCUCCAAUAUGAUCAAACUAAACAUGUUAGCAUGAUUAAACUAAACAUAUUGAGGUUAAUAUAUAUUUUAUCAAGGAGAAACCAGAAGAAAAAUUGAUUGAAGUUCUUUAUGUUCGAUCUCAAGACUAGCUUGCUGAUGUGCUGAUCAAGACAGUGACAAACCAAGCAUUUAAUGACUGUCUCAACAAACUAGACAUGGAUGACAUUUAUAAGGGAGUGUUGAUAAUUAUGAGUAAUUAUCUUCAUAUUUUAUCUCUACUGCUAGCUACAGAGAUAUAAUAGAAUUACUAGAAUUCCUGUGAACAUGUGAUUGUAUCUUGAUAGCUAUAGGUUUACAUAUAAUUAGUCAAUCAGCUGUCCUAAACUAUAGGAUAUAAAGAGGGCUUUGUAAAGUGGCUAUUUUAUGCCGUGCUAGAAAGAGGAACAAAUUAUUCUCUUCACAAACUCUGUAUUUAUCACUGUUAUAUGCAUAUAUUUAGAAGAUACUCAGGAGAACUAAAAGAUAAUUUGAAUGAAAAAAUCAAAAUUAAUUUCAACAUGUAAAACACAUAUUUGGUGAGUUUAAAACAGUGUUUCAGUAUCCUAAAUUUAAAAUUUGAUGGCUCUGAUUACGAGCAACAUAAAUUCUCCUUGUUUUGAAGGUUUAACUAAACCAGAUCAAAAUGAAUAGAAAAUAGGAAAUUCAAGUACGAAGGGAAAAUGACCAUCUGGUUUCGUAGUUGAGUUUUAUGUCUACCAUUAUGCAGAAAAUCAUAGUUGUAGAAAUAUAAUUCGAAAUUUAGAAAGUUAUACCCGAUCAUGCCCAUCCCAUGGCACCCCAAAAGAUAAGGAGCAAAGAAAGAAGGGAAAGCGGACUUGCCUGAGUCUGCCUCUUAGCUGUCGCAAGGUGUAAAACAGUAUUGCCAUCUUCGUCCGUCACAUUCAGAAGCUCCUUAAUGUUAUGCGGCUGGAGCACAUCAACCAUGACUUUGAAAGCCUCAAACUGAUUAUUUCUCAAAGCAAGGUGAAAUGCGGUUUCCCCUUUGAAUGUCACAAUGUCCUUGCUUGCAGGACAAAACUUGAGCAAUUCCUAUUGGCAGAUAUAUGUAUAUGAUCUGAUACGAUCCUUCUUUCCUUUUCUGUCAUGAUUCUUAUUCCUUUUAUGAGUUGAUUCCAGUAUUAUUCUUAGGAGAAAUAUCAGGAAUGUAGCUAGAAAUAUUCUUGUAAUCAAUGCACUUUGUGUAUAUUGUCGCACCCCCCCCCCAAAAAAAUUUUUUUCAAAUACGCAUCCAUUGCGGGUUCGACUGGCGAAAAUUUGUUUAUUUUAUUUUUAUUUGGUUCUUUGGAGUCGCCACCUAGUAUUUUGGUCACUAGGAACCUAACUGGUCUCAGAGAUCGGGUACGGAGACUGGUUGCGUAAAGGGAAGGUAUUAGCACCCCAAAUACGCCUUACCUAAGGUAAGCUGCAUUGUUUUAAAUGUCUGAUAAAAAAACUAAAGUGUUAUUGUGUUUUCCUAGUUGUUGGUCUGUCUAUGGUUCAAGAAAAAUCCCCCUCAGUAAGGAGGUCUUUAUCUUAUCGGGUAAAAAUCCUAACCGUUCUAACGUCCAUACCAAAACUUUACUAAUAAUAUUUAGGAAUACGUUUUACGUAUAAAUUCGUAAUCCCAAAUAUUAAAAGAAAACAAAAAGAAUUUUUUAGAAUUUUUGAAAUAUUGGCCUAGUUCUCAUGGCUUGAAUAAAUUGGUUAUUAAAGCCAAAAUGCAUGUUAAUACAUAUAUUGUUUUGCAAAUUUUCUUUGUUGUGUGAAAAUAUGAUGUUAUAAUAUUUAUGAAUAUAUAUUGGAGAGACUAGGCCGUAUUUUAAAACAAAAACAAUUUUUAGAAAAUAUUAUUUUUUAUGCUUUGACGAAAAUCGGGUAUUUUAAUACUGAGCUUGUAUCCUUACGGUAAAAAUACAACCCAAUAUUAAUUCCGCUUUUAAAAAAACAAAAAUGCAGAAAAUCAAUAACAUUUUUAGGGAAUUUUUUAGAAAUUUUUUGAAAGCAAAAACAUUUUUUAUUCUGAAAAUCUUUGAUGUUUUGACGAAAACCGGUAUUUAUAACACUGGUUUUGUAUCUUUACAGUAUAAAAAUACAAACCAAAAUUAAACCAUUUGAUAAAAAUAUGCAGAAAAAUCAACAACAUUUUUAGGGACUUUUUAGAAAUUUUUUUGAAAGCAAAAACAUUUUUUAUUCUGAAAAUCUUUGAUAUUUUGACGAAAACCGGGUAUUUAUAACACUGGUUUUGUAUCUUUACAGUAUAAAAAUACAAACCAGAAUUAAAACAUUUUUGACAAAAAAUAUGCAAAAAAUCACAAUAUUUUUAAAGAUUUUUUUUUUAUAUUUUUUUUUAUAAAUAUAUUUUAUAUAUAUAUAACAUAUAUACACACAUAUAUAUAUAUAUAUAUUAUAAUAAUAUAUAAUAUAUUAUAGGGCUGGGCCGGCCCAAAUAAAUGGGCCAGGCUCAGCCCAAAAAAAAUAAUAAAAGGGGGCGGGCCGGUCUCGGCCCGCAAUGAUAUUGGGCCGGUCUCGGCCCGUAACUAAUGUGGGCCGGUCUCGGCCCGUAACUUCUACAGUCUGGGCCAAGACCGGCCCAGACUUACAAGGCUGGGCCAGCAUCGGGCUGGCCCAGUGCCUUAAAACCCAGCGGGGGGGGGAGAAUUAUUUUUCUCCCCCCCCCGCCUCCUGCAUGCAACAUGCAGGAGGCCAGGCGAAAACAAAAAAAAAAAAAUGCAAAGGGGGAGGGGGUGUGCACCUGGCGUGGAGGCGACCGUUGGGGAGCUGCGGUGUCGUGGCCUCGAGGACGGCGGCGCUGUGGUGUUGCUGCGGCGGAGAGAAAAGAUUUCCUUCCUUCCCCUCUUCUUUUCCUUCCUUUCUCUUUGUUUUCUUUUUUUUUUUUUUUUGUUUUUUCGUUUUAUUCUUUUCUCUUCUCCUCUAUCUCGCUGGUUCUAUCUCUCUCUUCGGUCUCGUCUCUCUCUUUUUUCUUCUCUCUCUCCGGUCCCUCUCUCUCCUCUCGGCCUCUCUCUAUUUAUAAGCAAAAAGGAAACGGUUAGUGCGCCUUCAAUCACGCAACGGCUGGUCGGCCACUCUUGCUUUCGGUGGUGGUGGUGGGGGCGAGGAGAGAGAGAGAGGCGGGAAGUUUUGAAAAAAGAAAAAAAAAUGGUUUCGUCUCUGUUUCCGCGGGGGGAAAGGAAGAAGACGAACAGUGUCGUUCAAAACGACACCGUUCUGUCUUCUUCUUUUUUUUUUUUUUUUUUUUAUUAUAUAUAUAUAUAUGAAACGGCGUCGUUUUGGAUAAAACGCGCCGUUUCAUUUAAACGGGUCAAACUUCAAAACAGUCCUCCAAAUCGGUCCCUGCCCCUCUUGUUGGCCGCCUUUUUCAUUUUGGUCCUUGGCAUCUGAUUUAUGCAAUUUAGCCCUCAAUUGAUUAAUAAACUUUCAAUUUCUUCAAUUAGGCCCCUGAAACGAAAAAUUAGCAGCCCCUCCAUUUACGCGCCUCUUCCAAUUUGGUCCCUGGUUUCGGAUUUUCACAAUUAAGUCCCUAAUUGGCCCUUAAACUUCAAUUUUUAUGCAAUUGAGCCCCUGAUUUGACCCAAUAAAUUCCUAAAAAAUAUAUUUUGGCCCCAGAACUUAAAUUUCUCCAAAUUAAAGCCCAAAUUGACUUAAAAAUCAAUUUUUCUUGGAAUCAAAUCUUCUAUAAAUUCAAAUAAAAAUCCAAUUAAGUCCAUAAAAAUCCAAUUAAGCCCAUAAAAAUCCAAAUUUGGGCUUUUCUCCCUAAAAUUCCAAUUUUUCUUCUCAAUAGGGCUUUCAUCCUUCAAGAAUAUACUGUCAAAAAUUCAAUCCUUGUAUUUUUAAAUUCCUUGACCAAUUUUCUGACUGUUUUCCGGGCGCUUCUGCCUCCGGUUAUUUUUCUAACCUCUUUUGGCUAUUUAUUUUAUUUUUCAGGGGGAUCCAAAAAUGGGUUACAACAUAUAUAAUAUAAUACAAUCUUUCUCUGUUAUUCUUUCCGUGUCUUCUUUUCUUCAUGGUAUCAGAGCUGGUUCAUAUCAACCAGUCUCAUAUAAUAAUUGUUUAGAUGGCUUCUCGUGGAUUGGAGAAUAUUGAAGGUUCUAUUGCUCCUUCGUCAUUCAACCAACACCUGUAUUCUGAUUUGAAUAUUCCUGAUAUGAAUUCAAAUCAACGUCUGUGUUCUGUUCAAUUGAAUGAGUUCAAUUAUCUCCCUUGGUCAAGGGCUGUGUCUUUAGCGCUUGGUGGGAGAUCAAGAAUCGAAUUUAUUGACAAAAGUAUUGCUGCUCCUGAUGUCAACUCUCCGCAGUACAAAUCAUGGUUUGCUAGUGAUUAGAUGGUUCAAUCGUGGCUGCUCAACAUUACGGAACCACACAUUGCUGAAAUCUUCAGCUAUUUUGAAUCUGCUGCAGAUUUAUGGGAUGCAGUCAAAGAAAUGUAUGGAAAUCAGAAUAAUGUUGCCCGUGUGUUUCAGCUCAAGAAAGAUAUUUCAUGCUUGCACCAGGAAGGAAAAUCAUUUGUCCAAUACCUUGGGAAUAUGAAAAACAUGUGGAAUGAAUUGGCAAUCUAUCGACCUCACACCAUAGAUGCUGCAACCUUACUGAAACGAGCUGAAGAAAAUAAAAUCUUCCAACUUUUGGCUAAUUUAUCUCAUGACUAUGAAGAUCUUCGUAGCCGUAUUCUCAUGAACUUUGAAUUACCAUCCUUUGCAAAUGUGUGUGCGACUAUUCAACGGGAGGAAACUAGAAGAAAGGUUAUGAACUUGAGCAGCAAAUCAGAUUUCUCUGAACCCGAGCCUUUGUAUCCCAUCAGAGACGUUAUGAAGAGAAAGGGUACAAGAGUAGAAGAUCUGAUUUGAAAUGUAACCAUUGCAACAAUCUUGGACACUUGGUUGAACGAUGUUGGGAUCUUCAUCCUGAACUAAAACCAAAGUUUUCAAGAGACAACAAGGGAGGACAUAAGCCUUUUCAACCAUCAAGGUAUAAAGCCAACUCUGCAAACUCUGUGACCAACCAAUCUGCAAAUGGAUUAUCAACAUUUACUUCUAGUCCAGUCGACCUCAUCAACGAAUUUGCAUCAUAUCUUCAUGCAAGGCAGAGUGCAAAACAGAGUGGAGGUGAUCUAGAGGAGAACAAAGAUUCAUCAACACUGAUUGGUCAAUUUGCAGGAUUUCUAGCUGCAAAUAAAAAUGUCUCAGCUCCGGAUUUACCAGGUAUUUUGAAUGCCUUUUCUUCUGCUCUUAUUGUAAGUAAUGUGCAUGAUUUUUGGAUCAUAGAUUCAGGUGCCACUAAUCACAUAACCAACAAAUAUAAUCAAUUGCUUGACUUUACCAAUUUUUCUCCACCAUCUCAAAUAUCCGUUGCCAAUGGUAAAUUUGCACCAGUUUUUGGGGAAGGGAAGAUUAAGUUACUCUCUCAAACAAUUGCAUCUCCAGUUUUGUAUGUUCCCUCCUUCCCGUUUAAACUACUCUCUGUUGGAAGAAUUACAACAUCACUAAAUUGUCGGGUUGUUUUCUCUCCUUACAAUGUUGUAUUUCAGGAUCUAGUCACCAGGAAGACGAUUGGUGAAGGAUUCUUCUUUCAAGGUCUCUAUUACUUUUCUAAAGAUUUUUGCAUACCCAAGAGUUUUCAAGUCACUGGUUGUUUAGCUUCAGAAUCACAGUUAUGGCAUCAGCGUUUGGCACAUCCUUCAGAGCCUAUUUUGGCAAAACUGUUUCCGAAUUUGAACAGCAAAUCAAUAAACUGUGAUGUUUGCCCUUUGUCAAAAUCUACUCGUUUACCAUUUCCUUCUCCCAUAUCGUACUCAGUUAAACCGUUUGAUUUAGUUCAUUCCGAUGUUUGGGGUCCUGUCAUUGAGUCUUUUGAUGGUUAUAAAUACUUUAUUACAUUUGUUGAUGAUUUCUCUCGAUUUACUUGGCUAUACUUGUUAAAAGCAAAAAGUGAAGUUGCCACUGCAUUUCAAGAUUUCCAUCAUUUGGUUCGUACUCAAUUCUCAUCCCAAAUCAAAAUUCUCCGAUCAGAUAAUGGCUCUGAAUAUAUGUCUAAUGUCGCACGUGUGCGGCGUCGCGGCGAAAAUAAUAUGGUUUUUCCAUUUUUCUUAAAUUUGCAAUGUAAAUAUAUCUAUAUCUAUGGCGAUACAAGAAAAUAUUGUCUUUUAUUGGUAGAAAAUGGAAUGGGAGUCGCCACCUAGUGUUUUGGUCACUAGGAACCCUAACUGGUCACAGAGAUCGGGUACGAGGACUGGUUGUGUAAAGGGAAGGUAUUAGCACACCAAAUACGCCUUACCUAAGGUAAGUCUGAUAAAAACUAAGGUAUUAUUGUACUUCUAAUUGUUGAUCUGUCUAUGGUUCAAGAAAAAUCCUCCUCGGUAAGAAGGUCUUUACCUUAUCGGGUAAGAAGGUCUUUACCUUAUCGGGUAAAAUCCUAACCGUUCUAACGUCUGUACCAAAACUUUAUUAACAAUAUUUAGGAAUACGUUUUACGUAUAAAUUCGUAAUCCCAAAUACUAAAAGAAAGAAAAAAAAACAAAAAAACAAAAAAAAAAAAUUUAGAAUUUUUGAAAUAUUGGCCUAGUUCUCAUGGCUUGAAUAAACUGGUUAUUAAAGCCAAAAUGCAUGCUAAUACAUAUAUUGUUUUGAAAAUUCCUUUUGUUGUGUGAAAAUAUGAUAUGAUAUUUAUAUAUAUUGGAGAGACUAGGCCGUAUUUUAAAACAAAAACAUUUUUUGGAAAAUUAUUUUUUUUUGAUGUUUUAACAAAAAUCGAGUAUUUUAAUAUUGGGUUUGUAUUCUUACUGUCGCACGUGUGCGGCGUCGCGGUGAAAAACUAAGUUUUUUCCAUUUUUAAAUCGACGAAGUAAUAUAUAUAUGGAGAUACGAAAAAUAUUAUUUUUCAUUGGUAAAAAUGGAGUGGGAGUCGCCACCUAGUAUUUUGGUCACUAGGAACCCUAACUGGUCUCAGAGAUUGGGUACGGGGACUGGUUGCGUAAAGGGAAGGUAUUAGCACCCCAAAUACGCCUUACCUAAGGUAAGCUGCAUUGUUUUAUUGUCUGAUAAAAACUAAGGUGUUAUUGUACAUUCUAGUCGUUGGUCUGUCUAUGGUUCAAGAAAAAUCCUCCUCAGUAAGAAGGUCUUUUAUCUUAUCGGGUAAAAUCUUAACCGUUCUAACGUCUAUACCAAAAUAAUAAUAUUUAGGAAUACGUUUUACGUAUAAAUUCGUAAUCCCAAAUACUAAAAAGAAAACAAAAAGAUUUUUUGAAUUUUUGAAAUAUUGGCCUAGUUCUCAUGGCUUAAAUAAACUGGUUAUUAAAGCCAAAAUGCAUGCUAAUACAUAUAUUGUUUUGAAAAUUUUAUUUGUUGUGUAAAAAAAAUAUGAUGUUAUGAUAUUUAUAUCUAUAUAUAUUGGAGAGACUAAGCCGUAUUUUAAAACAAAAACAAUUUUUUGAAAAUAUUAUUAUUAUUAAUUUGUUUUGCUUUUUGACGUGAAUCAGGUAUUUAAAUACUGAGCUUGUAUCCUUACGGUAUAAAAAUUCAACCCAAUAUUAUUCCACCUUAAUAAAAAUAUGCAGAAAAAUCAACAACAUUUUUAGGUAUUUUUUAGAAAAAUUUUUUGAAAGCAAAAACAUUUUUUAUUCGGAAAAUCUUUGAUAUUUUUAGGAAAAUCGGGUAUUUUUAACACUGGUUUUGUAUCUUUACAGUAUAAAAAUACCAACCAACAUUAACCCAUUUUGACAAAAAAAUAUUCAGGGAAAUCAACAAUAUUUUUCAAGAUUUUUUCGAAAUAUUUUUUUUUAGUAAAAAUAUAUAUACACAAUAUACACACAUAUAUAUUACCAAAUACUAUAAUUCAUAAUAUAUAUAUAAUAAAAAUUCGGGUUGGGCCGGCCCAAAUGAAUGGGCCGAACCCAACCCAGCUGGAAUCGGGCCGAUCUCGGCCCGCAAGGAGGAUGGGCCGAUCUCGGCCCAACAAAUGCUGGGCCGAUCUCGGCCCGCAAGGAGGUUGGGCCGAUCUCGGCCCGCAAGGAGGUUGGGCCGAUCUCGGCCCAACAAAAACUCUUUAGACUGGGCCAGACUCGGUCUGGCCCAAAAUAAAUAAUAACAAAACUGGGCCGGAAACCCGGCCCAGUGUAAAAAAAAACCCACGGGGAAGGGAAAAUAAUUCCCUUCCCCUACCUCCUGCAUGCAGAACGAUUCUGCAUGCAGGAGGAUAACAAAUAUAAACAAAAUGAAAACGCAGAGGGGGAAGAAGAAUACCUGGCACGACGGAGGUGAUGUUGCUGGUCGACGGUGCUGCAGCGGAGGUCGGCAGCUCACAACGACGGUUCCCAACAGUCCGGUGUCUCUCGGGUCGUGCUUGGUUUUUUUUCUUUCCACUAAGCUUUCCCAACGGCUUCAGUCUUCUUACCCCUUCUCCCAGCUUCGUUUCCUUGAAUUUUAUGUGUUUAUUACUUUAGUCCACUGUUUCUCUCUCCUUCAGUCUCUCUCUCUCGUGGUCUCGGUUAUUUUCCUUCUCUUUUCUCCCCCGUGCUUCCAGUCUCCUCCUUUCUUUUAUAGGCGAGCAACGGAGCGGGGCUGCAUGGGCAGCGUGGGGAGCAGAACAACGUGGGUUGAGCUGGGCAACGUGGGGAGCAGCACAGCGCCGGUCGGCUGGUCGGUGAGCGUGGUCGAUCACGGCGUGGCCCUCCUGGCUUCGCGUCGUCCGAGGUGCAUGGGCCUGGUCUGUCAGUGCACGCGAGGAGAGAGGGGCACCGGCUGAUUAAACAAAGGUUUCGUCCAUGCUGCUGCACGUUCGGGGAGGAAGAAGAAAGGGGAACAGUGCCGUUCAAAACGGCACCGUUCGGUCCUCUUUUUUUUUUUUUUUUUUUUUUUUAUUUUUUUAUAUAUAUGAAACGGCGUCGUUUUGGGGAAAACGCGCCGUUUCAUUUAAAAAAAGGCGCCAGAAUACGCAAAAUUUCAACUCAGCCCUCAAUUAUCUUUUGAUUCUUUCAAUUGCGUCCCUGCCAAUUUCGGUCCUCGCCCCCAUAGUUGGCCGCGUUUUUCAUCUUGGUCCUUGGCCUCUGAUUUAUGCAAUUAAGCCCUCAAUUGAUCAAUAAACUUCCAAUUUCUUCAAUUACGCCCCUGGAUCAAAUCAAGACAGCCCCCUCUAUUUACCCGCGUGUUCCAAAUUGGUCCCUGGUUUCGGAUUUUCACAAUUAACCCCUAAUUGGCCAUUAAACUUCAAUAUUUAUGCAAUUAAGCCCCUGAUUUGGCCUAAUAAAUUCCAAAAAAAUAUAUUUUGGCCCCAGAACUUAAAUUUCUUCCAAUUAAAGCCCAAAUUGACUUAAAAAUCAAUUUUUUCUUGCACUCCAAUCCUCUAUAAAUUCAAAUAAAAUCCAAUUAAGUCCGUAAACAUCCAAAUUUGGGCUUUUCUCCUCAAAAAUUCAAAUUUUCCUUCUCAACAGGGCUCUCAUCCUUCAAGAAAUACUGCCAAAAAUCCAAUCUCUGUAUUUUUUAACCUCCUUGACCAAUCUUUCGACCAUUUUCUGAGCGCUUAUGCCUCCUGUUAUUUUUCUAACCUUCUUCGGCUAUUUAUUUAUUAUCAUUUUUAUUUUUUGUGGGGACCCAAAAAUGGUUACAACACUUACGGUAAAAAAUAUGACCCAAUAUUAAUCCACCUUAAUAAAAAUAUGCAGAAAAAAUCAACAACAUUUUUUAGAGAUUUUUUUAGAAUUUUUAUGAAAGCAAAACAUUUUUUAUUCUAAAAAUCUUUGAUGUUUUAACGAAAACCGGGUAUAUUAAUACUGGAUUUGUAUCUUUACGGUAUAAAAAUACAAACCAACAUUAAACACUUUUGACCAAAAUAUGCAGGAAAAUCAACAAUAUUUUUAAAGAUUUUUUAGAAUAUAUAUAUAUUUUUUUAUAAUAUAUAUACACACAUAUAUCAUAUAAUAUAUAAUAAUAUAUAAUAUAAUAUAUUAAGUGGGCGGGCCGGCCCAAAUAAAUGGGCCGGACAACCCAGAAGAAAAAAAAGUUGGCCGACCUCGGCCCAAAAUAAAACUGGGCCGAUCUCGGUCCAACUAAAAAUCACUCCUUAGUCUGGGCCUGACCCGGCCCAGAUCGCAGGGCUGGGCCAGAACCAUUCUGGCCCACCCCAAAAAUAUUUCUGGGCCAGAACCCGUCUGGCCCAGAGAAGAAAAAACAACGCUGGGCCAGCAUCAGCCUGGCCCAGCAAACUGAAUGGGGGGAGGGAAUUAUUUUCCCUCCCCACCUCCUGCAUGCAGAAACGAUUCUGCAUGCAGGAGGAAAUCUUAGGCAGCGAAAGAAAAAAAAUGCAGGGGGAUGGAAUGUACCUGGCGAGGAGGAGGCGGUUGCUGGUGGCGCUGCGUGACGUGGCUCACGAACGGUGGCUCCGGGCAGUGCUGCGGCUGUUCGAACGGUGGAGGGUGCGGUUGUUGCUCUUCCCUUUCUCCUCCGUAUGGCUUCCUCUUUUUCGGUGGUUUCCUCCCUCUCAGUACAGUUUGCUAGCGUUGUUUGUUGUUCGGUUCUUUCCCUCCUUUUACUCUCUCUGGUUCGUUCUCCUCUUCCCUCUCUCUCUACCCUUCAAUCUUUCCUCUCUUUUUCUUUUUUUUUCCCUCUGCCUCUGCUUCUCUUUUUCGUCCCUUUUUCCUUCGGGUCACCUACUUUUAUAGGGGGAGAAGGAGCCUUGGGAGCGGACCAAUGCGGAGGCUGGUCGGCCAUUGGGCGCGACUGCCAAGGCGCAGCUCCCUUGAUUCCGGUGUGGUGCGCGGCGGGUGGUCGGCCAGUGUCUUCGGUCGGUGGUCCAACGGCGUGUGGGCUUCGGUCUGGUCGGUAGGAGAGGGGGACAUGCACCAUUAAAAAAACUUUCUUUUUCCUUCUUCCCCGUUGCCUAUUCGGGGGGGGAAGAAGAAAGGGGAACAGUGCCGUUCAAAACGGCACCGUUCGGUCUUCUCUUUUCUUUUCUUUUUUAUGUAUGAAACGGCGUCGUUUUGGAGAAAACGCGGCGUUUCAUUUAAAAAAAAGGCGCCAGAAAUAUGUUUUUUUCAAAUCAGUCCUUAAUUUAUCCUUUGUUCUAUUAAGUCCUCAAAUCUAAUCCUGAUUUUAAGAAUAAAAUUCAAUUGCAUCCCCGCUAAUUUCGGCCUCCACCCCUCAAGUUGGCCGCGUUUUCUAUUCUAAUCCUUGGCCUCUGUUUUGUUCAAUCAAGCCCUCAAUUGAUUAAUAAACUUCCAAUUUCUUCAAUUAGGCCCCUGAACCGAAUAAUUGCAGCCCUCCAUUUACGCGACUCUUCCAAUUUGGUCCCUGGUUUCGGAUUUUCUUAAUUAAGUCCCUAAUUGGCCAUUAAACUUCAAUAUUUAUGCAAUUAAGCCCCUGAUUUGGCCUAAUAAAUUCCAAAAAAAUAUAUUUUGGCCCCAAAACUUAAAUUUCUUCCAAUUAAAGCCCAAAUUGACUUAAAAAUCAAUUUUUUCUUGCACUCCAAUCCUCUAUAAAUUCAAAUAAAAUCCAAUUAAGUCCGUAAACAUCCAAAUUUGGGCUUUUCUCCUCAAAAAUUCAAAUUCUCCUUCUCAACAGGGCUCUCAUCCUUCAAGAUAAUACUGCCAAAAAUCCAAUAUCUGUAUUUUUUUUUAACCUCCUUGACCAAUCUUUCGACCAUUUUCUGAGUGCUUAUACCUCCUGUUAUUUUUCUAACCUUCUUCGGCUAUUUAUUUAUUAUCAUUUUUAUUUUUUGUGGGGACCCAAAAAUGGGUUACAACACUUACGGUAUAAAAAUAUGACCCAAUAUUAAUCCACCUUAAUAAAAAUAUGCAGAAAAAUCAACAAUUUUUAGAGAUUUUUUUAGAAUUUUUAUGAAAGCAAAACAUUUUUUAUUCUAAAAAUCUUUGAUGUUUUAACGAAAACCGGGUAUAUUAAUACUGGAUUUGUAUCUUUACGGUAUAAAAAUAUAAACCAACAUUAAACACUUUUGACCAAAAUAUGCAGGAAAAUCAACAAUAUUUUUAAAGAUUUUUUAGAAUAUAUAUAUAUUUUUUUAUAAUAUAUAUACACACAUAUAUCAUAUAAUAUAUAAUAAUAUAUAAUAUAAUAUAUUAAGUGGGCGGGCCGGCCCAAAUAAAUGGGCCGGACAACCCAGAAGAAAAAAAGUUGGGCCGACCUCGGCCCAAAAUAAAACUGGGCCGAUCUCGGUCCAACUAAAAAUCACUCCUUAGUCUGGGCCUGACCCGGCCCAGAUCGCAGGGCUGGGCCAGAACCAUUCUGGCCCACCCCAAAAAAAAUUCUGGGCCAGAACCCGCCUGGCCCAGAGAAGAAAAACCAACGCUGGGCCAGCAUCAGCCUGGCCCAGCGAACUGAAUGGGGGGGAGGGAAUUAUUUUCCCUCCCCACCUCCUGCAUGCAGAAACGAUUCUGCAUGCAGGAGGAAAUCUUAGGCAGCGAAAGAAAAAAAAUGCAGGGGGAUGGAAUGUACCUGGCGAGGAGGAGGCGGUUGCUGGUGGCGCUGCGGUGACGUGGCUCACGAACGGUGGCUCCGGGCAGUGCUGCGGCUGUUCGAACGGUGGAGGGUGCGGUUGUUGCUCUUCCCUUUCUCCUCCGUAUGGCUUCCUCUGUUUUUCGGUGGUUUCCUCCCUCUCAGUACAGGUUUGCUAGCGUUGUUUGUUUGUUCGGUUCUUUCCCUCCUUUUACUCUCUCUGGUUCGUUCUCUCUCUUCCCUCUCUCUCUACCCUUCAAUCUUUCCUCUCUUUUUUCUUUCUUUUUUUUCCCUCUGCCUCUGCUUCUCUUUUUUCGUCCCUUUUUCCUUCGGGUCACCUACUUUUAUAGGGGGAGAAGGAGCCUUGGGAGCGGACCAAUGCGGAGGCUGGUCGGCCAUUGGGCGCGACUACCAAGGCGCAGCUCCCUUGAUUCCGGUGUGGUGCGCGGCGGGUGGUCGGCCAGUGUCUUCGGUCGGUGGUCCAACGGCGUGUGGGCUUCGGUCUGGUCGGUAGGAGAGGGGGACAUGCACCAUUAAAAAAACUUUCUUUUUCCUUCUUCCCCGUUGCCUAUUCGGGGGGGGAAGAAGAAAGGGGAACAGUGCCGUUCAAAACGGCACCGUUCGGUCUUCUCUUUUCUUUUCUUUUUUAUGUAUGAAACGACGUCGUUUUGGAGAAAACGCGGCGUUUCAUUUAAAAAAAAGGCGCCAGAAAUAUGUUUUUUUCAAAUCAGUCCUUAAUUUAUCCUUUGUUCUAUUAAGUCCUCAAAUCUAAUCCUGAUUUUAAGAAUAAAAUUCAAUUGCAUCCCCGCUAAUUUCGGCCUCCACCCCUCAAGUUGGCCGCGUUUUCUAUUCUAAUCCUUGGCCUCUGUUUUGUUCAAUCAAGCCCUCAAUUGAUUAAUAAACUUCCAAUUUCUUCAAUUAGGCCCCUGAACCGAAUAAUUGCAGCCCUCCAUUUACGCGACUCUUCCAAUUUGGUCCCUGGUUUCGGAUUUUCUUAAUUAAGUCCCUAAUUGGCCAUUAAACUUCAAUAUUUAUGCAAUUAAGCCCCUGAUUUGGCCUAAUAAAUUCCAAAAAAAUAUAUUUUGGCCCCAAAACUUAAAUUUCUUCCAAUUAAAGCCCAAAUUGACUUAAAAAUCAAUUUUUCUUGCAAUCAAAACCCCUAUAAAAUCAAUUAAAAAUCCAAUUAAGUCCAUAAACAUCCAAAUUUGGGUUUUUCUCCUCAAAAUUCAAAAUUUCUUAUCCAUCAGGGCUCUCAUCAUCCAAGAAUAUACUGUCAAAAAUCCAAUCUUGGUAUUUUUUAACCUCCUUGACCAAUCUUCCGACCAUUUUCCGUGCGCUUCUGCCUCUUGUUAUUUUUCUAACCUUCUUUGGCUAUUUAUUUUAUUUUUUUGUGGGGACCCAAAAAUGGGUUACAACAUCUAAUAUCAUGAUAUAAUACUUGAGCAUGCAUGGCAUUAUUCACCAAACUAGUUGUGUUCAUACUCCACAACAAAACGGGAUAGCAGAGCGAAAGAACCGAGACUUACUAGAGAAAACGAGAUCACUGAUGUUUCAAAUGCAUGUGCCCAAAAUAUUGGUCUCAAGGAGUACUCACAGCUGCCUACCUUAUAAACAGAUUGCCUAGUAAAAUUCUAAUGUUUAAUUCUCCAGCUGAGUCAUUGACAGGGAAGAAGCCAUCUCUAUCACAUCUUAAAGUCUUUGGAUGCUCUUGUUAUGUGCACAUUCCAUCUUCUCAGCGUGACAAAUUGGAUCACAGAGCAGUCAAAUGUAUGUUCUUGGGCUAUUCUCCAACACAGAAGGGAUAUAAGUGCUACAAUUCCACUACUCAUAAACUUGUUGUUACCAGGGAUGUUCGGUUUGAUGAACACACAUCUUAUUUCUCUUCCAGUGAGAACUUCAAUCAGGAGGAGUCUUCAUCAGCCUUAUUUCCAUUGCCAACUCCAGUAGUUGAGGCCUAUUGCCCAGAACAAUCUCACUAUAAUGCAGGAAUGGACAUCCAUACUGAUCCUAUUUCAGUAGCAACAGAGGGGGCUGAUCUGCAAGUUGAACAUCAGGAGCACCUUCAUCCCUCCUCCAGGCGUAAUCCUAUUCGUAACCGUAAACCAUCAUCUAGGCUUCAUGAUUAUGUGACGUAUACAGUGAAGCAUCCUGUCACCAAUGCUCUAGCUUAUCAUCGAUCGUCUUCAUCUUUUGGAGCUUAUCUCAGCACAAUCACCAAAGCAACAGAACCAUGCAGUUUUAAUGAAGCCUGUCAUCAAACCGUUUGGCAGAAGGCUAUGCACGAGGAGCUUCAAGCUUUGGAUGCCAAUCACACUUGGAGUAUUGUGUCACUUCCAAAGAAUAAAAAGGUUGUUGGUAGUCGUUGGGUAUACAAGAUCAAAUUCAAGACAGAUGGUUCCAUUGCACGACAUAAAGCCAGAUUAGUCGCUCAAGGCUUCACUCAAACCCUAUGGCAUAGACUACAAGGAAACUUUUGCACCAGUUGCAAAAAUGAACACCAUUCACACUCUGCUCUCAGUUGCUAUAAAUUAUGGCUGGUUUUUUAUCUCAAAUGGAUGUCAAGAAUGCUUUUUUACACGGCGACCUCCAAGAAGAAGUGUAUAUGAAGUUACCACCCGGCCAUCCUCAGAGUAAUGAUCCCAAGCUGGUCUGCAAAUUGCAUAAAUCUAUCUAUGGCUUGAAACAAUCUCCCCGUGCUUGGUAUGCUAAGUUGAGCACUGUUCUUACUGACCUUGGGUUUACCAGAAGCAAUGCUGACCACUCACUAUUUGUUCGUAUCAAGGCUAAUGAAAGGUUGGUGGUUCUAAUUUAUGUUGAUGACCUUAUUGUUACCGGUAAUAAUCAUGCAGCUAUUGCCACUCUUAAGAGCAUUCUUCAUCAGCGAUUUGCUAUUAAGGAUCUUGGUGUUCUUAAAUAUUUUCUUGGCAUAGAGAUGGCUACUUCUCAUAAAGGAUUGUUUUUGAAUCAAUCCAAAUAUGUGUUGGACUUGUUGCGUGAAGCUGACAUGCUUGACUGCAAACCUGCAAAGACACCUCUGGAUAGCAAACUUCAGCUGACUUUGAAUGGGGACCUUUUUUAUCAACCUCAGCUUUAUCAGAAAUUGGUGGGCAAGCUUAUCUAUCUUACCAUCACCCGGCCUGAUCUGAGUCAUUCGGUUAGUAUUGUCAGUCAAUUCAUGCACUCACCUACAGCUCAUAUGAUGAUGUCAAACGAAUUCUUCGAUAUCUCAAGGCACUAUUGGACGUGGAAUUCUUAUGCAAAACCAUGGUCACACACAGAUACUUGGUUACACUGACGCAGAUUGGCCAGGAAAUACUCUUGAUCGCAAAUCUACUACGGGGUAUUGUAUCUUUGUUGGAGGAAAUCUAGUUUCAUGGAAAAGUAAGAAACAAUCAGUCGUUGCCCGUUCCAGCGCUGAAGCCGAAUAUCGCUCCAUGGCUUCCACUGCAUCUGAUCUUAUAUGGCUGAAAGCUUUGUUAACUGAUUUAGGUGUUUUUCACCCUCAACCUAUGUCCCUUUGCUGUGAUAAUCAAGUUGCAAUGCAUAUUGCUUCCAAUCCAGUAUUUCAUGAACGAACCAAACAUAUCGAAGUUGAUUGCCAUUAUAUUAGGGAGCAGGUUCAGUCACAGCUGAUUGUUACUCAAUAUACUAGGAGCGAGGAUCAACUUGCAGACUUAUUCACCAAAGCCUUGUCCUCUGCCCGUUUUCAAUUGCUGCUUUCCAAGCUGGGAUCAAUCAAUCUUCUUGAUCCAGCUUGAGGGGGAAUAUUGGCAGAUAUAUGUAUAUGAUCUGAUACGAUCCUUCUUUCCUUUUCUGUCAUGAUUCUUAUUCCUUUUAUGAGUUGAUUCCAGUAUUAUUCUUAGGAGAAAUAUCAGGAAUGUAGCUAGAAAUAUUCUUGUAAUCAAUGCACUUUGUGUAUAUAUAUGUGAUGGACUGUAAUACAGAAGAUACAAUAUAAUACAAUCUUUCUCUGUUAUUCUUUCCGUGUCUUCUUUUCUUCAAUUCCUUGAUCACAUGUACCAUCCCAUUUAUAGCAGCACAAUGAAGAGAAGUUCUACCAUCACUGCUUUUAAGCCUGCCAAGCUCGCUGUUAACCAUCAAUAGCUCUCUCACUAUCUCCAAAAACCCAUUUGCAGAAGCUAUGUGUAUUGGGCUAAACCCAUCUGGGUUGAGCCUUGUAGCUAAAUCUAUUUUCUUCUUCAGUAGCUCCUUCACGAAUUCUGUUCGUCCGGCUAAGCAGGAAAUAUGUAGGAUUGUCUCGGAGGAGUCAUGGAGACAACUUCUUUCUAGAAGGUAAUCGUUUACUCCGAGCAGCUCCUGUAGUUCAAUGACAUCUCCUCUCCGUGCUGCCUCCAACAAUCUUGGAUCCAUGUUAUUGAUGGAAAUAAUCGCAAACUGAGCAAAGUUAUUAAUGACUCGUGAAAAAUACCAAACAAAAAUUUAUAGAAAUGUACCUGUGAAAAAAAUGUUGUUCAAAGUUAUAAGACUAGAAUAGUGAGAAUAGAGAAGUAUAAUUUAUAUACAUGCAUUAUAAUAUCAUCAUUAUAAGAUUGCAAUUAAAGACAAUAUACAACUUUCAUAUUAAGCAUGUAAUUAAAUAAAAACAUGUAUAGGAUAUUUACUUGUAGAAAUACUUAAAAAAAUAUUUAUCUAAAAAUUUAUUGUUGUGAAUGAUUUUGUAUUGAAGAUUUUAUUACUUUCUACUAAAUACAAAAAAGUUAAUUUUAAUAAGUUUCUUAGGAUUUCAAUAAAAAUUAUAUUGUUUAAAUACACUCCUAAAUAAAAUCAAACGAACUCAAGAAUUGUAUUCAAAUAUCUCUCAUUGAAUCUAAGCUUUUGUGUAGAAAAAAAGACUAAAAAAUAACACAAAGCUUAAAACCGAGUAAAUUAUGCUAAAAAUUAAGGUGAGAGAGUAUUAAAAAAUUUACAAUUAUUUUUCUGAACACUGUCCAGAAAAAAUCAGUAAAAAACAUUAUUCUUCACUCCAUUUUUACUAAGGAUUUUUAAACGAAAAUUUAUAUAGAGUUAAUUUUAAUAAUUACCAUAAUAAUUUUUCAAAUUUGUUUUAAUUAAUGUAAGUGUCUGGAUCAGUUUAUGUAUACCUUGACUAAUUCUAAGGGUCUUGAAGUUAAUAACCAUGUAAGCCACUAGUGGUCCUGAGGGGACUCGAACUCAUGACCAUUAGAAAGCAAACCCAAGAUCUAACCAGUUGAACUAACUCUCAGGACUCAUAAUAAUUUCUCAAAAUUGAUUUUUAGAGUCAAUGUGGAGUCAUUUUUAUUGACUUGAAUUAUAAUAAACAUUUCUUAAUUAGCUAGCAUGGACUCUGAGUCAACAGUCAUUUUUAAAUUCUCAUACUUAGUGUUAGAAAAUAAUAUAAAUAAUAUCUUGGGACCUCACCUAACAACUUAAAUUUUUAGGUUGAGAUGGUUCUUUGACAUGGUAUCAAAACUUUAAUGACCAAAUGCUCACGAGUUCGACUCUCACCACCCCUAUAUAUUUGAUAAAAAUCAAACAUAAGGUAAUAUGAGCCUGUGCAAGUUUCAAGCUCAAAGGGCUUUUAUUUGAGAGGGUGUGUUAAAGAAUAAUAUAAAUCAUAUCUUUGGACCUUACCUAAUAGUUUAAGCUUUUAGGUUGAGAUAAUUUUUUGACGCCUCCUUUUAUAGGCCAAAAUUUGAAACUAUUGAUUUGAUGAAUAAUUGUUGAGUGGGUAGCCACAUCUUGACUUGGUGAAAAUCCUUAUCUUUUUGUCUGAAUAAAACAUCAUUGCUAACAUCAGAACUAGAACCAUAUGAAAUCAUGAAAGUUCUAGCAAAUUCUCUUAGCUUUCCAGGAAAAAAAAGUUGAGGUCAUUUGGACUUCUAGAACUCAAGAUAUGGGUUGAACACUUAAUAGUAUCCGGGCUGCAGGACAGAUUCAGACUUCUCCGUUGUUGCUAUAAUUUGGACUUGAAAACGGCCUUGUUAGAUCCUAGCCUCCCAUGAAAGUUGUAGGCCUAUGUCUUACCAAAUCUGUGUAAACAUUUGAGGUCAUUUGGACAUCUAGAACUCGAGAUAUGACCCAAUUACCAAACAGUGUUCCAGUUUGGACUGCACCAACAUCUCUUUUUUAAGCUUCAUCCUCUCUUUAUCUUCACAAAUUUCAAUAGUUGAAUUCAUCAAUCAAUCCUUUGAUUUAUGUGAUAUGCCUGCAUUUAAGAUGAACAUUUACCAUAUAUUAAGGUAUCUUAUAGUAUUAGACUUGUUAUUAUAAAACAUGCUUUAGUUAAGGAGUUAUUGAUACUUCAAGUACAAAAUAAUGAUAUAAAACAUUGAUAAACAUGCACUUUUAAGUACUAAUCACCAAGAAAAACAAACCCACACUAAAUCAGAAAUUAAGCAGACCAAGCUGAAAUGCAUUCAUGAUUUCUGUACAGAUCAGCAGCGGUAUACCAAAAGGAAGAGUUGAGAUUCCUGAUCCAACCUGCAACAAAGUAAAACAAAAGCCAUAUGAUAUCUUUCCAUAUUGGCUUUUGUUCCUCAAAUAUAAAGUUGUUCCUAGCAUUCCAUAUAGUCUAGACAAUGCUAAACAUAAAGCCCCCCAAACAGAUCUUUCAAACUUACAGUGGUUGCCCUGCAAAAGACCCAGCCAUUGACAUUGAAGGUCGUCAAGGCCAUACGGCAUUACCCAGCUCAGUCCUCUCCAAGCUACAAUUUUGUUCUAUAGUUUCCAAACCACUAGGCAAUGCAAGAGGAUGUGGGAUACAGUUUCUGAAUGUUGCUCAUAAAAGGACACCUGUGCUCUUGAAGGCUUAGAACGUACCUCUUCACCAUGAAGGCUUUUGUCAAAGGCCCUCAUUUAAGGCCAGCCAUAAAGUCUUUUUUUUUUUUUAGGGAAAAUGGAUUUCCAUACAUUUGUGACAUAAGUUGUAGAACUAGCAUACAUGAUCCUUUCAAGGGCAAGCAUACAAGAGUCUACAGUAUAGUCUCCGACUUUCCCCCAUUCCCAAAUUAACCUGUCUUCUUUCAAUCGAUGAAUAGCUGUAAGAUUAAGAUCAGACAUUAAUCUUUGAAUCAUCAAGGUCUCACUAGCUUUGAGGGGUCUUCUCCAUUUCAGAUUCCAAUACCAAGUAUCCUCUAACCAGUAUCCCAUCUGACUAACAAACCCUAAUUUGGAGGAGGAUAGUUGGAAGAGGGUUGGAUAAGAGUUAGCUAAGCAGAAGCCAGUCAACCAAGUAUCUAACCAAAAUUUAACAUGAUUACCAUUACCCAUUUUAAGUUUACAACCAGCUUGAAUAAGAGAAUUAUCAAGAUCCGAGCUAGUAAUAGUAGAGCUGAUUCCUCGCCAAAUCCCUAAAAGUUUUUUAUUGAAUGUGGGCUUCCCACUUAUGAAUUGAGGUCUGUAUUUUGCCUUAAUGAAAUCUACCCAACUAGCUUUAUCAUUGCUUCCCAAUUUCCAAAUCCACUUGAAGAGGAGAGCUUCUUUUUUUGCUGAUAUAUUCCCAACACCUAAACCACCCCUGUCUUUUUCUUUGCCACUGUAUCCCAAGCAAGCCGAUGAAUUUCCCUAUUAUCAACACUCCCACCCCACAAAAAUUAAGACUGCAUGGCUGUGAUUUUGCGUGCCACUGUCUUUGAAAUGUUGAAGAUGGACAUGUAAUACAGAGAAAUGAUAAAGAUUACACUUUUAAUCAAUAUUCUUCUCCCUGCUAGUGAUAAUAACCAACCCUUCCAAGAGUUGAGCCAUCCUCUAAUAUGAGAGAGAACAGUGGCAAAAGAAAAGAUGCCAUGGCCAUGUAGAGAAUCAGUCAAGUUUUGUCUUUGAUACGUUACUCACUCAAAUAUAUAUUAAUUAUCUGCCUUCUUUUUUUUAUAUCAUAAAAAGAAACCUUUCACUAAAAGAUCUUGAAGUUGAUGACAAAGAAGAUUUAACCAUACAUUGACUAAAUUAAACUAAAUUAAAAUAUGAGAAAGAUAUUUUGUAAUAAACUUUAAACCAAGAUUCCUAUAAUAUUCACAUUGUUAAUCGGUUUGACUUAAUCGAAUACAAAUGCACAUUGUUAAUUGGUUUGACUUAAUCGAAUGCAAAUUCCACGCAUGUUUUUAAGAUUCACUAUAUAUAUAUAUAUAUAUAUAUAUAUAUAUAAUCAUAGGAAAAAAGGAUGCUACCUGGUGCAUGCAUGAUGUUAUAUUUAAUGAUGUUUUUAAAAUAUUUUUUAUUUAAAAAUAUAUUAAAAUAAUAUUUUUAAAAUCAACCCAUUAAAAUUAUUUAAAAAUAUUAAAAAAUUAUUAAUUUAAUUUAUUUUUAAAAAAUAUAUAAAAAUAAAAACAAUUUUUUUCGUAUGAUUAGAAUUACCAAAGAUAAUUUGGCUUUGAACACAUGUUUGAAAAGUAUAACAAAAAUUAUUUUUUAAAGUAUUUUUUAUUUAGAAAUAUAUAUAAAAACAAUAUAUUAUUAUUAUUAUUAAAAUAAUUUUUUUUAUUUUUUAAAAUUUAAUUUUGAUAUUAGUAUAUUACAAUAAUUAAAAAUAUUAAAUAUAAUUUUAUUUUCAAACUAAAAAAAUUAAUUUUCUUUUAAAAAAAACAUGUUUCACGCAUCCAAGAAUUGAAUAUAAGUAGAUUGUGGUCCAGCUCUAACCAUAAAAAAAAAAAAAAAAAAAAAGGAGUGACGGCAGAAAAGAUGCAAGUGGGGCAGAGAAAUUGACUUCGACGGUGCAGCUUGAUUUUUGCAAAUUUUCAAAUUUUUUUUUUUACUAAAAUUAAGUUUGGUUUGUAUUUUUUGUAUCGUUUUGAUGUGCUGAUAUCAAAAAUGAUUUUUAAAAAAUAAAAAAAUAUUAUUUACAUGCUUUUCGACAUGAAAAGCAACCGCUACCACACUCUCAAACACCCUCGAAGACAAGCUAGGACAAUCACAAUGAGAAAUUGACUUGAAGUAAAACAAGGACAAUCAUAAUGGGUAUGUUUAUGUUAAAUAAUAUUUUUUUUUAAUAAAAAUAUUAAAAUUAAUUUUUUUUAUUUUAAAAAAAAUUAUUUUUAAUAUUAAUAUAUUAAAAUAAUUUAAAAUAUAUAAUAUAAAAAAAUUAAUUUUUAAAAUAUAAAAAUAAACAAAACCAAAACAAUUCAAGCUACUUAAAAAAUUUAGUAAAAAAAAAAUACUCAUAAUAUAAAUAACCACAGCCACAUUAUUCGAAUUUAAAAUAUAAAAGAAACAAAUAUUUUAAUGCUAAACUACUACUAAUAGGCUACCUACUGUAUGAUUACAAGUACAUAUUAUUUGAUAACUCCGAUUACCGUUAGUUACUGUAGAAUGAAGAAUGGUGUUCUCGUCUGGAGUCGAUAACUGAUCAAGGCAGGUUUGAUCAUUCUCAAAGCGAUCGAUAUCGCCUGCUUCUGCAGCUUUGAACAAGACAGGAUCCAUAUAGGUCGUCAUACUAUUUUGUAGCUUAGAGAAACUCACUAAA